CACAGAAGAACUACGUAAGGAACGGCAGCUUCGCGCUGGGGCUCGGCGCGGGGCUUCUCGGCGGAGGCUUCGGCGGGAUGGUGUUCGGCGAUCUGCCGCCGUCGGACAAGACGGCUCAUGACUCCGGGUACAAGCCCACGGCCGACGGUGCAGGGGUCGCCUUCUGAAAACUUUGCAUAUUCAUAUUAUCAGGAGACAUAAUAUCUAAAUAAGUAGGUCAAACUUGAAUAAAAACUGGGCAUAUUCAUCAGGAUCGUGAAAUGCACACGGUCUAGCUAGCCUGUAGUCUACUUUGUCUGUACUGUGUUGUCAAUUUACGUGCUGUUCAUUGCAGUAUAUAUACUUGCUUAAUCGAUCGAUUCCUUUUUUUUGGAGUGAUGAAACCUCCAAAGCUCACAUUACAUUACAAACUGACAAGAACCGCGUGCAUACGAGAUCCAAAGUGCGGCCGUCGAAGCGAAGUUAGAGCAUAGAUUUAUGUGAUGGAAUUCGUAUAUAUCUGACAAUCAAACCCUUGGAUCAAACUCAAGAUGCACAUAACUACUCCCUGAGUUCCAAAUUUUUUGUCUUUAGUUUGUCUAAAAAAGGAUAUAUCUAAACGAGUUUGCUGAAACGUAGCUAGCUAAGUUUGAGCUAUGGUCGUAGUCACGCUGUGAGCCGUCAGAUCGAGUUUGCUUUGUGAUUCGUGCUUGCGGCCCAGUUGGAUUUUUCGCGUGCCCAUUUUUUUUGAGUUUGAGCCCAGGCCCGUGUUUGGCUAGGUUUUCUGUUUUUGCAGCCGCAGCGUUUCCUUUGUCUCGGUGAGGAAAGGAGAGCGGCGGCGGCCAGGGUGCACGGAGGAGGUCGGCAGCUGCGGAGGCCACCGGUGCGCGGAGGAGGCUCACAGCUGCGUCAGCCAUCGGCGCGCGUAGGAGAUCGGCAGCUGCGGCGGCACGGGCCGCGAGUUUGGGCUCAGCUGUGUGUAAGGAGUCUAUUUUUCCCCAUUUUUUCUUGUUUUUUUUCGUUUAUGUAUGUGUUGUUUAGUAGUACAUUUAGCUGUUCUUAGAAGAUUUUGUAGGUUUUGCUUAGUUGCUGCUCUAGUACAUAAGUAUUUGUAGGCUGUCUUCCCCCCCUUUUUCAGGUUUUUUGUGUGUGAUUAUCUGUGUGUGUAGUUGCAGAUUUUUUGUUCUUAUGCAUUUUUUUGUGCUUCUUUUUUGAUUUGGUGUUUUGAUUCUUCAUCAAUGGUACAAUGUAGUUCUAGUGUUUUUGUUGUUAUGCAUACUGUUUUCUUAUGCAGUAGACAUUUGUGUGUGUUUUGUAGUUGCAGUUUUUUGUUCUUGUGCUUUCUUUUUUAGAUUUGAUACUGCUUCUACAUGAAUGGUUCAAUGCAGGCCCAUAGUUUUUUGUUGUUAUGCUUUUUUGUGUUAUGCUGUAGAUGUUUAUAUUGAAACAUAUAUGUGCAUAAUUAGUUGCAGUCAAUAUUCACUGUGAUAUCUUUUUGUGUCAAUAAAAAUGAAUGAAUCUAUCUUCUAAAAUAUGUCUAUAUUCAUCCGUAUGUAGUCAAUAAAAUCACUAAAAUGACUUAUAUUUAUAUUUACGAACGAAGGAAGCACUUAGCUGCUGCUGCUGUUUUUAGACCGUUAGUCCUGUAUUUUGUGGCCUUCACAGGCCCUCCUAGUAAGCAAUUAAUUGCAAGUCCCCAGAAACUUUGCUCUCUCCUAUGGAGUUGUUCACUGGAGGAACUUGCUUCUGACAGGUUAGACCACCCUAAAACCACUUUUUCUACUUUGGAUGAUUGGUGAGGGGCAAAGUGACAUGUCACAUAAAUAAAUAAANUAAAUAAAUAAAAUAAAAGAGCUGGUUAAAGCAUGGAUGGGAUGGAGGCUUUUCUUUCCUAUUAUGGGGUUGGCCGGCGUAUUCUUUGAUGGUACCCUGUCCUGGCCGUGAUGAUCGCUCUCUGUGGCGCAAUGCCGUUGGUUGCGUUCAUUUCCCUCACGGCUUUGGGGGUGAGAAUGUGGCCGUUGGGAGGGCUUUAUCACAGCAUCCCUAUGAAUGUGAUGGUGGUCCUGAACUUCUGAUGAUUUUUCUUCAUCAUCACAUUCUUUUUUGCUUUGCGUUUGUGCGCCCCCUUCUUUCCCCUUUCUUUCAUGAUUAGUUGUUUAUGUUUUUUUUAUUUUUGAUUGUGAGUACUGCAAGGAAUACUGUUUUUUUAUGUUUUUAUCUUUUAAGCGAACAGUCAAUUAUUAUGUACCUAACUUGUUUUAUUUUCUUUUGUAUGUUGAAGAGGAUGGUUUGCCCAGUUUGUUAUGCACACUGUGAGAACAGUACGACAAAGAGAUGGGGUGUUUAUGUCAAGGAUGACCCUGAGGCCUUGAUAGUAAAGUUUUAUCACUUUUUCUUUCACAUGCUUCUUAUUGUGUCUUUAUGUUUUUUUUCUGCAGUUUUUUCUAAACUUUUUUUGUUAUUACCAUGUUGAUUGUACUUCUAUUUUUUCUUGUAGAACAUACCAUGCACUAUAAGGGAUAGUUUGAAGCAUGUAGCUGGAAGGUCCUUCAAUUUCAAAGCAGAUGGGAAUAUGUAUGUUUUGGAUGUGUACAGAGGGCACAACACCACAGUGAUGGGUGGCAAUGAUUGGGUGAAGUUCGUGACGGACUUCAAUCUUGGUGCUGGUUCAUAUGUUGUCUUUGACACAUCUAAGCGGACGGUAGAGGCGUACGUGGUGCAUCUUGGUUUCGGAGAUUUUGCAAAUGAUGGGGAGUCAGAUGAGGACGUAGAAGGCGAAGGUGCUGGUGUAGAGGUGUUCAACAUUGAAUCAGAUGAGGAUGACCAUGAGGAAGGAGAUGCACAAGAAGUUGUGUACACACAGGGGUGUGUGCUGAGUGGUGUUGAAGAAUCAUUGUUGGAUGUGGUUCUUGCCAACAAUGACGGGUAUAUUGGCUCUUUCUUUAUUCAUCGCUUGACAACCACAAACAUAACCAAGAAAAUCGUGGUAAAUGUCAUGCACCCUUUCCUAUUUUCUUCUUCAUUGUGGCUUUCUUCUUCUCUAACAUGUUUUUUUUCUCGUGUCUAUAUUUGUUAUGUAGAAAAUCCCAAGAAAAGUGGCUCAACAAUUGAACUUGCCACUAGUGGGUGUAGCUGGUAUUCGCCUUGAAGCUGGAGAAUGCAUGAAGGUUGCAUACCACACAGAUUGUGAUGGUCGGAUGGUUUUCAACAAUCGGUGGGGUGGUUUUGCAACACAAACCAACCUUGAAGAAGGCGAUGCCGUUGUUUUUAGCUUCAAACCCAGCAAUCGCGGCAGCAUGAACAUCAUAUGCGUGGUGCACAUUCUGAGGAUGCCAGUGGUGUAGCAAAUGUCAGUAGUCCGUGGGAAAAAGUAGAAUGUGCUAGGUUGCUUUUUAUGUCUGUGAACCUGUAGCGAAAACAAUUAAAUGGAAUUCCGUGUGUUUUCAUUAUCAAUGGAACUUUGAAAGGGUACUUUUUGUUGCUACAACCUGUGGUUUUUGUCUCUGAUAUUACUUUAUUAGUUAAGCAAUUCCAUUUUUCUCUACACAAAUUGGUGUUAUUUUCUUUCCGAUUUUCAAAAUGGUUCAGACUUCAGUUUUAGAUUUUUAGUAAAUCAUGGUUGCAGUUAUAGGAAGAAAAUCAAAUUGAAAUAAGAAAUAUUAUAUAUUUUUUCAGUAUAUAUUUGUCCAAAUUGUAUAUUCUUGUUAUAAUAUCCUAAAACAUUUUUUGUGGAAACCAUAAAUAAUUUUUGGUCCUGCAAAACAUUUUUUUACGAUUUCCUGAUACUUCUUUUAAAAUCCUACAAAUUUUUACGAUUGUUUUAUGAAUAAUUUUUUUUCUAUGUUUUGGAUACAUGAUCAUUUUCAAAAUCAUGAUUGCUUUAUAUGUUCUCAAUAUAUCACUCGAAAUUCUGAAUUCUUUUAAAAUACGCAAACAUUGUUUUCAAAUCAUCAACAUUUUUUUUGAAUCCGUGGAAUUUUUAUGUUUUUUUUAACCUUCCUUGAAACUCCCAAUUUUUUUAUGACUUUUCAAUGAAAAAAAAUUNNNNNNNNNNNNNNNAAAUUUGUGAAACUAUAGAACUUUUUCUAGAGUCACGAACAUUUUUUUUUUGAAUCUGUCAACAUUUUAAUGGACAUUUUGACAAAUUCCGAAUUACAUUAAAGAAGGAAAACUUAUCCUAUCCAUUUUUUUUAAUUAUUUUUUUUUGCGAGGCGGGGAGUGGUACGAAUCCGCGCGAUUAUUUCUGGCUGCACCUUUAUCCUUUCCUUGUCAUCAUUAGGCAAAGCCCGGCGGGAUUCAAUGCCAACGAGGUCUCCUAUUUGUUCUUCCUCACAACGGUGUUGAUGCGGGCUGGUAGUUCGGGGGCGAUGACAGUACCGCACAAAGGGUUGCUGCAAUUUGCAUGCUACUUUUUUACAUGGCUUUUGCAUGCCUUUUUUUUGGAUGCAAAAUGGCAUGACCGUCAUGUGUUUAGUUUGUAAUUGCAUGUGUCCAAUGUUAUUUUGGUGCAUUUUGCACGCCCAUGGUGAAGUGAUCGCAAUUGCAUGUCUUUCUAUUUUGUUUUUUUCAACCGCAAAUGCACGCCCAAGAUUUUUGGUGCAACUGCAUGACUACGACGAAGUGACCGCAACUGCAUGCAUUGUUAGGGAUCGCUACAACUGCAUGCAUAUGAUGAAGCGGCCGCAACUGCAUGCCAUCGUUAGGUAUCGCCGCAACUGCAUGCCAUCGUUAGGGAUCGCCGCAACUGCAUGCCUUUUUUCAGGGUUGAUGUAAUUGCAUGUUAUUCAAGGGGGUGUUGCAAUUGCAUGCCACCCUUUUUUUAUGAUCAAGUGACCGCAAACCGCAACUGCAUGCCAUUUGAUUGGAUCGGUGCAACUGCAUGCAUACGAUGAAGUGACCGCAACUGCAUGCCAUCGUUAGGGAUCGCUGCAACUGCAUGCCUUUUUUCAGGGUUGAUGUAAUUGCAUGUUAUUCAAGGGGGUGUUGCAAUUGCAUGCCACCCUUUUUUAUGAUCAAGUGACCGCAAACCGCAACUGCAUGCCAUUNNNNNNNNNNNNNNNNNNNNNNNNNNNNNNNNNNNNNNNNNNNNNNNNNNNNNNNNNNNNNNNNNNNNNNNNNNNNNNNNNNNNNNNNNNNNNNNNNNNNNNNNNNNNNNNNNNNNNNNNNNNNNNNNNNNNNNNNNNNNNNNNNNNNNNNNNNNNNNNNNNNNNNNNNNNNNNNNNNNNNNNNNNNNNNNNNNNNNNNNNNNNNNNNNNNNNNNNNNNNNNNNNNNNNNNNNNNNNNNNNNNNNNNNNNNNNNNNNNNNNNNNNNNNNNNNNNNNNNNNNNNNNNNNNNNNNNNNNNNNNNNNNNNNNNNNNNNNNNNNNNNNNNNNNNNNNNNNNNNNNNNNNNNNNNNNNNNNNNNNNNNNNNNNNNNNNNNNNNNNNNNNNNNNNNNNNNNNNNNNNNNNNNNNNNNNNNNNNNNNNNNNNNNNNNNNNNNNNNNNNNNNNNNNNNNNNNNNNNNNNNNNNNNNNNNNNNNNNNNNNNNNNNNNNNNNNNNNNNNNNNNNNNNNNNNNNNNNNNNNNNNNNNNNNNNNNNNNNNNNNNNNNNNNNNNNNNNNNNNNNNNNNNNNNNNNNNNNNNNNNNNNNNNNNNNNNNNNNNNNNNNNNNNNNNNNNNNNNNNNNNNNNNNNNNNNNNNNNNNNNNNNNNNNNNNNNNNNNNNNNNNNNNNNNNNNNNNNNNNNNNNNNNNNNNNNNNNNNNNNNNNNNNNNNNNNNNNNNNNNNNNNNNNNNNNNNNNNNNNNNNNNNNNNNNNNNNNNNNNNNNNNNNNNNNNNNNNNNNNNNNNNNNNNNNNNNNNNNNNNNNNNNNNNNNNNNNNNNNNNNNNNNNNNNNNNNNNNNNNNNNNNNNNNNNNNNNNNNNNNNNNNNNNNNNNNNNNNNNNNNNNNNNNNNNNNNNNNNNNNNNNNNNNNNNNNNNNNNNNNNNNNNNNNNNNNNNNNNNNNNNNNNNNNNNNNNNNNNNNNNNNNNNNNNNNNNNNNNNNNNNNNNNNNNNNNNNNNNNNNNNNNNNNNNNNNNNNNNNNNNNNNNNNNNNNNNNNNNNNNNNNNNNNNNNNNNNNNNNNNNNNNNNNNNNNNNNNNNNNNNNNNNNNNNNNNNNNNNNNNNNNNNNNNNNNNNNNNNNNNNNNNNNNNNNNNNNNNNNNNNNNNNNNNNNNNNNNNNNNNNNNNNNNNNNNNNNNNNNNNNNNNNNNNNNNNNNNNNNNNNNNNNNNNNNNNNNNNNNNNNNNNNNNNNNNNNNNNNNNNNNNNNNNNNNNNNNNNNNNNNNNNNNNNNNNNNNNNNNNNNNNNNNNNNNNNNNNNNNNNNNNNNNNNNNNNNNNNNNNNNNNNNNNNNNNNNNNNNNNNNNNNNNNNNNNNNNNNNNNNNNNNNNNNNNNNNNNNNNNNNNNNNNNNNNNNNNNNNNNNNNNNNNNNNNNNNNNNNNNNNNNNNNNNNNNNNNNNNNNNNNNNNNNNNNNNNNNNNNNNNNNNNNNNNNNNNNNNNNNNNNNNNNNNNNNNNNNNNNNNNNNNNNNNNNNNAUUUUUUUCUUGCCUGAAAGCUAGCAAUUAAUGCACAAUACACCUGGGAGUUAUUCGGGUACACCUAGCAGUGGGAGACCUUUUUCCUUCUCAUUCGCAGCACACCUGGGACUUUAUUGUGUACACCUGAGACUUUAUUUCCACUGUUUGAAAUUGGGAUAAGGAGAGAGCGGCACAGAGGAAGCAAACACCACGGGGGCAGGUCUCUCGAAACUGCGGGCGGCUUCACUCGGCGGCGAGGCCAUGGAGGACGGCGACGGCGAGCAGCCGGACCAGUUGCUCCAAUCGAAGGUAUGUGCUAGCCGCCGGCGAGCUAGCCUCACCUCCAAGUCCGCCUUCAUCUCCUCUCUGUACUUGUCCGCAUCCGCAUCUAGGAUUUGCAGCAGGUGAUUUUCAUUUUUGUGUAGGGUUUCGAAAUCCCGUGGCUGAAAUGGUAUUAUAGAACCAGAUUUAAGAGGAGAUAAAUACUGGAUCUGUUUAAUUUUAGGGGAUACUUUUGUACAAGCAGAUUUUUGUGUUGAACUAGCCGUUUGGGGAACCGCCAGUAUAAGUAGAUUUUUUUUGGCCUGUAGGAGUGAUUUCUAAGUAGAUUUUUUUCUGGGAAUAUGCUUUUGAUAUGCUGAUAUCUGUGUUUGUUCCCUUUUUGUUUAUGUAGGAGUGAUUUUUUUUGCUCAUGUAGAAACUGAAAACCAAACUGAAUAGUUGUUUUUCAAUAUUGUGUUCGUAGCUUGUGUUCGUUAAUUGCACUGCAUUUUAGUUGGAGCAUAUGCCCUAGUUGUUCAAUAUUGGAGCAAUUUGUGACUCAAUAUAAUUAUAUAAAUGGAGGACAGCAGUACGACAAGUCAUUGAUGGUAUUCAGUCUGGACCAUCUUGUAAUGGUAGUUGGUUUUAUAUGUAAUAUAUAUAAAGAUACUAUAUGGUAGUUGGUUUAUAUAAUGACUGUAAUAUACUUUUGAUGUGUUGUUCCCUCUCCCAUGUGUGUUGUUGUUGCUGCAGAACUGAAAUCCACAUGUAGGUCAUGUAUGACUGUUUUUUGUUGCUGCAGAACGGAAUCCACAUAUUUCCAUCAUGCACACCAUGGAUAUUUUUGUUGGAAAAUGGCACUUAUAGGUACUGUAGGACUGUUUUUUUGGAGUUGUUGUACUUCAUGCAGAAUCAGUGUAGGACUGUUUGUUAAAAAUUGGCACUUAUAGGUACUGUAGGACUUUUUUGUUGACAAAUGACACUUAUAGGUACUUAAUACACUUGUAGGUCAUGUUGGACUCAUGUAUGUUUAUAAAUUUUUUUGUUCGUUGUAUUAUGGUCAGUAUAUUUCUGCUGUUGUAGCUGUUUGUACGUCUGAACCAAAAAUAAGAAUAUGUUGAAUCCUGCUGGGAAAUGUAUGCAUGCUGUGCACAUGAGUCAAGUUCAUUUCUAACUACAUAUGUGAAGUUCAGUUUCAGAUUUCUGUAUUUUAGGUUCAGUGCCAUUUUUUUGUGUCAUUAUCUCAGUUUCAGUCUUUUAUAUUUUCCAUUUGUUUAUUUUUUUUACAGGGUAACACAGAAAGUAAACAUGAUAGCAAACUGGGCAUGGAGGAUGCUCUAUUUGACAAAGGUUCCGAACCACUGUUCGAGAGCGAUAGUGAUAUUGCUGUUGAUAAAAGGACGGACUCUGAAAUAAAUGCAGACCUAAGUGAAGCUGAAAUAUCAGAUGUUUUGCUGUGUGAUGGAGUGAUAAAUAUGGUGAACAAUUGCACAAUGAAUUUUUUUCUUUUGUUUCUUUUUGAUGUACAAUUCCUAUGCACAGUUUUUUCAAUGCACAAGGAAGCGUACAUGAUUUUUUGUGUUGCUUCUUUACUUGCAGCUAAGGAAGAUACUUGACACAAAAGAAACUAGAGAGAUUGUUAGGCAGAAAACAUUAAAGGUAAAACUGUUUAUGUCACUGUUUUUAUGUGCUUUUUGAACCUGCAAUGCACCUUACAAAAAAAAUUCAGUUAACUGAACAUGUGGGGUUUCUUAUAUCACUUUUUUUCUACUAUUUUAACUGAACAGAGGCCACGAAGUAGUAACGAACUCGAAGAUAAAGCAAACAAUGGUGUUGUACCAAAGGCAUACAGCAGAUGCAGUGUCCCGUAUUUCGUUGAUGUUGUCAAGAGAACACGCAAGAGCCAAAGUAAAGUGGACCUUGUUAAAGGGAUUGGUUUUGCUUACCUACCGGAAUUAGAUGAUUCUGUCGUCCCAAGACAUUUUACACAGUGGGUAGCUGACAAAGUUUGUGUAGAGGAUCAGAUUAUCUCCAUCAACAACAGGACCAUCACUUUGAACGCAGAAUCUGUAUUACAUGUUUUUGGAAUUCCAGCAGGGGAAACUAUCAUUAGUACAAGUGAUGAUGGAGGCAAAGAAGAGUUUCUAGCAUUGUUUGGUUUGUCAGAAGUGCCAACAAUAAAGUUUUUUGGGAACAAGAUAAUUAAAGAGGAGGAUUUAUCAGAUGACCAGUUUGUCCGUUGUUUCAUGGUUGUAGCCCUUGCAACCUUCCUAUGCCCAACAUCGAAUACUAAACCAAGCACGAAGUAUAUGUCUGCACUUCUGGAUGUUGGAAAGAUCAAAGACAUGAAUUGGUGCAAGUUCACGCAAACAUGGCUCUUGCAAGCAAUCAAAAAGUAUCAAAAAGACAGUUGAAACAAAAUAAGUCAUCAUUAACUCUUGGUGGAUGCAUCUAUUACUUGGCUGUAUGUUAUUCUUAACCGUUAUGGCAAUGUUCUUUUAUUGCAUUCAUAUGUUUUAUUUUCUCAUGUCUCAAACUUUUUUCAUUCUAUCUCAGGUCCGUUGUCUAGACUUUAUUGAUUUUGCUCCUAUACAACUCCAAGCAACAAUGCCAAGGAUAUGUGUUUGGAAAGGAAACCUAAUUAAGCUUUUUAGCGAAACACUCAUGGACAAAAUUGGAGCAUAUGGAGAUUGCAAUGCAAGUGUUUUUAUGUUUUUGCUAAAUUGUAACUAAAUUCAACAGGAUGCAGCGUCAAUCCCCUACACAAAUGUAUCUAAUGUGUUUUUGAUUUUGUUUUUUCUGCACAUAGGUCAAGAACGAGUCUGAAACUUGUUAUGGAAAAGAAAACCACCAAUGGGCUAGCACUAAGAGAUACUCAUAUCUCAAGGCUGCAAUAGAAAGAACUGUUGGGGAUACACUGAAUGAGAAGGUUUUUGUUUUCAAACUUAUUUUGAUUUGAUGCAUACUAGAUUCUUAUCCCAACUAUACUUCGUGAAGAAAAACUUGUUUCAGAACUAAAUUUCUUUCUUCGCUAUGUGUUUGUUUCUUGCAACAGGUGAAGGAAGAUAUAUAUCUAUCAUUUCAGCAACACAUGAGAGAGGAAGGACCAAACACCUGCUCCAAAGUUAAGAAUUUGAUACUCGAAGUUAUUCAAAUUGUGACGAGAGCAACAUGUGAUUCUGAGAAGACACUGAAAAUUGAUUCAAGUGCUAAUCAACACAAUUCAACAAACCAUGGACAUGAUUCAGAAGCAACUGUUAAAGUAAAUUCUAAUGGAGAAUAUGAAGAAGAAGAUGAGGGUAAACAACAGACACANNNNNNNNNNNNNNNNNNGCUUUCAAGUUUGAAUGUUUUUACACACAAGGCAUCAACAGAUUUUAAUGAUUUUUUUUGUCAAACUAUUCCCCUGUGAUGUUCAACAGGUUUGCUUUCAAGGAAAAGGAGAAGAAUAGCAGCUAAAAUAAAAAGCAUCAGCAUACCAACAGUCACUGAACAAUUUAGCUAAGGAAAGUACAUUCAGCCAAGAAUCAAAUAGAUCGGUUGGAUCACACAUUAGUCUCAAACAAAAAUUUACUGGGGCAGAACCUGCAGUUGUCUGUGACAUUGUAUGCUCAUUUUUUUCCUUAACCUGUUUUCUUUCAUUAUUUCCAUUUGAAUUCCUUUUUUGUUAUUGUGCCUAAAUGUAACCCUCCUUUUUCUAUUUUUCUUAUUGAAUUUUUUGUUUAAUAUUAACAGCAGCAAGGCAAGAUAAAUAAUGAAGGACAAGGAGCAAUGUUGAAAGAGAGGUUGAAUCAAGAUUGUAAAGAAGAAACAGAAGGAAUUUUUAGCACAGAAGGUGCAGCAGCAGGGACCCAAAAUGAAGUGGAAAAGAAACACAACUCGAAGCAUGCAAUCACAGGAAGCACAACAAGUUUUGAUUACAUGCUUGGCCAUCACAAUUGCGAGUACAGUUCAUUUUUGCAGCAAGAUCAAGGUGUCGUAGGAACCACUAUAUCAACUUUUGAUUUUCAAAAGAAGGUAUUUUUUACAGGGUUUUUUUUCCAGAUCCCUGUGUUUUUUUGGUAUGGUGUUUUUUUUUCAUUUUGAACUAGUGUGGUCACUCUCUGUUUUUCUUUUUUGUUUCAUAUACCGAUUUUUUGUUCUAGUGCAAUGAGAGUUGUCAACAAACACUCAAGAGGAAGCACGCCAAAUUAAACAUAGACAUGAAUGAACCAUUCCUGCAAGGUAUUUUCUUCAUCAAACUAGUUUUUGUUAUGUUUGUUUUAUGCAAUGCAAUAAUUUUAUGAUUUUGAUAUAUAUUUUAUGUGCUUUUAACUUUUUUUGUCUGUAUUAUGUUAAUGAUGAACAACAAGCGCUCACAGACAAUGGUUCAAGUGAUUGGGCUCAUUAUUUGGAUGAGGCAAGACAAAAGUAUUUUUUCUACGGUGACAACGUACAAACAAUACGUUCGUUCGAAAAUCAGGACGAUUCUGGUACUAAAAUAAACGAGCCCGAAUUGUGGCGUCCUCUGGGCAUGUCAUCAAAGGAAUACGAAAACAAAAUUCAGGUCAAUAAUUAUGUGGAUUUCUUUUUUGAAGAGACUUUUUUNNNNNNNNNNNNNNNNNNNNNNNNNNUCUUUUUUUUUAAUCUUUUGUCAUCAAGCAGGUAGCAAAGAAUAACGGUCCUCGUAAGAGCAACGAACAAGCAAAAAGGAGCAGCAACAAAUUGAAUGUAUGAAUCACCAUCUUUUUUUCUUCAACAUUUUUUCUGUGUUUUUUGUUUUUUCCUCAGAGGAAUCAAUUUCUUUUUUUUCUGAAUAUCAAGGUUCCAUGCGAUUGGGCUCGUUAUCUGGAUGAAACUAGGGAAAAAUAUUUCUUCUACACCGAUGAGAUACCUACAUUACGCCUAUUUGAAAACGAGGAUGAUAAUGGUACUGAGAUAAGAGAACAAGAACUGUGGCGCCCUUUGGGCAUGUCAUCAGAAGAAUACGAAAAGAAAAUACAGGUGAAUAAGUAUGACAUUCAGUUUUGUGGAAACCUUUAUUUCCAGCUUUUCCUUUUUUGCGAGCCAUUUUGCUGAUUUUUUUUGUACUUUCAAACAGAUGGCGAAGAAUAAUGGCCCUCAUAAGAGGACUAAAGAAGCUGAUAAUAUUGACUUCAAUGUAUGAAACACCAACAACAUUUAAUUUAUUUAUGUAAUUCCUUUUUUGGGCAAGUUAUCACAACCUUUUUUUACCAAAACAGUUACUGAAUCCUUUUUUAUUUCAUGCUUUUUUCGCUUGAAGGAGAUGGCAAACAACAAAGAACCUCCUAAGACCUGUGAACAAGGCGACACUGUUGAUUCGAAAGAAGAACAUAGAAGCAGUAAUAAUUUCAGUGUAUGAAUCACAAACAUCUUCUUCUUAUGCAUUUGUUUAUUUUUAUGUUCAAUUAUUGUUGUUAGUAUGAAAGGUUUUAUAUAUUUUACUUUUCGCAACCAUCACGUUUUACAGCAUACAAACAGUAGCAAACAAAAGGAUUUCUCUGUGCAUUGUACGCAACAACCUCGGAACAUGACUUGUGAAACACCCCGUCCUCUGACCGCAAUAAGACCAGAUGGAAGUGUUAUAGACCUGGUGAGAAUAACAAACAUUUUUUGGUCAUAUAUUCUUUUUUCUUCGUGUGAGAUCUAAUGUUUUUCCACAGCAAUGGACAGACAACAACUAACGAUGACGAUCCAUUUGAGUGGAAUCGGGAGCAGACAUGUUACUCACCAAGGAACAAGAGCAACAGAUUCUUAUCAGGCACUUCAUCACAUAAAACAAAGACUGUACAAACUAUACACUCAUUUUUUCUGUUCUUUUCUUCACUCUUAAGUUUUUACUUUUUUUGAUUCAUAUACUUAUUGAUGCUUUUUCGGAAAUAGUUUCUUUUGCAUCAGGGUUCUUUUAAUCAUCAAAUAGUAGGCAGAAGAUUGUUCCCAGAUGAAUGCAACGUUGGAUAUUUACUAGAUGGAACCGAACAAGAACCAAUAACCUUCAACGACAGCCAACCUGUAGUUAUUUUUUAUGCAUAUUGUUAUGUUUUUUUUUCAGAGCCUUUUUAUUCUUUUCCUGUUUUUUAUAAGGUUUUUGACAUAAUACUAUGCAAAUUGCAGGCAUCCCCGGAGUUGCAAAUUCUUGGGGAAAGGUCUCUGCAAGAAAACUGCUUGAAUAUGCUUGGCAAUUCAGAUGAGCACUACAACACCCGCCUAUUGUUAGGCAGCACAAGUAGUUCAAUUGGCAAGGAAAAUGUGCCAACAAAAAGAAUUGUUCAACCUGUUGGAAUUAUGCCCUCGAGGCAAUAAUAAAUAUAGUUAUUAUUAUAAUUCCUGUAUCAAGAUAAUAGUUUAUUAUCCAUGCUAUAAUUGUAUUGAAUGAAGACUCAUUUACAUGUGUGGAUACAUAGACAAAACACCAUCCCUAGCAUGCCUCUAGUUGGCUAGCCAGUUGAUCGAUGAUAGUCAGUGUCUUCUGAUUAUGAACAAGGUGUUGUUGCUUGAUAACUGGAUCACGUCAUUGGGAGAAUCACGUGAUGGACUAGACCCAAACUAAUAGACGUAGCAUGUUGAUCGUGUCAUUUUGUUGCUACUGUUUUCUGCGUGUCAAGUAUUUAUUCCUAUGACCAUGAGAUCAUAUAACUCACUGACACCGGAGGAAUGCUUUGUGUGUAUCAAACGUCGCAACGUAACUGGGUGACUAUAAAGAUGCUCUACAGGUAUCUCCGAAGGUGUUAGUUGAGUUAGUAUGGAUCAAGACUGGGAUUUGUCACUCCGUGUGACGGAGAGGUAUCUCGGGGCCCACUCGGUAAUACAACAUCACACACAAGCCUUGCAAGCAAUGUAACUUAGUGUAAGUUGCGGGAUCUUGUAUUACGGAACGAGUAAAGAGACUUGCCGGUAAACGAGAUUGAAAUAGGUAUGCGGAUACUACCGAUCGAAUCUCGGGCAAGUAACAUACCGAAGGACAAAGGGAAUGACAUACGGGAUUAUACGAAUCCUUGACACUGAGGUUCAAACGAUAAGAUCUUCGUAGAAUAUGUAGGAUCCAAUAUGGGCAUCCAGGUCCCGCUAUUGGAUAUUGACCGAGGAGUCUCUCGGGUCAUGUCUACAUAGUUCUCGAACCCGCAGGGUCUGCACACUUAAGGUUCGACGUUGUUUUAUGCGUAUUUGAGUUAUAUGGUUGGUUACCGAAUGUUGUUCGGAGUCCCGGAUGAGAUUACGGACAUCACGAGGGUUUCUGGAAUGGUCCGGAAACGAAGAUUGAUAUAUAGGAUGACCUCAUUUGAUUACCGGAAGGUUUUCGGAGUUACCGGGAAUGUACCGGGAAUGACGAAUGGGUUACGGGAGUUCACCGGGAGGGGCAGCCCACCCCGGGGAAGCCCAUAGGCCUUGGGGGAGACACACCAGCCCUUAGUGGGCUGGUGGGACAGCCCACAAGUGCCCUAUGCGCCAAGGAGAAGAAAAUCAAGAGAGAAAGAAAAAAAAGGAGGAGGUGGGAAGGGAGGGGGACUCCCUCCCACCAAACCUAGUCCAACUCGGUUUGGGGGGGAAGAGUCCUCCCCCUUGGCUCGGCCGACCCCCUUGGGGCUCCUUGAGCCCCAAGGCAAGGCCCCCUCCCUCCCACCUAUAUAUACGGAGGUUUUAGGGCUGAUUUGAGACGACUUUUCCACGGCAGCCCGACCACAUACCUCCACGGUUUUUCCUCUAGAUCGCGUUUCUGCGGAGCUCGGGCGGAGCCCUGCUGAGACAAGGUCAUCACCAACCUCCGGAGCGCCGUCACGCUGCCGGAGAACUCUUCUACCUCUCCGUCUCUCUUGCUGGAUCAAGAAGGCCGAGAUCAUCGUCGAGCUGUACGUGUGCUGAACGCGGAGGUGCCGUCCGUUCGGUACUAGAUCGUGGGACUGAUCGCGGGAUUGUUCGCGGGGCGGAUCGAGGGACGUGAGGACGUUCCACUACAUCAACCGCGUUCUCUAACGCUUCUGCUGUACGGUCUACAAGGGUACGUAGAUCACUCAUCCCCUCUCGUAGAUGGACAUCACCAUGAUAGGUCUUCGUGCGCGUAGGAAAAUUUUGUUUCCCAUGCGACGUUCCCCAACAGUGGCAUCAUGAGCUAGGUUCAUGCGUAGAUGUCUUCUCGAGUAGAACACAAAAGUUUUUGUGGGCGGUGAUGUGCGUUUUGCUGCCCUCCUUAGUCUUUUCUUGAUUCCGCGGUAUUGUUGGAUUGAAGCGGCUUGGACCGACAUUACUCGUACGCUUACGAGAGACUGGUUUCAUCGUUACGAGUAACCCCCUUUGCUCAAAGAUGACUGGCAAGUGUCGGUUUCUCCAACUUUAGUUGAAUCGGAUUUGACCGAGGAGGUCCUUGGAUGAGGUUAAAUAGCAACUCAUACAUCUCCGUUGUGGUGUUUGCGUAAGUAAGAUGCGAUCCUACUAGAUACCCUUGGUCACCACGUAAAACAUGCAACAACAAAAUUAGAGGACGUCUAACUUGUUUUUGCAGGGUAUAAUUGUGAUGUGAUAUGGCCAACGAUGUGAUGUGAUAUAUUGGAUGUAUGAGAUGAUCAUGUUGUAAUAGAAAUAUCGACUUGCACGUCGAUGGUACGGCAACCNNNNNNNNNNNNNNNNNNNNNNNNNNNNNNNNNNNNNNNNNNNNNNNNNNNNNNNNNNNNNNNNNNNNNNNNNNNNNNNNNNNNNNNNNNNNNNNNNNNNUUACUUACGCAAACACCACAACGGAGAUAUAUGAGUUGCUAUUUAACCCCAUCCAAGGACCUCCUCGGUCAAAUCCGAUUCAACUAAAGUUGGAGAAACCGUCACUUGCCAGUCAUCUUUGAGCAAAGGGGGUUACUCGUAACGAUGAAACCAGUCUCUCGUAAGCGUACGAGUAAUGUCGGUCCAAGCCGCUACAAUCCAACAAUAACGCGGAAUCAAGAAAAGACUAAGGAGGGCAGCAAAACGCACAUCACCGCCCACAAAACCUUUUGUGUUCUACUCGAGAAGACAUCUACGCAUGAACCUAGCUCAUGAUGCCACUGUUGGGGAACGUCGCAUGGGAAACAAAAAUUUUCCUACGCGCACGAAGACCUAUCAUGGUGAUGUCCAUCUACGAGAGGGGAUGAGUGAUCUACGUACCCUUGUAGAUCGUACAGCAGAAGCGAUUAGAGAUCGCGGUUGAUGUAGUGGAACGUCCUCACGUCCCUCGAUCCGCCCCGCGAACAAUCCCGCGAUCAGUCCACGAUCUAGUACCGAACGGACGGCACCUCCGCGUUCAGCACACGUACAGCUCGACGAUGAUCUCAACCUUCUUGAUCCAGCAAGAGAGACGGAGAGGUAGAAGAGUUCUCCGGCAGCGUGAUGGCGCUCCGGAGGUUGGUGAUGAUCUUGUCUCAGCAGGGCUCCGCCCGAGCUCCGCAGAAACACGAUCUAGAGGAAAAACUAUGGAGGUAUGUGGUCGGGCAGCCGUGAGAAAGUCGUCUCAAAUCUGCCCUAAAAGCCCCAUAUAUAUAGGAGGAGGGAGGGGGACCUUGCCUUGGGGUCCAAGGGACCCCAAGGGGGUCGGCCGAGCCAGGGGGGAGGACUCUCCCCCCCCCAAACCGAGUCCUACUUGGUUUGGUGGGAGGGAGUCCUUCCCCCUUCCCACUUCCUCCUUUUUUUUUUCUUCCUUUGAUUUUUCUUCCUUGGCGCAUAGGAUUUGGUGGGCUGUCCCACCAGCCCACUAAGGGCUGGUGUGACCCCCACAAAUACCUAUGGGCUUCCCCGGAGUGGGUUGCCCCCCUCCGGUAAACCCCCGGAACCCAUUCGUCAUUCCCGGUACAUUCCCGGUAACUCCAAAAACCUUCCGGUAAUCAAAUGAGGUCAUCCUAUAUAUCAAUCUUCGUUUCCGGACCAUUCCGGAAACCCUCGUGACGUCCGUGAUCUCAUCCGGGACUCCGAACAACAUUCGGUAACCAACCAUAUAACUCAAAUACGCAUAAAACAACGUCGAACCUUAAGUGUGCAGNNNNNNNNNNNNNNNNNNNNNNNNNNNNNNNNNNNNNNNNNNNNNNNNNNNNNNNNNNNNNNNNNNNNNNNNNNNNNNNNNNNNNNNNNNNNNNNNNNNNGGAGGACGUGCGGCGGUGGCGGCGCAUAGUGGACAGGAGACAGCGAGGAGGGGGAAAGGUAGGGAGUGAGGGGAAGGGCGACGACGCAGAGUGGAGAGGGGGAGAGGGANGUGAAGGGCGGGGCGACGACGCGGAGUGGAGAAGGAGGGAGUGAGGGGCGACGGCGAUGGGGCGGAGUGUGGAGAGGCAGGGAGUGAGAGAGGGGGGCGUGUGGGUGCGGCGAAGAUGAUAAGUGCAUGCCCCAAUUAGCAGUAGCGCGGGUCGGACAAAUGCGCUACUACUAUUUUUUAGCAGUAGCACCGGUAUCUGGGGCACGCUACUACUAUUCAUUUAGCAGUAGUGCCGGUAUGUGGGGCGUGAUCUAGCUUGUGGGAAACGAUGGGGCAAUAUUAGUAGUAGUGUGUUUCUUAAAACAGCGCUACUGCUAAGUAUUUAGAAGUAGAGACUAUAGUAGACACGCGCUACUGAUAUGUAGCAGUAGCGCCCACUUUUAUCCAGUGCUACUCAUAAUGUUGUGUGUAUAUGGUUUUCCCUAGUAAUGCAUCGACCCAAGGUCCACAGUCCGGGACCCCCUACUCGAAGCGAAGACAAAGAGGAGCCCCGUGGCCCGAACAACGGGGGCCAAAAAACAGUUCCCUCGCGAGGUAAAAACCGUAAACAUGAUUUACGUGACUCACAUAUCCAAGAAGGAACGGAAGCGAGCCCUCCAAGAAGUCUACACCGUAGAUCUUGUAGCACCAAAGUACAAUCCAUGGUCGGCUUUCCCGAUCACAUUCGACUGCAGGGACCAUCCGACCAGCAUCCAUCAAGGAGGGUCGGCCGGCGUCGUCCUCAACCCCAUUGUAGAUGUAAACCACCUCACCAGAGUCCUCAUGAAUAGUGGAAGUAGCCUUAAUCUGAUCUACGCAGAUACGGUGAAAAAGAUGGGCAUUGAACAUCAAGAAUAAAACCAAGCAACACUACCUUUAAAAGAGUAAUUCCAGGCGUCGAGGCCUGCUGUUGUGGAACAAUAACGAUGGAAGUUGUGUUCGGCUCACCCGAUAACUUCCGCAACGAAGUUUUGUUCUUCGACAUUGUCCCCUUUUGCAGCGGAUACCACGCACUGCUAGGUCGUACCGCCUUCCCCCGAUUUAAUGUGGUGCCCCACUAUGCUUAUCUCAAGCUGAAGAUGCCCGGACCACGAAGAGUCAUCACCGUCAGCGGCAACAUAGAACGAUCUCUCCGGACCAAAGAACACACCGCAGCCUUGGCAGCGGAAGGCGAGCACGACGGUGAACUACCAAGUCACAAGCCGGUGAAGCCACGACAAGUAGGCUAGCGAUCCCGAGCUCAAUCAGGUCUCCUGGAGAGGUCCUCGGCCCCGAACAUAUAAGGGCACCCCUCCCAUAGCAUCUCCCGAGCACCUUCAAGGUAUGUCUCUCAUGUACACAAUUUUCGUCUUCCGAAUACUAUGGGAUACUAUGGGAGACCCGAACAAGCACCAUAUGCUUGGCUAGACCAAACCAUGGUGCCAAAUUCCUCCUUGAUACACAGGGAAUACCGUAAAGACCCUCCCAAGCGUCAAGCUAUAUUACAUCGGCAGCUUCUCACGGCUCCUUGGUUGAAAGCCCGUCUGCCAUAUGCAACAACCUUUUAGGGAAAAGACUCCCCUCCCCCUACUGUUUCAAUUUAACGCGGCCAAAAGCCAGACGUACGUCAAGUCACUCGUAAAAUGGCUGCAGGGGAGGUGCUGCUUAAUUUUGAUAGUUUCCUGUACACAUCGGCCCUAGGGCCGAGAAUUGUAAAAAUUCUUCGCCAAUAUCUAUCAUAGAUGCUUUUCUUUUGAUGUACUUAUUCUUACUCAUGUUUUUCUGCUAUACGACGCUUACAGGACAAACUCAUUUUAUGAUUGCUAAAACAAAAAAAAGAAGGUGCGCACGGCUACUAACCGGGGGCUAGGAUACAUUGAUCGCCCUGAGCACCUCACCGUCACUCUUAUACAUGUGUUCGGUCUCUCAGGAUUUUGCAUUAUAUGCAUCGGUUUUGAAUUAUCUCUUCGGUCUACAAUUGGAUUGCCCCGCUCCUGUGCUUACCCCCUUACAUUCCGCUAGUUCGACUAAAGUGGUAAAAGGAGAACCACUACGAUUAUAUUCCAAGCUUGGCUGGUCUUGAAAUACCUCAGUGGAGAAAGCCGAAAACUGACUGCCAUAACGACAGAUAACUAGUGUGCAAUCCGAGAUUAUUUCCAUAGUCGAUAGAGGCUAUUCCGCAUCAUACGGACGGGUUUUUGCUAUUCAACAAACCCUGCGAUAGUCAUCCCGAUCUUCGGGCUUUUCCGACUCCUGCAACAAGGGCUGGGGGCUUGUCAUUAGCCCUCGCAUUAUAACAUUCCUAAGGCUAAGUGAAAGUGAUAAAGCCUCAUAGUCUCAUUGCCUCGUUCCAUUCUACACUACCACCUUCGGGCACCGAUUAAAUCGGCUAAGGGACAUGUAAGAACAAUGAAACACCUCAAGUAGUAUCUACAUGGGGGUUGAAGCCGACGAGUGGAAACUUUCAGGAUGAGAACAACCACAACAGGAAUAAAAAUAAUAUAAAACAAAAUUAACUUAGGGCGUAUACUGCUUCAAGCAGGUCGUUCUUGGUUACAUCAAACGUAAAUCUAUUCUAAUAGUACAUCCUUGGAACAUUGCGAUUCGAUCACCCGAGAACCCUCCACGGCAUAAGUAAAGUACAGCAUGCUCCUUUCCGUCGGGCGGUGGAUCAGUGGCCAUAUUCAGUCGCCUCAUCCCUGGGUAGUGCACCAUUGUCCGUGCAAAGGCCAUCCGAGCCCCCUCCAUACAGGAUGAGCGCUACAGGGUUUCAAUGCGAUGUGCGGCUUCGAUUAGCUUCCGUAUCAAGGAAAAGUAGCUACUCGGCAAGGGCUCGGCAGGCCACAGCCGAACACACAGGUCUUUCAUAACCCGCUCGGCCAUCCUGUGUAGCUCGAGGAGCUACUUCAUCUCAUAACUCAUACUAGGGUUGGCCUCACGGGCCUCAAAUUAUGCCCAAAACAGUCGUUGCUCGGCAUCCCCAUCAUGAGCCACAAAGUACCUGGCCGCAUGUGUUGCAUUCUACGAGAGGUUGGUGAAGGCGCGUGCGGAAUGCCAUAUCCUCGUAAGAAAGGGGAAUUGGUUCCCACCAAAGGCACAAUGCAGUAAGUAUAGCUUAUCGGUUGCCAUCAGCUUGACCUGGUGCACUUCUUCUUCAAAGAACCACCCUCUACCUGCUCUGAUUGGAGGUCAGCCGAUAGCUUGGUCUGCUCAGCGUCUUGAUCUUUGAUUGUUUGCUCAAAGGCCUUGCACUUCAAGCUCGCCUCCUCCAGCUCUUGCUGGACCUCUAUCACCCUAGCCUCAUAUUGUUUGCUAACGGCUUUCAGGGCAUCCAACUCGGCAGCCGCAUGUUCGGCCGCAGCCUUAUGGGACACGACGUCUUGAUUGGCCGUCUUCACCUUGUCCUGUAGCUUUUCAAACUCUUUAUUUUGAGCUGUUGAUCAAUGAUAAAAUGGCAAAAGUCACAUGACAGGGCCAGGAUAUCCCAUCAGAUAUAACUAAAAUGGGGUACUCUUAUACAAACUCACCCUCCUUCUCGUCAAAUUGAUCGUUGAGGCGGUCAAGCUAUUCUUCGGCCACUUGCAGUUUCCGAUUGAGUUCGAAUAUUUUCAAUGUGUUAGCAUUAGCAGCCGAUGAUGAGGCAUGCAAGAUGCACAAUCCGUCAAGAUAAUUUCAACCCGUUUAACUUACCCUGCUUGGUCAAGUUUCUUAAAAUAAGCAUUCCAAGCAUCAUUUCUAGAUAUUUUUUGUGCAUUUCUCUGAGCCACGGGUUAGCUCUUCAAUCUCCCCAUGGCUCGGGGGCUGUCAUACUAGUAAAACUAUAUUUCAAAUAUAAAACAAUACUAGUAAAGUGGGUAACUUACCUUAAAGCCCGUCAAUAAACGUGUAAAGGCUUCAUUCAGUUUGUUAUUAACAAAUUGAAUGCUCCGCAAAACCACACCCAUUAAGGUGUGGUGUUCUUCAGCAAUGGAGGAAUCCGCUAGGAUCUCCUCCAUCAUUGCCGACCCCUCAACCGUGGCCAGUUCUGGCACGGUCGGCACCAAGGGUGGCCCCAAGGAUGUUGGAGGGAGCUCAGUCAAAUUCUAACUCUCCUUUCCACCCACUGAAGGGUCGAUCUCCCGAGUAGUAUUGAUAGGGGAAUUGGCCCCAAUCAGAGCCUCCUGGUUCAAGGUUGCACGCGCAUCUUCGGUGACCGGGAGCUCGCGGUCCUCGGCUUCCGAGGUAUUCACCUCGGCCAUCACCUCUUCGCCCCCCGCAUUAAGCGAGGUCGGGUGGGAGGCCACCUACAUGGUCUCCUCAAAGGCUUGGGGAAGGGAGGUACGGGGUGCAUUCCCACUCUCUGCCAGCUCGGCUGGCAGCGAGUUUCCCUCCCAGACCUGAUCUGUUGGCAGAUCUCGGAUGGGCUAUAAUGAGAAAAAAAGUAUUUAUUCCAACCAAUUAGUAUAGGAUUCGGUAUAAGUUCACUCAAUAAACUCGUUAGAGCCCAUAUCUUCGGGCUAGGGAUUUGACCUUGGGGCUCGGCGGGGAACCAUCUCAAACUCCCCGAUCUCGUCAUUGGAAUUUGGACAUGUGCCAAGAGUAGCGGCCUCGCCAUUGCAAAGCCUCUUCGGGGCCCUAGGAGGCAAUGCUUCUUCCUCCGCCUCUUGUGGCGCUCUCUUCUUGGACUGGGAGGAUUCCAUGUCCUCCUCCUCUUCUGCCUCCUCCACCUCGCGGGUAGAGGAAACAUGCGUGUCCUCGGACUUAGUGUCCGGGGCACCCCUGGAACAGAGACCUUCACUGUCUCGUUCUUCGGCUCCGGUGCCUUGUACGGCUUCGGAACCAAUAUUGCGGCCAAUAGUUCUGACAUUGGCUCCUCGCGUGGACGAGCUGGUUCAUCGAUUUUCUUGGCCAUGGCCAACCACUCGUGUCAAAACCAUUUGGGGAGAGGUGAGAUCUUUGUAAAGGAGAGCAGAACUUCGGGAGGGGAAUGAUAUUCACACAUACCUCGACUGGAGGAGUCUUGUUGUCCAGGCCUCUGUCUUCGUCCUCGGCUGGCCACGCCGGUUGGGGCUUGAACAAAAUCCUCCAUACGUCCUCGUGUGUCGUGCAGAAAAACUCCUUGAUGACCCUAGGGUCAUUGGGCUUGUAAACCCACAUUGGAUUCGCCUGAUGCUGACACGGCAGGAUGCGCCAACACACAACAACUUGGAUCACAUCGGUCAAUUGGAUGUUCGCAUCCACCAUCUGCUUGAUUCAUUUUUUUCAUCAUCUUCACAUCCCUGGUAAACCCCCAGUCCAUAUUUUCCUUGACCGAGGAGGUUAGCCUCUCUGGAGGGCCAGACUUGAAAUCAACACGGCCGCCCAGUUCGCCUUGCGUGGUUCAGUGAUGUAGAACCACUCCUUCUGCCAGCACUUGAUAGUAUCUAUCAAGGUGCCCUUCGGUCAUAUCACCUUGCAGAUCUUACUUAUCACCGCCCCGCCGCAAUCAGCAUGCUGGUUGCUCGUGGACUUUGGCUUGACGUUGAACGUCUUAAGCCAGAGCCCGAAAUGCGGGUGAACUCGCAAGAAUGCUUCACACACGAUGAUGAAGGAGGUAAUAUGCAUAGUGGAGUUGGAAGGGAGAUCAUGGAAAUCCAACCCAUAAUAGAAGAUGAAACCGUGACAAAGGGGUGAAGGGGAAAGCCUAGGCCCCAGAGAAAAUAGGGAAUGAACACUACCCGCUCACACGGCCUGGGAGUCGGGAUCACCUGGCCAGCCUCCGCCGCUCGGUGGGAAAUGACGGAGGAGAGGUAUCCGGAGCGCUUCAGCUCCCGAAUGACACGGUCGGAGAUGGUCGACACCUCCCACUUGCCGUGAGAGCCGGCCAUGGUGUGGGCUCAAAGACGGCAAUGGGGAAGGAGAGCGAAAAAAAGGAUUGGAUCUGGGCGCUCGAGCUUGGGGGAGGCAAGAGAGAAGCCGAGGAUGCAGGUGGUGGAAACCUUUGGAUCUUUGUUCCUUUUUAUAAGGGAAUGUAAUACCAAGGGUCCCUUUUACUAUGUCGGUUGCUCCUCCAGCUACUUCCAAAAAAAUGAUCGAGCCAUUGCGUGCGUGGGUGAGCAUGUGCAGUUAUUCAUAUCCUAAUAAAUGCGGAGGCACGAUCUUUUCAAGAGGACGUGACCCUUGAAACAUGGCCCUAAGCCGGAUUCGAGGUGGCCUUUUGUCAGGAAACCCUGCCAAUCGGGGGCUAUUCACACAUGAACGUUUAAAUGCCUUGUUAAAAAAAGGUGCCAGAUUUAAAGAUGUGCAGGUUACAGGAGCGGUCAAAUCAGAGUCAGCCGAGCAUGGGUGGAACUCACCUUGCAAGACGAUCACUAUCGACGUGAGGGGCAGUCAAACACUGAACCCACCGUUGUUGAAGGCUAGUUCGGGGGCUACCGAGGGAGUCCAGGAAUUUGGGGUCCUCAGGUGGAUGGUUAGUCAAUAUUGGAUGAGCCAUUUGGGGCGCGCUGGGGAAGACCGGGCUCGAGGACGACCUUUACUCUAUAAGGAAUAUCCCAAAGAUUGGUGUGUACGCCAAGCUUAGAAGGACUAGGUCGUCUCAUCUAUUCCCAAUUAUAGUCGAUAUCUUGUAAACCCUAGAGACCCCGGUGUCUAUAUAAACCAGGAACCCAUCCGUAUAGAGGAGGCUCAAUCAUCUAGGGUUUAGCAUAUAUGAUCUGGAGGUGAUCAACUUUGUAAUCAUCUUCAUCAAUACAAUCAAGAAGGACGUAGGGUAUUACCUCCAUAGGAGGGCCCGAACCUGGAUAAAAUGUUGUCCCCCCCUCUUCCCGCAACCCAUCGAUCCAAGGUCCACACUUCAAGACCCCCUACCCGACAUCUGUCGGUUUUGACACCGACAUGUAGUGUAUGUCUAUAUAAAGUGGCGGAGCUUGGCUAAAAAACUUGGACGGGCCGGCUGUAGGAAACGACUGUUGGAAUGAUGUUUCCUGGCCCAAAAAUACAUAUAAAUUGCAAAAGAUCGCAUGAACUGGACGGGCUAGUUCGAGGAAAUGACUGUUGGGAUGGUGUUUCCUGGUCCCAAAAUACAUAUACAUUGCAGAAAAUUGCAUGGACUCGGUGGGCGAUGACCCAUUCGGCCUUUUCGUAGACACGAAUGCAUGGGUUGGUGACUAAUAGCAGUAAUCGAACAAACACUACUAGAAUAUUCCAAUACAUCGGGUGCUAGGCUCAUCACCGAGGAAUAACUCACGGGCACCCAGCAAAGUAAGAUAUGCCGAGAGUGCCCCUCGGCAACAGGUGCAUCGUGGCAAACACAUGAUGUUUCUGAAAGUCGGACUCGGCAAAACGACAACACUUGACAAUGUUUUACCAGGUGGAACAUCCGAUGGCGGAUAAAGUGACGGUCACAGUUUAGCCGCUUUACCAAGAGAGCAACUCAAAAAAUAUUUGGCAUAAAUUUUGUCCCACCUCGCCAACCUACAAACAGAAAGGCAUGUUUAAAUUGUCUAAUAGUACAACUGCACUAAGCUUCGGUGUUCGUUAUUGAAAAUAUGAUCGAACCACACCUUUAUCGAGCGCUGCUCUCGGAAAUGUAAGAGUUGCCGAAUAUAGCUCUCUGUAAAGAUAAGGCUCCCAUUAAAAUUUAGUCCCACCUCACCCAAAGACAAGCAAGAUGACCCGUUUAAUAAGUGGGACAUUCCAGAUGUAGUAAGCUUUGGUAUUCAUUACACUCCUGCUAAGAAGAUGAACUGUGACUUUGAAUCUUCACUUGUUUCGGCCAGAGAAGAUUCAAAGUGAUAGGCCAUCUUCCUAAUGAUGGAUUGAUAUGUCUCCAACGUAUCUAUAAUUUUUGAUGGUUCCAUGCUAUUAUCUUGUCAAACUUUGGAUGUUUUGGAUGCUUUUUAUAUUUUUUUGGCACUAACUUAUUAACUCAGUGCCAAGUGUGAGUUCCUGUUUUUUCCGUGUUUUUGACCCUUUUCAGAGGAGAAUAUUAAACGGAGUCCAAACGGAAUAAAACUUCCGAAAAGAUAUUUUACGGAACAGAAGAUACGCAGGGGACAUGAGAACCAAGGCAGAUGCCACCAGGGGAGGCCACAAGCCCCCUAGGUGCGGCCACGGGGCCGCGCCUAGCAGGCUUGUGGGCCCCCUGUGGCUCGUCUUCACUACCUCUUCCGCCUAUAAAUUCCCGAAAAAUCCAAAACUACGGGAGAGAUCCACGAAAAUACUUUUCCGCCGCCGCAAGCUUCUGUCUUCGCAAGAUCCCAUCCGGGGCACGUUCUGGUGCCCUGCCGGAGAGGGGAUUCGGAUACGGAGGGCUUCUUCAUCAACACCAUUGCCUCUCCUAUGAUGCGUGAGUAGUUCACCAUAGACCUUCAGGUCCAUAGCUAGUAGCUAGAUGGCUUCUUCUCUCUCUUGGAUCUUCAAUACAAAGUUCUCCAUGAUCUUCAUGGAGAUCUAUCCGAUGUAAUCUUCUUUGCGGUGUGUUUGUCGAGAUCCGAUGAAUUGUGGAUUUAUGAUCAGAUUAUUUACAAAUCUUAUUUGAGUUUCUUCUGAUCUCUUAUAUGCAUGAUUUCAUAUCCUUGUAAUUCUCUUCAAGUUGUGGGUUCUGUUUGGCCACCUUGAUCUAUGAUUCUUGCAAUGGGAGAAGUGCUUGGUUUUGGGUUCCUACCGUGCGGUGACCUCACCCAGUGACAGAAGGGGUAGCAAGGCACGCAUCAUGUUGUUGCCAUCAAGGGUAAAAAGAUGGGGUUUACAUCAUUGGUUUGAGUUUAUCCCUCUACAUCAUGUUAUCUUGCUUAAGGCGUUACUCUGUUCGUCAUGAACUCAAUACACUAGAUGCAUGCUGGAUAGCGGUUGAUGUGUGGAGUAAUAGUAGUAGAUGCACAAAGUAUCGGUCUAUUUGUCUCACACUAUGGCCCCCGGGUCUACUUCACAUGAUAUUUUCAGCCUUACACUUCUACUUCGUUGCACUUUCCGCCUUCAGAUCUCACUUUGCAAUCAAUAUUUAAGGGAUUGACAACCCCUUUAUAGCAUUGGGUGCAAGCUCGUUUGUGUUUGCGCAGGUACUCUGGACACUUGGCUUGAUUCUCCUACUGGAUUGAUACCUUGGUUCUCAAAACCGAGGGAAAUACUUACUGCUACUGUGCUGCAUCACCCUUUCCUCUUCAAGGGAAAAACCAACGCAAGCUCAAGAGGUAGCAAGAAGGAUUUCUCGCACCAUUGCCGGGGAAGGAUUUCUGGCGCCGUUGCGAGGGAGGAUCAAUUCAAGAAUAGUCUCCUGUCAACGUGUCAAUUUCUGCCACCGGGGAUUAUUCUAGGUGAAGCUUAUCCAAGUAAAUGUCGCAAACUCAUCUCUUGCAUUUAAUUUUUUGCCUCUCGUUUUCCUCGCCCCCACUUCUGAAAAACAAAAAUAUUUGCCUUUUUCGUUCGCCCUUUUCGCUCGCUUGCUUUCUGUUCGCUUGUGUGCUUGUUUGCAUGCUGAAGUCACCAUGAUUGAAAACACCAAACUUUGUGACUUCUCGAAUACUAAUAAUAAUGAUUUUGUUAGUACUCCGAUUGCUCCCCCCACUAGUGCGGAAUCAUACGAAAUCAAUGCUGCUUUGCUGAAUCUUGUUAUGAAAGAGCAAUUCUUCGGCCUUCCUAGUGAAGAUGCCGCAUCCCAUCUUAAUACCUUCAUUGAGCUUUGUGAUAUGCAAAAGAAUAAAGAUGUGGAUAAUGAUGUGAUUAAAUUUAAGCUUUUUCCGUUCUCGUUGCCAGAUCGAGCAAAAACUUGGUUUUCAUCUUUGCCCCAAAAUAGUAUUGAUUCUUGGAACAAGUGCAAAGAUGCUUAUAUAUCCAAGUAUUUUCCGUUGGCUAAGAUUAUCUCUCUCCGUAAUGAUAUCAUGAAUUUUAAGCAACUUGAUCAUGAACAUGUUACACAAUCUUGGGAGAGAAUGAAAUUGAUGAUUAGAAAUUGUCCCGCUCAUGGCUUGAGUCUUUGGAUGAUUAUACAAAUUUUUUACGCUGGUUUGAAUUUUGCUUCUAGAAAUAUCUUGGACUCCGCCUUAGGUGGAACGUUCAUGGAAAUCACAUUAGGAGAAUCCACAAAACUCCUAGAAAAUAUCAUGACAAACUACUCUCAGUGGCACACUGAAAUGUCACCUACUAGUAAAAAGGUACACGUUAUAGAAGAAAUUAACUCGUUGAGUGCUAAGAUGGAUGAGUUAAUGAAAUUGGUUGCUAGUAAAGGUGCUCCUUUAGAUACUAAUGAUAUGCCCUUGUCUUCCUUGAUUGAGAGUAGCAACGCGAGCUUGGACGUUAAUUUUGAUGGUAGGAAUAAUUUUGGCAACAACAAUGCUUUUAGAGGAAACUAUGUUCCUAGGCCAUUUCCUAGUAAUCCCUUUAAUAACUUUGGCAAAUCCUACAACAAUACUCAUGGAAAUUACAAAAAAUUACCCUCUAAUCUAGAGAGUAAUAUCAAAGAGUUUAUCAACUCGCAAAAGAUUUUCAAUGCGUCCAUAGAGGAAAAACUACUCAAAAUUGAUGAUUUGGCUAGGAGCGUUGAUAGAAUGUCUAUUGAUAUUGAUGCUUUGAAAGUUAGAUGUGAUCCUCCCAAGAUCAAUAUGGAUGAAACUUUAAAAGCUAUGCCUGCUUCCAUGAAUGAGAGCCAACAAAGAACCACCCAAAUUCGUGCUAGACAUGAAUGGCUUAAAAAGGCGUGUUCUCGUGAUAAGAAUCACGAAGAUCUUAAAGUGCUUGGUGUGACUCCCAUUGAAUCCUUGUUUUCUAGUGUCAAACCUAAUGAUGAUGGGGCUGGAUAUGAAUCCACUUUGGUUGAAAAAUGCCCCAAUGAUUCGGAGUCCAUCUAUCUUGAUGCUAAAAGCAUUGAAAGUGGAGUAGAAGAUAUCAAAACUUUGAGUAGUAAUGAAACUACUACUUUGGAUUUCAAGGAAUUCAACUAUGAUAGUUGCUCUUUGAUUGAAUGUAUUUCCUUGAUGCAAUCCAUCCUAAACUCUCCACAUGCUUAUAGCCAAAACAAGGGCUUUACCGAUCAUAUCGUCGAUGCUAUGAUAAAAUCUCUUGAAGAGAAACUUGAGUUGGAAGUUUCUAUUCCUAGAAAGCUUCACGAUGAGUGGGAACCUACUAUCAAAAUCAAAAUCAAAAACUAUGAAUGCAAUGCUUUGUGUGAUUUGGGUGCUAGUGUUUCCAUGAUUCCAAAGUCUUUAUGUGAUGUUCUAGGCUUUAAUGAGAUUGAGGAGUGCUCUCUUAAUUUGCAUCUUGCGGAUUCUACUAUCAAGAAACCCAUGGGAUCAAUGAUGUUCUUAUUAUUGCAAAUAGGAACUAUGUACCCGUCGAUUUCAUUGUGCUUGAUAUUGAUUGCAAUCCUACAUGCCCUAUCAUUCUUGGUAGACCUUUCCUAAGGACUAUUGGUGCUAUCAUCGAUAUGAAGGAAGGGAAUAUUAGAUUUCAAUUUCCUUUAAAGAAGGGCAUGGAGCAUUUUCCUAGAAAGAAAAUAAGAUUGCCUUAUGAAUCCAUGAUGAGGGCUACUUAUGGUUUGAGUACCAAAGACGACGAUACGUGAUUCCAUCACCUUUUGCCUAGCUAAGGACGUUAAACAAUAGCGCUUGCUGGGAGACAACCCAAUGAAUUUAUCUUUUGCUUUCUAUUUUGUUGCGUCCACACCAUCAUAAUUCUAUUAUGAUUGUGUCUUUUGUGUUUGAUCCAAGCAAAACCUUUAUGACUAGUUUGGUGUCGGUUGUUUGAUCCUGCUGGAAAAAGACAGAAACUUUUCGCUCACCAAAUUAUUUUUCAUUUUUAUCCAGAAUGAGAUUUUGAGUUGAUUCUCUUUUCUGCUGGUUGAUAUGCCAUUUUCCGAGGCUGUCGUAAUUUUUCAGAAUUUUUGAGGUACCAGAAGUAUACAGAUUGAUACAGACUGGUGUGUUUUUGACAGAUUCUGUCUUUGUUGUGUUGCUUGCUUGUUUUGAUGAAACUAUGGAUAGUAUCGGGGGGUACUAGCCAUGGGAAAGUGAGAAUACAGUAAUUUAAUACCAAUAUAAAUAGUAAUCAAGUUUGCUAUAGUACCUCAAGAGGUGGUAGUUUGUUUUCUUGUGCUAAUGAUAUCACGAGUUUCUGUUUAAGUUUUGUGUUGUGAAGUUUUCAAGUUUUGGAUGAUGUUCUCAUGGACAAAGGGAUAAAGAGUGGAAAGAGCUCAAGCUUGGGGAUUCCCAAGGCAUCCCAAGCCAAAUUCAAGGACACCAAAAAGCCUAAGCUUGGGGAUGCCCCGGGAAGGCAUCCCCUCUUUCGUCUCCAAUCCAUCGGUAACAUUACUUGGAGCUAUAUUUUUAUUCACCACAUGAUAUGUGUUUUUCUUGGAGCGUCUUGUAUCGUAGGAGUCUUUUCUUUUUGUUGUGUCACAAUCAUCCUUUCCGCACACCUUUUGAGAGAGACAUGCACUCAUCGUGAAUUUCCAAGAAUACUCGUUGAGCUUCGCUUAUAUCUUUUGAGUUAGGCAAUUUAGCUCACAUGUGCUUCACUUAUAUCUUUUGAGCUAGAUAAUUUUGCUCUGUGUGCUUCACUUAGAUCUUUUAGAGCACGGCGGUGCGUAACUUGGUAGUUGGUUUGUGCUAUGAAAGUACUCCCAAAGGUGAUAGAUACCCAAAGAGGAUACAAUAAAACUUCCAUAUUCAUGUCCAUUGAUUAGAAAGAGAAGUUUGAUUCCUCUCAAUUAGUUUUGAGACAUGGAUUUGGUAAUAUUAAGAGUUAUGUUAGUAGGGUGUUGUGAAUCUAGAAAUACUUGUGUUUAAGUUAGUGAUUCCCGUAACAUGCACGUAUGGUGAACCGCUAUGUUAGGAAGUCAAAGCAUAACUGAUCUAUUGGUUGUCAUCCUUUUUGUUGCGGUCGGGAUCGCACGAUGGUUAACACUUACCAACCCUUACCCUAGGAGUAUGCAUUUAGCACUUUAUUUCGAUUACUAAUAAAAACUUUUGCAAUAAGUAUGUGAGUUCUUCAUGACUAAUGUGAGUCCAUGGUAUAGAUGCACUUUCACCUUCCACCAUUGCUAGCCUCUCUAGUGCCGCGCAAUUUUCGCCGAUGCACAAACCCACUAUAUGCCUUCCUCAAAACAGCCACCAUACCUACCUACUAUGGCAUUUCAUAGCCAUUCCGAGAUAUAUUGCCAUGCAAGUCCCACCGUUCCGUCUCAUGACCUGUGCCGUCACUCUCAUAUUGCCAUUGCAUGAUCGUAAGAUAGCUAGCGAGUCAUACGCCAAGCUAGAUCGUUGCACAUCCCGGUACACUACCGGAGGCAUUUUCUAUAGAGUCAUCAUCGUUCUAAGCUUUGAGCUGUGAGUAAAUAAAUGUGUGAUGAUCAUAAUUAUUAGAGCAUUGUCCCACGUGAGGAAAUAAAAAAAGAGGCCAAAGUUGCCCACAAAAAAAAGAGAUAUGGAAAGAGGCCAAAGAGCCCAAACAAAAAAAGAGAGAAAAAGAGAGAAGGGACAAUGCUACUAUCUCUUUCCACACUUGUGCUUCAUAAUAGCACCAUGUUCUUCAUGAUUGAGAGCCUCUCGUUUUGUCAUCACGAUAUGCUAGUGGGAAUGUUCAUUAAAUAACUUGGCUUGUAUAUUCCAGUGAUGGGCUUCCUCAAAAUUUCCCUAGGUCUUCGUGAGCAAGCAAGUUGGAUACACACCCACUAGUUCUCCUUUUGAGCUUUCACAUACUUAUAGCUCUAGUGCAUCCGUUGUAUGGCAAUCCCUACUCAUUCACAUUGAUAUCUAUUAAUGAGCAUCUCCAGAGCCCUUUGAUACGCCAAGUCGAUAUGACCAUCUCCUCUUUUUGCCUCACAACCUCCACCACAGUCUAUUCCACCCAUAGUGCUAUAUCCAUGGCUCACGCUCAUGUAUUGCGUGAGAGUUGAAAAAGGUUUGAGAAAGUAAGAGUGCAAAAAAAAUUACUUGGCCAAUACCGGGGUUGUGCAUGAUUUAAAUUAGUUGUGUGGGGAUGAUGGAGCAUAGCUAGACUAUAUGAUUUUGUAGGCAUAACUUUCUUUGGCCUUGUUAUUUCGAAAGUUCAUGAUUACCUUGAUAGUUUGCUUGAAGUGUUAUUGUUUUCAUGUCAAUAGCAAACUAUUGUUUUGAAUCUUACGGAUCUGAACAUUCAUGUCACAUGAAAGAAGUUACGAAGGAAAAGUAUGCUAGGUAGCAUUCCUCAUCAAAAAUUCAGUCUUUAUCACUUCCCUACUCGAGGACGAGCAUGAGUUAAGCCUGGGGAUGCUUGAUACGUCUCCAACGUAUCUAUAAUUUUUGAUGGUUCCAUGCUAUUAUCUUGUCAAACUUUGGGUGUUUUGUAUGCCUUUUAUAUCUUUUUUGGGACUAACUUAUUAACUCAGUGCCAAGUGCCAGUUCCUGUUUUUUCCGUGUUUUUGACCCUUUUCAGAGGAGAAUAUUAAAUGGAGUCCAAACGGAAUAAAACUUCCGAAAAUAUUUUUUCCGGAACAAAAGAUACGCAGGGGACGUGAGAACCAAGGCAGAGGCCACCAGGGGAGGCCACAAGCCCCCGAGGCGCGGCCAGGGGGGCGCGCCUAGCAGGCUUGUGGGCCCCCAAUGGCUCGUCUGCCCUACCCCUUCUGCCUAUAAAUUCCUGAAAAAUCCAAAACUACGGGAGAGAUCCAUGAAAAUACUUUUCCGCUGCCGUAAGCUUCUAUCUCCGCAAGAUCCCAUCUAGGGCACAUUCUGGUGCCCUUCCCGAGGGGGGAUUUGGAUACAGAGGGCUUCUUCAUCAACACCAUUGCCUCUCCGAUGAUGCGUGAGUAGUUCACCAUAGACCUUCGGGUCCAUAGCUAGUAGCUAGAUAGCUUCUUCUCUCUCUUGGAUCUUCAAUACAAAGUUCUCCACGAUCUUCAUGGAUAUCUAUCCGAUGUAAUCUUCUUUGCGGUGUGUUUGUCGAGAUCUGAUGAAUUGUGGAUUUAUGAUCAGAUUAUCUAUGAAUCUUAUUUGAGUUUCUUCUGAUCUCUUAUAUGCAUGAUUUCAUAUCCUUGUAAUUCUCUUCGAGUUGUGGUUUUUGUUUGGCCAACUUGAUCUAUGAUUCUUGCAAUGGGAGAAGUGCUUGGUUUUGGCAUCAUAUCCUGCGUUGACCUUACCCAGUGACAGAAGGGGUAGCGAGGCACACAUCGUGUUGUUGCCAUCAAGGGUAAAAAGAUGGGGUUUGGAUCAUUGGUUUGAGUUUAUCCCUCUACAUCAUGUCAUCUUGCUUAAGGCGUUACUCUGUUUGUCAUGAACUCAAUACACUAGAUGCAUGCUAGAUAGCGGUCGAUGUGUGGAGUAAUAGUAGUAGAUGCAGAAAAUAUCGGUAUACUUGUCUCGGACGUGAUGCCUAUAUGUAUGAUCAUUGCCUUAGAUAUCGUCACGACUUUGCGCGGUUCUAUCAAUUUCUCGACAGUAAUUUGUUCACCCACCGUAAUAUUUGCUAUUUGUAACAUCCCAAUUUUCCUAAUUGGGAAUGUUCUACAAAUGUAGCUAAGCAUCUAUGCAUUUUGUUUGCAAUAAAGUUUUGCAUUUGAAUUCCGUCAAAUACUUGCUUUUGCUUUUGUAUUUUCCCCCCAUGACAAAUGCCCCGACAAAAUUCUUGCAAGAAAGAAAGAGCGGAGGAAAAUGACCCUCCAAAAUGAGAGGCACUUUUGAAAAUAAUUGAGCCAAGAAAAACCAGAAAUUUAUGGAGAAAAUAAUUUGAAAAAAAGAAAAUAUAGCAUAAGGGGUUUUUCUGAAAAACCAUUUUUUUAAAAAAGUUUUUAUUUUGGUUUUGGAAAAAUGAUAAAAAAUUAGGAAAUAUUUUUCUGAUCAAUUUGGUAUAUAAUACCCUAUAUUAAUUAUUUUAUUUUGUUUCCUUUUUAUUUUAUUCCUUGCUGUUUUAAUAAAACAAUCCGGAAGGUAAUUUUAUUUUAAAGGAAACCGCCCUGGGGCGGUUUUUUACUUGGGCCGAUCCCCCACCCACCGGGAUCCAGAUCCCCUGGCCAACCGCCACCGUAGCGCUUCCCUUUUUUUUCUUUCUCNCCUCGCAUGAGAGGAGCUCCAGAGAGAACCACACCACCACGAGAUCCCCCUCGUCCCCCGCAACCCAUUUUUGCCCCUAGCCCGAGUCCUCGCCGCCUCAUCACCACCCCACGCCACCUCGCCGGAGUUGGAGCCGGCCAAAGCUACCGGAGCCUCCCCUGCACGCCCCGGUCCCCGAGCCACCUUGCCGUCGCCGCCAUCCGAAGGAGGAGCAUCGUCGCCGCCUCCUGGACCCUCCAGACGCUGCCGGAGACCGCGGAGGGCCAUCCCCGUCGACCUCCACUUCACUGUUCGCCGGAGAAGAACCAGCACCGGCAGCCACCUCCGUGAGCAACCACACCCCCUCUCUUAGCCGUUCGAUCAAAAUCCCACGCGUAAGAUUAGAACCCCGGUACCCCUUCGGUUUUAGUUAAAAGACCGAGCCGGUUUUUACCCCACUUACUAUUAGCCAGAGAGUUUUUAUUAGAACUCGGCCGUGUGCUAGUAACCCUCGCGUCAAACACCCCCGCAACCAACCAGAGACUGCCACACGUACCCCUAUCCGAUAGAAUUCAGAUUUUAGUUCUCUGUUUUAAUUCCAAAACAGAGAAAGUUUCAAUCUUGUUUUGACCAUAACCUUUGAUCCAGAAUUUCAAUGGAGUUGAAACUUGUUCCAGUAGAUCACAAUGUUUCUGUAGUUUUCAAAAACAUAUAAUUUGUCUAUGUUUGAAAUUUGCAAAUUUGAAUUAUAUCAGAUUUAGUUUAAACCUUGUUUUGCUUAUUCCAGGAGUUAAAAAAUAGUUUUUUAUUUGAUUCUUUUUUCUACUCCUUCCUAGUGAUUAUAUCUUUCUGUAGUAUAAGUUGCAAUUUUUUUUAAUAUGUUUACUUGGGGUUUUAACAGAAACAAUUUCUGCCUUAGUUAGGUGAAGUGAAUUCCUUCGCUUUGUGCCAUAGCUACUUUAUGCUUGUGAUGUUAUUUUACUUGUUGAUGAUUGUAGUGCUUAUGGUGUGUAUUUGUUUGUAUCGGUAGAUCACCCAGAGUGCGAAGCUUGUUACUUAGAAGCGCUCGAUCAAGACAACUAUCAUCAAGGCAAGUCAUUUUGAUCAUACUAUUCGCCUAUGUUUUCUAUGCAUGGUAGUUUCACCCUUCUUUGCCCAAUUGCAUGCUGAGUAGGUACUUGGAAAUUAUAGUUAUAGGUUGUAGUAUCAUGUGGUAGGCACACAACAACCCCGAUACUUGGCCCGGGACGACAAAUUUCAUAUUGCUAUGCUUGAGUAGACGGGAUUCUGGUUGAGUACAUAACACGAGUGAUGCGAGGAUAAUUAAAUAAACAAGACCGGUUAAGUCAAGAUUUUCAAGACCUCGUGAAGCAAUGCAACUCUGGGUGAAGGACGGUUUGACGGGCUCCCUGGAGAAACCAGUGGACGACCCUGGGAUGCUUGGAGACGUGCCAUGACAUCUUGCGGAAAGCUUCACCCAGGCUCGAAGAGACGGACGGAGGCUUCAAGACCCAAGGCUUACCUGCACAACCACAAGUCAUUAUGGGCUCUGGCUUGGUUGGACAACGCGGCAACUCUGGACAGCCGGUGCUAGCAGAUGUAGAAGAACGGUAGGAAUGGAUGGGCACCGAUAGGGAUUCAGAGGGACCUGUUGGAAGGCCAUGUUUUGAUCAUCCGGUCUUCAAACACCAUAAAGUGCGAGGACAUACUCGGAGGCGAUCAAAUCUUGUGGGGAACGUGUGCAAAACUCUGCAGAGUGCCCAAACCUAAUCGAUUAGCCGUGUCCACGGUCAUGGACAAUUUGAGCCGAAGGCAUUGAAAUUAUCCUGAACUCUCAACACAAUUUAAUAAUGAUGUGGGAAUUAUCAACAACUCGGGUACGAGAAUUGGUUGGCGGAACCAUCUCAUUAACAACAAACAAUGUAGUAAUAUUUUGCUUUCAGCCCCCCUCUUGUUGUAGGAGAAAAUUUGCUUUAUGCUAAAACUUAUAGCCCCACCUGCCAUAUAUAUGCAUGUAGAAAUAGUUGGUUAUUAUUUUCCCCCUCUCUUUGAUGACUUGCUGGCAUAUUCCAUAUGCUGACCUACACGGCUGCAACGUAUCAUGUUGCAGAGUACUUUUCCGACCAGGAGUGAGGCUACGAUCUACGCUCAACGACAUGCCCUGGAGUCGGAUGGACUCAUCUACCUGAUGCUUCCGCUAGUCUUCGUUAGAUAUCUCAUGAGAUGGCCUUCACCCACUUUAUUGUAAUUCAUUAUUGUAAUAAAGUACUCGAUAUGAGAUUUCGAUUAAUAAAGCUGUGUGAUUGAACUCUUGAUAUAUACAUUGAUGUACUGAGUGUGUACCAGCAUGAUCUUGGGAUGGUAUGGAAACACCACAGGCUUGACUCGUAUUGAGUCUGGUCGCUACACUAUUUUGAGAGAAGCCUCUAGUGAACACUAUGGCCCCCGGGUCUACUUCACAUCAUAUUUUCAGCCUUACACUUCUACUUCGUUGCACUUUCCGCCUUCAUAUCUCACUUUGCAAUCAAUCUUGAAGGGAUUGACAACCCCUUUAUAGCGUUGGGUGCAAGCUCGUUUGUGUUUGCGCAGGUACUAUGGACACUUGGCUUGAUUCUCCUACUGGAUUGAUACCUUGGUUCUCAAAACUGAGGGAAAUACUUACUGCUACUGUGCUGCAUCACCCUUUCCUCUUCAAGGGAAAAACCAUCGCAAGCUCAAGAGGUAGCAUGGAUGCCAAUGCUUUUUAUUUUUACUAAUUCAAUUAUUGUUAUUUCAGUCAUUUAUUGUACUUCAAGAGAGAACAUGAUCGGUUCAUGAGGGAGAGAGAACAUGAUCGGUUUGUGAGGGAACUGCGAGUCAUUUUGCUCCGUUGGCGUGUGAUUUACAUUUGUCACACACGACGGACUUGCCCAACUUGACCAUCAACGAAAUUCAAAAUACCCAUGAGAGAGUGUUCACCAUAUAUACCACCCCCAGAGAGAGUGUCCACCAUAAAUACGUGAUCGAGUGUCGAUGUGAGUUGUUCUUGGAAGAAGAAAAUUGACUUUUGCCGAUGGUUGUCAAUCUGCACAAGUUCGCUGUGUGAUAUACAUUUGUUACGCAUGAUGGACUCGCCCAACUUGACCAUCACCGAAAGUCGAAAUACCUGUGACAGAGUGUCCAUCGAAAAUCGAGUUUUGCUUACAAGUAUUAUUUGAUGUUUGAUUCUUAUGUUAUUUUUAAUUGUUUGAUGCAAGGUGUUAACACCGACAGUCAAUUUUAUGGCUAUGGCUUCCUCUAAUUACUUAGACGUCCUCUAAUUUGUUGUUGAAUGUUUUACGUGGCUGCUAUGGGUAUCUAGUAUGAUCGCAUCUUACUUACGCAAAACCACAAGGGUGAUAUGCAAGUUGCUAUUUAAUCUUCUUCAAGGACCGCCUCGUUCAAAUCGGAUUCAACUAAAGUUGGAGAAACAGACACCCGCCAGUUAUCUUUAUGCAAGAAGUUGCUUGUUAGUAGAUGAAACCGGUCUCUCGUAAGCAUACGAGUAAUGUUGGUCCGGGCCGCUUCAUCCAACAAUACUGCCGAAUCUAGAAAAUACUAUGGAGGACAACAAUCUGAAUAUCAACGCCCACAAACUCCUUUGUGUUCUACUCGAGAUGUCAUCUACGCAUAGACCUAGGUCAUGAUGCCACUGUUGGUGAACGUUGCAUGGGAAACAAAAAAAUUCCUACGCACACGCAAGACAUAUCCAUGGUGAUGACCAUCUAUGAGAGGGGAAAGUGCAUCUACAUACCCUUCUAGAUCGCUAAGCAGAAGCGUAUAUAACGCGGUUGAUAUACUGGAACAUCUUUGCAAUCCAAAUUGCCGCCCUUCCCGCGAUCCCAUCACGAUCCAUCCCGAUAUAGUGUCGAAUGGACCGCACCUCCGCGUUCAGCACACGUACACAUCGAUGACAAUCACCGCCUUCUUGAUCCAGCAAGAGGGGCUGAGAGGUAGAUGAGUUCUUCAACAUGAAGGUGUGGUGGUGGCGAUGAUGAACUAAUCCAGCAAGGCUUCGCCAAGCAAUACCGGACUAAUCUAGAUUAAGUAGACAAUCUAUGGAGGAGGGGUAGCACGUGGCUUUUUCAGGUGUGUUCUAGCCCCAAAACCUCCACUAUAUAUAGGAGGAAGAGGAGGGAGGGCUCCCUUGCCUCCUCCUCCAUGGAGAGGUUUGGUCGAGCCAACAAGGGAGGAGAGUCCUCCUCCAAUUCGGUUUGGUGGAGGACUCCCUUCCUAGUUUGUUUCCUCCUUCCCUUUUCCUUUUUUCCUUUCCUUUUUGCUACUUGGCCGAAAUAGGCCCUCUUGGGUUGGCCGCACCAUCCCACUAAGUGCUGGUGCGCCACCUUUAGGCUUAUUAGCUUCCAUCCCGGGUGGGUGGUCCUUCCCGGUAAAAUCCCGAAACCCAUUCAUCCCUCCCGGUACUUUACCGGUAAUGCCCGAAAUAUUUUCGGAAGCCAAAUGCAACUUUCCUAUAUAUCAAUCUUUACCUACGGACCAUUCUGGAGCUUCACGUGACGUCUGGGACUCCAAACAACUUUUGGUCAUCAACACACAUAACUCAAUAAUAUUGGAACGUCAUCGAACCUUAAGUGUGCAUACCCUGCGGGUUCGAGAACUAUGUAGACAUGACCGAGACACUCUCCGGUCAAUAAGCAAUAGCGGGACAUGGAUGCCCAUAUUGGCUCCUACAUAUUCUACAAAGAUCUUUAUCGGUUGAACCUCUAUGUCAAGGAUUCAGUUAAUCUCGUAUGUUGUUUCCUUUGUCCAUGGGUAUGUUACUUGACCGAGAUUCGAUCGUCGGUAUCUCCAUACCUAGUUCAAUCUCAUUACCAACAAGUAUAAUUACUCAAUCCAUAAUACAAGAUCCCGUAACUAACUCCUUACUCACAUUUCUUACAAGGCUUGUUGUGAUGUUGUUUUACCGAGUAGGCCCCGAGAUACCACUCCGUCAUAUGGAAUGACAAAUCCCAGUCUCGAUUCACGCCAACCCAACAUACAUCUUCGGAGAUACCUGUAGAGCACCUUUAUAGUCACCCAGUUACGAUGCGACGUUUGAUACACACAAGGUAUUUCUCCGGUGUCCGGGAGUUGCAUGCUCUCAUGGUCAUAGGAACAGAUACAUUGACAUGCAGAAAAUAGUAGCAAUAAACUGACACGAUCAUAUGCUACGUUCAUAGUUUCGGUCUUGUCCAUCACAACAUUCUUCUAAUGAUGUGAUCCCGUUAUCAAAGGACAUCUCAUGUCUAUGGCCGGGAAACCUUGACCAUCUUUGAUCAAUGAGCUAGUCCUUAAAGGCUCACUAGGGACAGUGUGUUGUCUAUGUAUCCACACAUGUAUUUGAGUUUCCAAUCAAUAUAAUUCUAGCAUGGUGCAUGGAAAAUAAACGAUUAUCAUGAACAAGAAAAUAUAAUAAUAAACAAAUUUAUUAUUGCCUCUAGGGCAUAUUUAUAACGAUAACCACAUUCUGCCUACGAUGCUUGGUGGACUUUGAUAAUGUAUAGAUAUAAACCUUCGAGGCCUCUAUGUGAUCCUCAGUAAUAUGGUCCGUGCUAAUCAUAACAUGUCGUAUACCAAAUAAACCUAGAAAAAACCAGAUACAAUAGGUUAGUUACAUGCACGUGUUGGGCCAGAAAGUACUUUAGUGUUAGCUUUAACUUAAGUUUUCUAACACGUUUGCUUCUACCAUUCUGCUGGUAAGGCGACCUGUCGUGGGUAUAAGUCUGACAGUAGAUGUGUAGUGUACGAAAGGAUGGGCAGAGCCUUAGCUACGGCAAGGUUGUAUGAGUUCAGGCCCCUCUGCAGUGGAGGUAAUAGCCCUACGUCUCAGUGCUCUGGGAGCUUGUUGUCGAGUGGAAUAUGAAUACAAUGAGUUGCUAACCCCUGCACCAGUGGGGGAGGGUGGCUUAUAUAGAGUGCGCUGCCCUCCACAACCGUUCGGUGCACAGGGGUGGAGUAGUGGCGAAUAAAUGCCUACGUUACCGGUAACGUACGUCUUAAAUGCUAAUAAAGGCACAUGGAAACGUAUCACCGUUUCCCUCCAGGAGGGUUGCGAUGUACAGAGUGGAAUCUAGUCGGUUAGUUUGAUAAACUCCGAAUGCUAAUCUCCGACUGGAUGGUCGAGGAUCUGUUACCGACUAGAUGAAGGGAACUCCUUAGUUCAGUCGGAACUGACUAAGGGCCUUGUCCCUUAUGAGGGGUAGUCCUUGGGUUGGACCUACAGGGCAGGCCUAUGACCCUACCCUAGGACUAUGACCCCAUCAUUAGUCCCCGAAUGGAUUGGGGUUGGAACGACGAAGCGUUGCUUGAAGUUUGGAUCCGACUGGAACGAAUGUGACUUUGGCGUUGCUUGCCUCGAUCCAUUUUAUCUUUUCUGACCAACGAUCCGAGUGGAAGUAUUUGUGGAACAAACUGUCGGAAACCGAGUGCUUCCAGGGUAUCUCCUGAAGUGACCAGUCAACUGACAGCGGCAGAUUUUCCGGGAUCCUCAAAUUUCGGUUACCGCGCGCUCAGUGGGGAUGAUGACAUCGCGCUCGAGUAGCGCCUGGCGCCUCGAUUCUCGCGCCUUCAUCUUCUCCACUGAUAUCGCCGCGGUUGGUCGGGGGAUAAGGUUUCGGGGCCACCUGCCAGUGAUGCAGUCGGAACCUUACUUAAACCUCAGCGGCGAGGGUUUUCUCGUUACGUUCGCCGGAUCUCUUGCCUUUGCUUCCUCCGCUCCUCUCGCCUCCUCCUGCGCACCCAAGCUUCCUCCUUUUCCUUCUCCUUCGUGGACCCGUAGAAGGGACAAACUAGCAAGCUGGAGGCGAAGAAGAAGAAGGGGAAGGCGGCGGCUCCUGCUCAGCGGCGGCAGUGAGCGUUGCCGGCGGGGUGGAUCCAGGGGGACUUCUUCCCCUCCACGGUGACGGAGGGGGAUCUGCUGCACAUGGUGGAGCACGGGAUGAUCGUGCACAAGUCGUGGAGGCUGCCGGCGGAGAGUGAGAUCGAGCCGGCGCCCCGGGAGGGGGAGCGCGUCCUGCUGCUCAGCCACGUAUAUCGAGGUUUCUCUGUGCCCCCGCAUCCUUUCUUCAAAGGCAUAAUGAACCACUUCGGGGCGCAGCUUCACCACUUUCCCCCGAAUGCUAUAGCUCAUCUCUCUGCUUUCAUAGUCCUGUGCGAGUGCUUCAUCGGCUGUCCCCCCCAUUGGGGGCUGUUCAAACAUAUUUUAUCUGCUAGAUCCCAAACUAUCAAGCGACUUCACCAGUCGGAUGAUAAGACACACCUUCUCCAGCUCUGCGGAGGCUUAGGUUUCCAGAAGAAGAGUAGAAGUAGUUAUCCUGCCCUUCAGCUGAGUGAGUCGGCUAGGAACUGGCAGUCGACGUGGUUCUACUGUCAGGACGUUGCUUGCCCGAAUGCCACGACAGGGUUGCCUCCCUUUAGCUUAGAUCGACCCGCUCCGCCUAAGCAGCUUGCGCUCACGAAGGCGAGAAGAUCGACAUCCAGCCUCUGGUCGAUGCACUCGUAGAUGUCGUCAGUAGGGGAGUCACCGGCAUAGAUUUACUGGAGAUUUUCCUCGGUCGGCUCAUACAACCACUGCAGGAUCGCGACCACGCCAUGUGGCACUACACGGGGCCCGAAGACUCCACUCGGACUAACGUCUUGGGUGUGACCGAGGAAAAGGUGGCGUCGUGGGUGCUCCAGAUCACAGGCGCCUGUGAGAACCCCAAAGGGUCUCGGUGAGUGAGGGCUUUCCGCGCGGACAAUCCUCCUCCAAACCAGGUGAGUACCAUUUGUCGAGUGCACGUAACUGUUUUAGUUUUAUCGCUAUCUUGAAUCUCUGCCUGGCGCCUGAUGUCGCCGACUGUAUUUUAUGCAGAAGUGGACCAACUGGUUUUCCCCCGUCUCGAACGGGAACCCGACCGAGGAGGAGGGCAGCCAGGAGGGCACCGUGGAGAGCGUCGAGUACGUCUUCGACAGUGGGGAAACGGAGGAAGAGUCUAGUGAAGAGGAGGAGCCCCCCCCCCCCCCCCCGCAGCCAGAGCAUCGAACCAAGCGCCGACAUGAACCUGCAGCUCUCUCGGCCCUUCCAGCAUCUUCGAGUGCCCCGCCUAUUGCUCCUGCGGUUCCGAGCGCCCCGUCAACUGUUCCCGGGGGUUUGAGUGCUCGGAGCACCAAGAGGACCAGGGAUGCUGCUACUGAACUUGCGGGUCAGCCUUCCAAAGUGGCCAAACCGAGCGGAUCUAAACCUCGGAAGGCUUUGCCGCGGAUGAGGGUAACCGUUCCCGUCACCUCGACGUAAGUAUAUUGUUCUUCUAAUUUCUUCUGAUAUUCGAUUGGACUCCUGUUUAUUGGUCGAAUGAAUUUCACUCGACAGAGUUGCUACCUCUGCCACCUCUCCGGCAUGCCAGGGGGAUGACCCCAUGGACACGGACAACGUCGUCUCAUCCCAGCCAGGUGCGUUGCAGCGAUUCCGAGAGUUUUAUAUUAUCGCAUCGCGAAUUCUGUCUUCGGUCUUGCCCCUUUCUUUUUCCGAGAUCUCGCGCCGUUCGGUCUGGCAGGGGCGAUUUAUGUGGAUGAGGGUGACCAGGGGAGACCUGAGCAAGCUGCGGAGCCUGUCAUUGAGGCUGUUCCGCCAGUUACUGCUCUCGCCGCGGACGUGCUGCCGACUGAGGCGAUGCCGCCGACUGAAACGGCGCUGGUUGCUGCUGAACCGACUGGAGCGAGCCUUGGGAUGCCCAAGGAGCUUCCAACGAUUCCAGGCCCGUCAAAUGUCGAGUUCAACGUCCAGCGCCUCCCGGAGGAUCAGGUGGGAGCGGCCAAGGGGGGCCUGGUGCAGGCGGAGCUGAUGCCUGGAGAAGCCAAGAAAGCGUACGACUCCAUCGCAUCCCUGUACAAGCGAAGCUUGGAGCUGCGGGACGAUAUCCGAGUAAGUGGGCUAGUAAGUAUUUACUUUUCUCUUGUAACCCACUGGGUGUGCUCGGAUACCGUAUGAUCUUUGCAAUGGGUUCACUCAGAGUGAAUCCAGUGGGUGUAGUCCCCAAGACUUCUGUCGAGUGCUUGCACCGGCAGUUGUCUUUAUGCAUAUUGUCUUUGACUUGGUCAGAUCCGUAAAUAAUAUGGUCGACUGCUAACAGUUGGGGCACUCGGAGUGCACCUACUGUAAGAGUCCCCGAGAGUAAUUUUACUCAGGUCGGGUAGUAUUAGCCUCGUAGGCGUAGGUGUUGUCAUGUAUCUCAAUAGGGCGGACCUCUUUGAGGUUCAUGCCAGUGGGGUCACUCUCAGUGAACCCACUGGGUGUAGUCCCUGAGACCGUUGUCGACUGCUUGCGUCGGCAGGGGUCUGAAGAACUUAGAGUUUUUAUUGUUGGAUUUGUCUGAUCGUCUCUUCGUGCUGGCUGGCAAAAAACUUGUGAGAUGGGGACAACAUACGAGACUCUUAGGGCUGAAAAGGUUCAGUUUGCCGGUGAGCUGGAUGCGGCACUGAUUGCAAUGGCUGGUAUGAAGGACAUUCUGGCGGAACGAGAGAAGUCGUUGGAGCAGGCUCGUGAAGCGAACAAGGCACUAACUGCUGAAGUUGAAAAGAUGAAGGCGCAUAGGUCUGAGCUGAUGGGGCAAAUGAAUGUGCCGAACAAGCGGUGUAUAGCGCAGGAAAAGUACGUCAGCGACUGGGCCCGGCAGAUGAUAACGCGUCUGGGUGGUAAGUCCUGUUUUUCCGAGUGCUUGUGGUAUGUGCGUUACACUCGGCGCUUAUUGUUUGCUUGUCCUGUGUUUGCAGAUUUUUGCAUGGACGCUGAAGCUGAAGCAGCUGACGUGGAGCGGUCGAUUCGCGAGAACAUUCCACUCGGCGAGGACGCCAAUCGAGAUCUGCUCCGAGCGCACAUUCGCGUGGGCAAAGUUGGUCCUUUCAUCGGUCGACUCAGAGAAGUCGUCGGCCGGAUCGACAAGGAGCUUUGGCCUGAAGAUGAGUCGCGGCAUGAGAUGGAAAACUUGAUGACUCGACUGGAGGAGGUCCCAAACCGAGUGCAGUCAUGGAAGAAAUCUGCGGCUCGCUGUGGUGCAGACGUUGCUCUGUCCCUGGUCCGAGUGCAUUGCAAGGAGGUGCGAAAAGAGAAGCUGAAAGCGUUGAAGCUCGCCAACACGAAGAAACUUUGAUUCGAAGACUUCAUGGAAACCUUCCUUGAGAGUGCCACCCGCAUCGCCGACGGGAUCGACCUGGACACAUUCGUGGAGCCCUCCAGUCCUGGCGCCAAUCCGGACGACGCGUAAGAAAACUUUUACCUCGGUAUGCCGAGUGUUGGUUGUAAGAAACCUUUGCCACUUCUGUUGGCCGUCACAUUCUUGGUUCGGUGCGGGUAAGCUUGAUCCGCACUGAGUGAACUAUCUUUAGGUGAACUUCGAAUUUGAAUCAAAUCGUUUGGUCUUCUGUUGCAAUUUUGGCUCGAGUUUUUGUUUGGCGUUUCUUGGUGAAGCAAAUGGCAAACAUGCGGAGCAUGUAAGUGUCAGUUGCCUUGGCAUCUGCAUGAGCCUCUCUGAGGGUCUUGCGGAGUCUCCGAGUGGAUCUGUAGGAUACAGUCGAAGGUAAUAGAAUACUUAGGCGACUCAUGACCGCGGCUAAGUUGUCGAGUGCGACACACAAGUCGCACUCGGAGCAGGUUGGGAUUCAUGUAAUUGUCAGUGGUCUUGACAUCCACAUGAGCCUCAAUGAGGGUCUGCUGAGUCUCCGAGUGGAUCUGUAGGGUACACUCGAAGGCAAUAGAGUACUUAUGCGAUUCAUGAUCGCGGCUAAGUCGUCGAGUGCGUCGGACAGGCCUCACUCGAAGCGAGUUGGUACUCAUGUAAUUGUCAGUGGUGUUGACAUCCACAUAAGCCUCAGUGAGGGUCUGCUACUCAUGUAAUUGUCAGUGGUCUUGACAUCCACAUGAGCCUCAAUGAGGGUCUGCUACUCAUGUAAUUGUCAGUGGUCUUGACAUCCACAUGAGCCUCAAUGAGGGUAUGCUACUCAUGUAAUUGUCAGUGGUCUUGACAUCCACAUGAGCCUCAAUGAGGGUCUGCUACUCAUGUAAUUGUCAGUGGUCUUGACAUCCACAUGAGCCGCAAUGAGGGUCUGCUACUUAUGUAAUUGUCAGUGGUCUUGACAUCCACAUGAGCCUCAAUGAGUGUCUGCUGAGUCCCCGAGUGUAUCUGUGGGAUACAGUCGCAGGAAGCUUUGUACUUAGGCGAUUCUUGAUCGCAGCUAAGUCCCCGAGUGCGACGUUUGGUGCACACACGGAGAAAGUUAGUACUUAGGCGAUUCUUGAUCGCAGCUAAGUCCCUGAGUGCGACGUUUAGUGCACACACGGAGAAGAUUAGUACUUAGGCGAUUCUUGAUUGCAGCUAAGUCCCCGAGUGCGACGUUUAGUGCACACACGGAGAAGAUUAGUACUUAGGCGAUUGUUGAUCGCAGCUAAGUCCCCGAGUGCGACGUUUAGUGCACACUCGAAGAAAGUCAGUACUUAGGCGAUUCUUGAUCGCAGCUAAGUCCCCGAGUGCGACGUUUAGUGCAUACUCGGAGAAAGUUAGUACUUAGGCAAUUCUGGAUCGCAGCUAAGUUUUUUUUAGACCGGAGUCUGCGACCACGGAAGAAUUUUGAAUCUGCAAAAGCUCAAUCUGCUUUAUAUUAUUUCACCAAUACUUGUUCUUUACAUUGCUUCAGUCGACGGUCACGUGUAGAAGCUCUUCAGGAGAUCUCCGUUCCAUGCUCGCGGCUCGUGUGUCUCCCUGUCGAUGUUGUAGAGUCUAUAUGCUCCGUUGUUCAGCACCUUGGAGAUGAUGAAGGGUCCUUCCCAGGCAGGAGCCAACUUGUGAGGUCUUUGCUGAUCCACUCGGAGCACCAGGUCGCCUGCUUGGAACGUGCGACUCCUGACGUGGCAUGCGUGAAAGCGCCGCAGAUCUUGUUGAUAAAUGGUUGAACGAGUCAGAGCCAUCUCGCGCUCCUCUUCUAGAAGGUCCACUCCGUCUUGCCUCGCUUGUUCUGCUUUGGCUUCAGAGAAGAGCUCGACUCGUGGAGCAUUGUGAAGCAAGUCACUUGGAAGGGCUGCUUCUGCUCCGUAAACAAGGAAGAACGGUGAUCGCCCUGUAGAUCUGUUCGGGGUUGUGCGGAGACCCCCAAAGUACUGAAGGUAGCUCGGUGACCCAUGCGCCAGCGGCAUGCCCCACCUCUCGCAGGAGUCGGGGCUUCAAACCUUGCAGAAUAAGUCCAUUUGCCCGCUCUGCUUGUCCGUUUGAUUGAGGAUGCGCCACGGAUGCAAAAUCCACUCGGAUACCUUGGCUUGCACAGAAACCUUUGAAUCUGUCCGAGUCAAAGUUUGUUCCGUUGUCUGUGAUUAUGCUGUGAGGUACCCCGAAUCGGGAGAUGAUAUCCCUGACAAACUUGAUGGCUAUUAGGGCAUCGAGCUUCUUGAUGGGCUUGGCUUCAAUCCAUUUUGUGAACUUGUCGACUGCCACCAACAAAUGUGUGUAUCCUCCUUGGCCUGUCCUGAAUGGACCGACUGUAUCUAAUCCCCAUACUGCAAACGGCCACACAAGAGGGAUUGUUUUCAACGCAGAUGUUGGCUUGUGGGACUUGUUGGAGUAGAACUGACAGCCUUCACAUCGGUCGACCAUAUCUUUAGCCAUUUCGUUUGCCUGCAGCCAGAAGAAACCAGCUCUGAAUGCUUUGGCGACGAUCGCUCUCGAAGAGGCGUGAUGACCGCAUGUUCCCGAGUGAAUUUCUUCCAGGAUUAACUGUCCCUCCUCUGGGGAGAUGCAUCGUUGAAGAACGCUUGAAACGCUUUCCUUGAACAACUGGCCAUCAAUGACAGUGAACGACUUCGACCUGCGGACUAUCUGCCUGGCCUGGACUUCGUCUUCUGGUAAUUCCUGCCUCAGGAUAUAUGUAAUGAUCGACACAGUCCAAUCGGGGAAGACAGCAAGAAUCUCCAUGAUCAGAUCAACCACAGCAGGUACGUCGACUUCAGUCGGAUCUGUCGAACUCUUUGGUUGUACUGGUUCCUCUGUGAAAGGAUCUUAUUUGACUGAGGGAAGGUGGAGGUGCUCGAGGCAGACGUCACUCGGGACUGGUCUCCGAGUGGAUCCGAGUUUUGCCAACUCAUCAGCUGCUUGGUUCUUCAGUCGCGGAACAUGGUGGAGUUCUAGACCUUCAAACUUCUUCUCAAGCUUCCUCACUGCAUUGCAGUAUGUGGUCAUGGUGGGGUUCCUGACGUCCCACUCUUUCAUCACUUGAUUAACCACCAAAUCCGAAUUGCCAUAGACCAUCAGGCGACGGACGCCGAGCGCGAUGGCCAUACGCAGUCCAUAAAGGAGAGCUUCAUACUCUGCCUCAUUGUUGGAGGAAUCAAAGUGUAUCUGCAGCACAUACUUGAGUUUUUCGCCCUUUGGCGAUACGAUCACAACGCCAGCGCCGGAGCCAUUCAACAUCUUGGACCCAUCAAAGAACAUUGUCCAAUGAGCCGAGUAGAUGUGGGUCGGUUGCUGUUGUUCUACCCAUUCUGCUAUGAAGUCAGCCAUGGCUUGACACUUUAUAGCUUUCUUGGCCUCGAACUUGAUAUCGCAGUACAACGUCUCCAUUGCCCACUUCGCCACUCGGCCUGAUGCGUCCCGAUUGUGGAGGAUUUCCGACAACGGGGCAUCGGAAACAACAGACACCGAGUGGUCUUGGAAAUAAUGGGCUACCUUCUUCGCAGUCAUGUAAAUCCCGUAGAUAAGUUUUUGAUAGUGGGGAUACCUCUGCUUGGAAGGAGUCAGGACUUCGGAGACGUAAUACACUGGCCGCUGAACUUUGUAUGCUUUGCCUUCUUCUUCUCGUUCGACUGUAAGAACAGUGCUGACGACUUGAUUUGUAGCCGCGAUAUACAGAAGAAGGGGCUCUUUACUGAGCGGAGCAGUAAUAACCGGCUGGGUGGAAAGUAGGACUUUGAGGUCGUCGAAUGCGACUUGGGCUUCGUCUGUCCACUCAAAAGUAUCUGAUUUCUUCAUGAGUCGGUACAAAGGAAGUGCUUUCUCGCCGAGUCGACUGAUAAACCUGCUCAAAGCCGCUAGGCAACCUGUGAGCCGUUGAACAUCGUGUAUUCUGACCGGCCUCUCCAUUCGGACGAUGGUUCCAAUUUUUUCGUGGUUGACAUCGAUCCCUUGUUCGAAAACGAAGAAACCGAGUAACUUUCCGCUGGAAACGCCGAAUGAACACUUGGCGGGGUUGAGCUUGAUAUCGUACCUACGAAGGUUGGCGAAUGUUUCUGCCAAGUCAGUCAGCAGGUCGGAACCUUUGCGUGACUUGACUAUGAUAUCAUCCAUAUACGCCUCCACAUUCCGACCGAUCUGGUCGAGGAGGCAUUUUUGGAUCAUGCGCAUAAAGGUAGCUCCUGCAUUCUUCAAACCGAAUGGCAUAGUGAUGUAGCAGAAGCACCCGAAUGGGGUGAUAAAGGCUGUUUUUAAUUCAUCGGGGCCAUACAGACGGAUCUGAUGAUAGCCCGAGUAGGCAUCAAGAAAUGACAAACGCUCGCAACCCGCAGUCGAAUCGACAAUUUGAUCGAUGCGGGGGAGCGGAAAAUGGUCUUUUGGGCAGACCUUAUUGAGAUGCUUGAAGUCGAUGCACAUUCGGAGUGACUUGUCCUUCUUGGGCACCAUGAAAACAUUGGCGAGCCACUCGUAGUGAUGAACCUCGCGAAUGAAGUUGGCUGCCAGCAGCUUGGCCACCUCUUCCCCGAUUGCCUUCCUCUUGUGCGCAGCAGACUGGCGCAGGCGUUCUCGGACGGGCCGAGCGGUGGGAUCCACAUGCAGUCGGUGCUCAGCCAACUCCCUGGGUACACCCGGCAUGUCAGAGGGUUUCCAUGCGAAGAUGUCCCAGUUCUCACGGAGGAAUUGGGUGAGCUCGGCUUCCUAUUUAGGAUCGAGGGUGGUGGAGAUGUUCGUUGGGGCAGCAUUGUCGUUCGUCGGGUGGAUGCUGACCUUCUUUGUCUCUCCCGCCGACUGGAAUGCAGACUCCGAAGCUGGCUUCUUCGAACGCAUCAAGUCAGUGGGGUCGACUGUUUUCUUGUACUCAUCAAGCUCGAGGACGGCCAUCUGCUGGUCGGCGAUUCUUGAUCCCUGCUGCAGACACUCUUCGGCCCGCUGUCGAUUGCCCGUGAUGGUGAUCACACCUUUCGGUCCUGGCAUCUUCAGCUUCAGGUAUACGUAACACGGACGAGCCAUGAAACGCGCAUACGCUGGGCGGCCCAGAAUUGCGUGGUAAGCGCUGUGGAAGUCCACCACUUCGAACGUCAGCUUUUCCUUGCGGAAGUUCUUGUCGGAGCCGAAAACGACGUCCAACGCGAUCUGGCCGAGUGACUUCGCCUUCCGUCCAGGGACGACUCCAUGGAACUGCAUGCUGCUCUCGCUGAGUUUGGACAUCGGAAUGCCCAUCCCCUUGAGAAUGUCGGCGUACAUGAUGUUUAAGCCGCUGCCGCCGUCCAUGAGGACUUUGAGCAGUCGGACUCCUUCCACUACCGGGUCGACGACCAGAGCCUGUCUCCCUGGGGUGGGUACGUGUGCUGGAUGAUCCGACUGGUCAAAGGUGAUCGCAGUCUGAGACCAUUUGAGGAACUUGGGGUUGGUAGGGGUGGCCAUGUUCACCUCCCUGUUCACCAGCUUCAGUCGACUCUUGCUCUCAACGUCAGCAAAAAUCAUCAGUGUUGCAUGGACUUGGGGGAACGGAUCCUCCUUAUCCUCCUCAUCUUGUUCAUUGUCUUUUUCACUCGGUUGCCCUUCGCCGAACCCCUGGAUCAGGAGGCGACACUGUCGAGUGGUAUGCUUCGGAUAUAUGGGGUUGCCCUCUUCAUCCAUCUUCGUAUGAACCGGACAUGGCUGGUCCAGGAUGGGAUUAUUGAACUGCUUCUUCUUGGGGGUAAACUGAGCCUUCCCUUUGCCCUUGAACUUGGCAUUGGUUACGGCUGCAGCUUCUGCCUGCGGAGUGGUCGGAGCUUUCUGCUUUUGCUUCCGAGUGUUACUCCCAUCUCCAUCGGCGACUGUCUUGUGCUUGCCGCUUCAGAUGCGGUCCUCUUCUUCGCCAUUUGCAUAGCAUGCUGCUAUCUCCAUCAUCUUGCUCAUGGAGAUGUCACCUGUUCGGCCGAACUUUAGGUACAGAUCCCUGUACCGCACGCCUGCCUUGAAGGCGCAGACUGCUUGAUGCUCUGUGACGUUCUCCACCGUGUGGUAGAGAGUUGUCCAACGUCGAAUGAAAUCGCGCAGGGGCUCAUUCUGCUUCUGGACGCAAUGCUGCAACUCCACGAGGCCCGCAGGCCGCUUGCACAUCCCUUUGAAGGUCCUGAUGAACACUCGGGCCAGAUCUGCCCAACUGUAGAUGCUUGAGGGGGCCAACUGGUUCAGCCACGCUCGCGCCGAGCCGUCGAGCAUCAGAGGGAGGUGCUUCAUGGCGACAUGGUCGUCUCCUCCUCCGAUCUGGACUGCCACUCGGUAAUCAUCCAGCCACAUUUCUGGCUUGGACUCUCCUGUAAACUUGCUAAUUCCCGUCGCUAAUCGUAAGUUGGGAGGGAUGUCAGCCGAUCGGAUGGCUCGACUGAAACACUCGGGACCAGAAACGAUGGUCCAGCUUCCACUCGGACGGUCAAUAUCAUAACCAUCGCGGUGGGCUCGGCCCGUGUCGACCCUCCGCUGGGCGAUAUGCCCUCUCGUGUCGGGCCUUGGGUCGUAAGUGUCACCGACUGAACGCCGAUCAUCAUGAUGUCGGGUCCCAUAGGGCCCACCCCGCGGAGGGGUGCGUGAACGGCGACGAUCUUCAGGAUUUAUGGAACGGCUGCCUCCCCUGUGUCGCUGACGAGAACCAGGGUUGUGAACUGACCGAUGCAUAUUCGCAUGAACAGAACAAUUGUAAAUCCUGUUGUGCGACUGGGAGACAGCCGAAUUUUGCUGCUGCGCCGUGUGCAACAGGGUGCGGAUUUGCUCGAUCCCCCUGCCGGCUUCUGAAUCAGUCGGCUGAAGGGAAUCGGCUAUCUUGGCAGCCGCAGCCAAGUUGAGGAGGGGUGUGCGGAACAACUCCAAGUUGCUCCGCCGAGUGUGCCGACUGGCAGAACGGCGAGGCGGACGACGCGCGCCGGACGUUUCGCCGAUCUCGUGCUCGUUCCGGCCAGCUUGACGGGGAUUUUCAUGGGAGUUGGCCAUGUGUACUUCUGCUGCAGGCCCGCGGCCCACGUACUCGGAAGGAAACUCAGUCGGAACCGAGUCCGAGCGCUGGGACGACGGGGCAACCACAACUGACUCUAGAACCACCACUUGUGAAGACGCGUUCUGGCGCGCCUGGGCGUGUUGCACCCAACGCUGGAGCCGCGGACGGCGGGACCGCUUGUUGCGGCGCGUGACGGCGGUGUAGGUCGACACCGGAGCCGACUGUUGGAGAAGAAGAAUGUCGCGGGUGCCGGCACAGAAGUGCGUAGCCCCGCGGCGGGGAAGCGCCUCAACGUCGAGAGGGGCGUCCCGAAGCCAUGCCGAAUCGUCGACAAUGAAGGAGAGAGCGCCGAAGAAGAUCUCGUGACCCAUGCUCGAAUCUCCACCGGACGACAUGAAGAAAUGAUGUAGUCGCAAACUCGCCGGAAGUCGCUUAGACGCCUACCCCAUGGUGGGCGCCAACUGUCGUGGGUAUAAGUCUGACAGUAGAUGUGUAGGGUACGAAAGGAUGGGCAGAGCCUUAGCUACGGCGAGGUUGUNNNNNNNNNNNNNNNNNNNNNNNNNNNNNNNNNNNNNNNNNNNNNNNNNNNNNNNNNNNNNNNNNNNNNNNNNNNNNNNNNNNNNNNNNNNNNNNNNNNNUGUAUGAGUUCAGGCCCCUCUGCGGUGGAUGUAAUAGCCCUACGUCUCAGUGCUCUGGGAGCUUGUUGUCGAGUGGAAUAUGAAUACAAUGAGUUGCUAACCCCUGCACCAGUGGAGGAGGGUGGCUUAUAUAGAGUAUGCUGCCCUCCACAACCGUUCGGUGCACAGGGGUGGAGUAGUGGCGAAUAAAUGUCUACGUUACAGGUAACGUACGUCUUAAAUGCUAAUAAAGGCACAUGGAAACGUAUGACCGUUUCCCUCCAGGGGGUUACGAUGUACAGAGUGGAAUCCAGUCGGUUAGUUUGAUAAACUCCGAAUGCUAAUCUCCGACUGGAUGGUCGAGGAUCUGUUACCGACUGAAUGAAGGGAACUCCUUAGUUCAGUCGGAACUGACUAAGGGCCUUGUCCCUUAUGAGGGGUAGUCCUUGGGUUGGACCUACAGGGCAGGCCUAUGACCCUACCCUAGGACUAUGACCCCAUCACGACCGAAAGUAUUUUGAUUGUGUUCGCUUGCUCUUUCCAACUGCCUCGUUUGUACCAUUACGAAUGGCAUCCUUCAUACGGGUAUUAAAACUGUUCAUACUAUUCUUUUUCUGAUUUUUCAGUGCUAGACCCGCCUGAUACCGUGUUACCAUUUUGUGGGGUUUGAGUGAUUGACGGAAAUUCAUUGGUGGCUAAUGAUGCAGAUCAUAAGGCGGCCGGGUGACUCAUCAUUAUCAAUAAUAAUAAAGGGCUCGGCUACAUAACAUUUACCAGGUGUUAUGUCUUCCACAUUCGGGGAAGAUACUCCAUUCUUCUCCUCUCGACGAUCUUUCGAAGGAGUUGAAUUAGCUUCAUCAAAAUAUUUCUAUUUGUACUUUUUCCUCCACUCUUCACUUUCAUUCAAAUGAGUUGAAUUUACUACAUCACAAGCAUCCAUGUCAGUUUUCGGCCAUUUCUUACGUUGCAUGUAUUUUUCUAUGGUUUUCGAGAAGAAAAUAACCGAAAACACCGGACGGACGUGACACAACGUGUGUUUGUUGUUCGGAUUCAUCGAAAUAUUGCGUGGGGCCCUGCUUGGGUCAUACAGAUAUGCUGCCAAUUUUUUUGUUUCAUUUCAUGCUUGCAAUCACCAAUACCAUGUGGAACGAACAUUGUUUGGGUCUACCCGGAAGCCACCUCCAAAGGGCGUUUUUUCCAACUCCACCGAAUUACCCAAAUUUUUCCAAACACAUGCAGCGUUACCACAAGCAUCAAUUUUAAUUUUCAAUCAUUUUCUACGCUCCAUUGAUUUUCUACGUUUUUCAAUAGGAAAAUAACCGAAAACGACCCCCAAAAGUGACGCAAUAUGCGUUUGGUGUCCGAAUUGGUUCAUUCUUUGUAUGGGGGCUACAUUGAAUGUUGACACGUGCUGCCAAAAAUUGAUGUCAUUUCAUGCAUGCCACUACACACACCAUGUACAAGCAGUACCCACUAUGCCGGUACGACACGUGUCCAACACAUUCAACGUUCCCCAUCCAUGAAACUCGCUCAAUUUAUUUUCACACGCUGGCAUGGACAUCACAAGCAUCCAUGUCUGUUUUCGGUCGUUUUAUAUAUUGCAUGCAUUUUCAAAGGUUUUUCAGAUAAAAAUAACCGAAAACACCGGCCGGACGUGACGCAACGUGCGUUUGGUGUCUAGAUUCAUCGAAAUCUUGCGUGGGGCCCUGCUUCGGUUAUGCAGACAUGCUGCCAAAUUUGGGACCAUUCUCAAGAUGACCAAAGUUUAUUCUUCUUCUCCGGAGGCCUUUUGGAUAGGAGUGAAUGCCCGUUGCGGAACACGUUCUUUUGAACAUCCUUCAAAUAAUCUUAAUUUUUUAUGCACCUGUACCAUCAUGACAUGCAUGAAUGCCAAGUUCAAUUACUUUCUAACAAUGUAAGCAUUUUACAUAAUUUUACAUAUGAAAAAACCCAAAACAACGCCCGGACAUGACGCAAAUCAAUUUUUUAAGCUCAUGAAAUAAUUAAACAAAUGUUUCCUCAUAAUACAUAAACACUCUUUUCAAAUACGUAAAGAUUAACAUAAACAAUAAGUGCAUGAAUGAUUUCUUACAUUGAUGGAUAUUUUUUAAUACAUUCAAAAAACAAUGAUGAGUCAAAUCUUCAUAAUUUUUAAAUAAUAAUAAUUUUAUCAUUUUAUCAGCAUUUUUAAAUUCAUUAUUAUUUUUAUAAAAAUCUCCGUCAUUUUCAUAUUUUGUUGCACCUUUUAUUAUUAUUGCACCUCCGGUGAUAUUAUCACAUAAAAAAAUAUUUAAGCAAACUAUAAAGGAACAAUUCAAAUUCCAUUUAUUUUUAGGAUAUAUGAUAUCAAUUUGAAUAUAAUUUUAUAAAAGAAUCAAAAACCUAAUCUAAUCUUCUUCCUCAUCACUCCUCGUGAGGUCGACCGCCGCAGUCGUCGUCGCCGUCGUCAUCACCGUCGUCGUCGCUGCUCAGAAGCCAGUCGUCCUCCUCCGCUGUCGCCUCCAGCGCCAUGGCCUGCUUUUCGUCCAAGGCCUCCUCCGCAGCCGCCCGCGCGGUCUCCUCCACCGACUUCGCCAGCGCCGCUAGCAACCCACGCGUGUCGGCGGGUUUGCCGUCCUGGUGCAGCGACGCCUGCUCCAGCGAGAGCGGGACCUCCGGCGUGGAAGGUGGGGCGGCAGGCGCGGCAGCUGGGGCAGCGGGCGCGGCUACACGACGAUGGUAAGGGUCGCCCUCCCAGGGGAUAUCUCCCACGGGGAGACCAUGGGCGGCGUGCCUGAACGCCCCGACGACAGUGUCGAAGCUCUUCUCGGUCCAGAAAUGGUGGCGGCCUUUCCUGUUGUACCGGCCACUGGGGUGUCGCCAGAGCUCCUCCCUCGAUGCCGGUGGGCCGAGGUUUAGGUAUCCAUCGGCUGAGAUUCGCCACGGUCGUGGCAGCUUCGCCGAUGGCGGCACGUACAGCCCGAACCGGGCCAGAUCUUCGGUCUGGUCGAUGGUCAGGCAGGAUGGCCAGACGCCGCCCGACGCCACACCGUCGAUGUCGGAGCCGCUCGACAUGGUGGCCACAUCGAGAAGGGAGAGAAGAGGAGGGGUGGUGUUGGCCGCGCCGAGAAGGAAGGGAGGAGAAUUGGGUGGUGCUGGCCGGGACGGGGCCGGCGUCGGUUUUUACAGCCCCGCGGGGGCAGCCGAGGCACCGGGCGGCCGAACCGCGACGUUAAUGCACGCGGUAGGCCGGUUACCACACGCGACAGCCGAGGAAGAAGGCGGCGGUGCGGCGCGGCAGCCGAGGAAGNGCGCCCACACGACGUGAGAUUGUUUUUUUAAAUAAUAAACCACUGUAUACGGAUACGUACGUCUGCGCAUGCCCGCAGACACUUUUUAAAAUAUGCCCAUUAUGCCCCCCGUUAUGAAGAGGUAUCGGGCGCCGUCUUUAUGUUAGGUGGGUCUAUUGAAGCGUAAGUGAAAAUCAAAUACUCACUCCGUUUUGAAAUUCUUGUCUUAUAUUUGUCUAGAUAUGAAUGUAUGUAGUCAUUUUUUGGUAUUUAGAUAUGGGAGCGCCUAGAGCACAGCUAGCUGCGUUUUUCCUAUGGUCUUAGUCACCUGACAUGGGUGUGAUGUCACCUUUUUCUGGCCCAUCCCGUUUUGUUUCUUGUCCCAGCCCGUUUUCUCUUUUGAUCCUGCAUGUGGGCUGUUUGCCUUUUUCUUUCCUAUUUGGGCCUGUUACUUUUCUUUCCUAUGUGGGCCUGCCACCUUUCUUGUUGUCUUCCCAUCCCUGUUGACCUAUGGGUGUCACGUGAUCUUCCUCCCCCCUGUUUCCACGCAUCUUCCUCCCCCCCCAUUCCCUGCCGCCAGCCACAUUGCUAAACCCAUUCCCAAACCUACCUGCAACCACAUUGCUACCCAUCCCCCUACCUCCAGCCACAUUGCUACCCAUCCCCCCAACCCUACCUCCAGCCAUCCUCUUGUUGUUGUUUUUGGGACAGGUAAAACAUCCUAGAUCUAUGGCCUGAUUCAGCUCAAACAAAGUUUGGGGGCAGAUUUAGGACAUGCAAGAACAGUACAAAGAAAACAGGGCAGAUUCAGCUCAAACAAAAACUGAUCCAGCUGAAAUACAUUUUGGGGGAGAUUCAAGACAAGCAGAAAACAGGGCAAAAAACAUUGUGUGCCAUGGAUACAGGAGAAACGCAGUUUGGGGGAUACUCAGGACAGGCAAAAACAGGAGAAGCUGAGCAAAGGAGUAAGAUAACUCACCAAGGUAAGCUGCUUUGCUUUGUUUUUUGUGCUUUCAAUUUCCGUCUGCAAUUGAUCAUCCACUGUUCUCACAAAAUCUCGCAACCAGAACUUUGUGACCUGUUGAAAAAGAAAGGAAACCUCUGUGACCAGAUUUUUUCUCUAACAAUGCAGCUAUACUUAGCACUUAUGGAAGCUAUCUGCUUGGCAAUCAGGUUAGAUAUGAGACAUGUUAUAGCUGCGUACACUUAAAAAAGGCACUCCCCCCCCCCCCAUAACUUGAACAAAAAAAUCCACAAAAAAAACUGAUGCUGCAUGCACUUACUAGGGACUGAAAAAGAAAAUGUUGUAUGUUUGCAGGCGAUACCAUACAACAACCAGAACUGUGGUUUCCCGUUUGGUGAAUCGAGCAAAGUGCCUGGUACAUUGCAUAGACUGUUGUUGGAUGAUGAAGUUGCUCCUAAUAUGCAUAACAUGAGAGGCAUCAAUGAAGACUGCAUGAGUAACAACAAUCCACAACAGGUAUGCAUCAAAAAAAGAAGCACCAGUGUAAAAAAAAUGACCCCUUUUUGACCAGGGCAGUGUGUACAUAAAAUUAAAAACAGCAAAUGACUACAAACAUCAGCAACUUUCUUAUUACAUAUUAAAAUGAUUAUUUUGGCAGAUGAAUGAACGCGCACAUCUGUUUCUUGGGGCUUCAACAAGCCAUUUUACACAAACAUCAACGAAUCAGUCUCCUGUAAGUGUGUCACAUGAACAAUGAUGCACCCGUGGUAAUAAUGACCUAAAAGAAAGAAUGGCUUGUUGACGCAGAAAAACCUUAUUAUUGUCAUUUUCAAAAAUUAGGGAAUGCAGAUCAUGAACAUGACAAGUGACGCACCUAUGUCUUACUUGCAAAUGAUGUUUGCUGCUGAUCAAGAGGUUUGGUCGUGACUCAUUACUUUCCUAUAAAAAAAACAACACGCAGAAAUGAAGGAAAAACAUUAUGAAACGAGUGUCUACUUGUUGUUUCUUGACAGGGUGCAAAGUAUGCAUUAUCUCAAUCCCAAGAAGAUCGGCUGCUUCGUACUGAGGUUUGUCUUCAUCAACUUCAAUAUAAAAAAUUUUGCAAAUAAAAUGAUUUAUUUCUCUAUAAAUUUACAUUUGUGUACAAUUGCUAAAAUAUAACUCUUGUUGCUAUGAAAAAAAAUUCAGAAUGAACUGUUCAUGAUAACUGGGUGAUAUGGAACAGUAACAUCGGAGGAUCCAAUGCAAACAAAUGCUCAAACAAUAGCAGGUACAUCGGAAGUUGACAACAAUCAAUGUCAAGAACAGUUCCCUGAAUAUCCAAAUUUUGAAAGCCUGCAAGAUUUGAAUUUUGACAAUGAACAACCUGAUGAAGCAGUAGAAUGCACCUCUGACCAGUGUCUUGAUGAAGAUGAUACAGACAGUGAAUCAGGAGAUGAGCUUUCCCUUGGGCAUAAAGGAAAAAGUUCUGCUAUGGAUGUUCAUAAUGUUGGAGAAAAAGAAUACACUGAAAUUGGGAUCGAAAAAGAACAACUAACACAAGAUGACAUCCUUAUGUUCCUUGAAGAUGAAAGUAUUGCUGCGGCUCGUACAUGCAGCCAGGAAGUCCGUAGCCACCAUGUGCCAGUAGUUGACAUGACAUUUGACAACCAAGAAGCAGCGUUUGGUUUCUACAAUGAGUAUGCAUCAAUCUGUGGCUUCUCAGUCAAGAAGGCAGGUUACUUUUGUCCAAAGAAGGAAGGUGGGAGUGCACCGACAAGGAUUACCUUCAAAUGUAACCGCUCUGGGAAAAUGAUUGAUGAAGAGGAGAAGGAGGCAAGGCUGAGGAAACGUCGGGAAACGAGACAGCAGAAAACAGGACAGGUUCCACGGGAAAACUUGAUAAAGAAGAAAACCAACACCAUUGAUAUAACUGGUUGUAAAGCUCAACUGAUUAUCACCAAGAAAAAUGAGAAAUGGGUAAUCACAACCGUCAACCUUGAACACAACCAUGAUUUGAGCCCUCCAUCUGAAACAAAAUAUUUGCGUUCUCAUAAACAUAUGACAGAGGAGGAGAAGCUUCUUAUCCGCACAUUCAAUGUUGUAAAGCUGCCGACAAGAAAGAUAAUGACAAUCCUCAGUUUCUUGAGAGGGGGCAACACUCCUUACACUAAAAAACAUAUCAGCAACGUGAGGACAGCAAUUGGAAAGGAGACUAACCAAAAUGACAUGAUGCAAGUGCUCACUUACUUCAGAAAAAAGCAAGGAGAAGAUCCAAGAUUCUACUAUGCGUUCAAGACAGCUAAUGUUUCUGAUGAGGCAACCAAGGUGUUGUGUAUUUUCUGGGCUGAUGGAUAUGCAAGAAAGAUGUACGACUUGUAUGGUGAUUGCUUGAGCUUUGAAACAACAUUCAAGACAAACAGAUACAAUCUACCAUUCGCUCCUUUUGUUGGCAUCACAGGUCACAGUCAGAAUUGUUUGUUUGCUUGUUCAAUAAUUGAGAAUGAGACAACUGAUACAUUUAAGUGGUUGUUUGAGACAUUCCUUCAUUGCAUGGGAGGCAAAGCUCCUGUCACAAUAAUCACAGAUGAAGAUGCAGCCAUGAAGACGGCAAUUCCUAUGGUUUUCCCUAAUUCCGUUCACAGACGAUGCCUCUUCCAUAUUAAAAAGAAAGCUGAGGAAAAAUGCCCUAGGACUUUCGCAACAAAGGAAAACCUGCGUGCUGAUUUCAGUGAUAUCAUACACAACUCAUUGACAGAGGCUGAGUUUGAAUGGUUGUGGCCAGAUAUGAUAGAGAGAUAUGGAAUUCAACAUGUGAAAUAUUUUAACCUUAUGUGGAAAAAAAGGAAGAGAUUUGUUCCAGUCUACUUCAAAAAGAAUUUUUUUUCCCGUCAUUCAUUCUACUGCACGUAAUGAGGGGACGAACGCCGUUUUCAAGGAUAACAUAACUUCAACUCACAGUGUCAUAUCUUUCCUGGAAGAGUAUCAAAGGAUUUCUCAAAACAUUCAAGACAAUGAGCGACAACAGGACUCGAUAACAAGAACAACUCAACCAACUUUCUGGGCUCACAGUGAACUUGAGAUUCAGGCAGCAACAAUGUACAAUAGGAAGAUCUUCUACAGGUUCCAAAAGCAGAUAAUUUUUUUUGUGAAUUUACAUGUUGAAGAAAUAGAGCGGAAUGUGAGGUAUGAAGUGUACAAGACAGAAAUGAUGGCUGCAAAAGAUUUCAGACAAAGAAGGUUUGUAGUUGAAGUCAACAUGCAACAACAUGAAUUUAGUUGCAUAUGUGCUAAAUUCUUGAAGGAUGGAAUUCUGUGUAGUCAUGUCCUUAGGGUUCUUUCUCAUCUUAACAUGUCAAAGUUGCCUCAAAAAUAUUACAUUGACAGAUGGAUGCCAAAAGAUGAAAAGGAUAUUCGAGACAAGCGUUUUAAUGUGCCUAUUGACGUAACUGCUGGUAGUCAACACUUAAGGUACACACUUCUAUCUAGCAGGUUAAAUGAGAUGGCUUCUGAUGGUGCCUCAACAAAUAGGAAAUAUUUGUAUGUUGUUGGAGAGAGUGAGAGAGUGCAACAAAGGUUGGAUGAGAUGACUAAGGAAGAUGAAGCUGCUAAAGGUCAGAAAACACAUGAUGGGCACACAAAUGUGGAAGAUUGCUGUACACGCCCACAUCCAGAUGGUUAUGGGGACAACUUGCAAGAUCCUGAUGUUGCUGUUUCAAAAGGACGUCCACAAACAGGGCGAUACAAGACAUUCAUGGAAACUUUAAUGGCCAAGCAAAAGAUUCAUUGUAGCCGUUGUGGUUCUGAAACACACAACAUUGCUACUUGCACAGCGCGCAAUGAUAGUAUCGUCCAGCCACAAGGACAAAACGUCCCAAGAAAACGUGCAUCAAGUGUAGUAGAAAAGUAGUUUCCCCUAGUUUUGUUUGAAAAGUAGUUUCCUGUUGUUUCCUUGAUGUUCACAUUUUUCUUUUGUUUGAGCAGCAGCAACAAAAGCAAAUCAAGCAAAAGGGGGGCAAGCAAAGAAGAGAGGCAAAUCACAAAACAAAUCAACAGUACAAAGACAAGAAUGACAUGGAUUGGAAUGUUUUGAAUUUAUUUUUUGUUUUUACUCAUGUAGUGAUGGAGCUACUUUAAAAAAGAGUGUGAGGAUGACCGUGUAAAGAAAUGUGUUGUAAUACUUUAUGAUUAGUGGGUGCAACAACAAAAUAUGGGACUUACAGAUUGAAGAAUAAUUUACUCGAAUGAUUUUGAUGUUGCAUCUGCUUUACGGUCUUGAUAGUUUUCUUCCCACCUUCUUUUCAUCUUCAGAAACAUGCCUACACAGAACUAAAGAGAGAAAAAUGUGAAUGUUUUUAUUCAUGUUGAAAAAUGGAAUUAAUAUGAAUAAUCAUUUAUAAAACAACAUAUAAAAAAAGGUCCUUGUAAAAUUACGUGACUCCUGUUAGAUUUUUCAUAUGAUCUUCAAAGUUGAUGCUCAUGUAAAAAAUCUUGAGCACUACCUCUUGUGGAUGUAGUGCUUAUUUGCAUGGGUUGCCAAAAUAUAUAUUGCCAACAUACAUAUCCACCAAAAAAACACAUAACAAAAAAAAACAUUCCACGGUUCUCCAUUUUGAACAAUUAUCUGCCAGUAGUUCGUAAGUACAACGAUCCAUUUGUUUUCAUUAUAUCAUUAGAUCACCCCUAGAAAAAACAUUGAGUCUUCUUCCUUUUGCUAUGUGAACCAUGGAGUUACUUUGCUUUUGCUAUCUGAGUACAAAUGAGUUCCUUUUGCUAUGUGUAUCAUCGAGUCUUCUUUCCCUUAUGCUAUGUCCACUGUAGAUUACAUUGAGUUUCAUCUGAAAUAAAAAAUUGUAACAAGAAACAGGCAAAGAAAUCAACAAGUUAGAAGGCUUGCAAAAAAAAUGAGGCGUCGCAACAAGAGUGGGAAAAGGAACUAUAACCUUAGCUUCUAUUUUAGAAAUCCUUUACAAUCCUUUUUCCUUCUGUUAAAAUGUUGUGUUGACUGAAUAGAAUAUCGAUGGCAAGUCUGAUGCGCGCAUCCUGGCCAUCUUCUUGCCUGAAAACUGUUUGCAUUGCAUUCCUUGAACGCCAGUUCUCUAACCACUUCAACACAAAUAUCCCACAUGCAUCGCUGACACAAAGAAUGAAAGCGUAUUAGAAAAAUUCCAAACAUAUUAAAAUGAAAAAAAGCAUGUGUUUGAAAUAUAGCAUAGGUGUUGUAACUAACUCUCCAUCCCGCUUUGGUAGGUUUGGAUAUGCAAUUUCAUAGUGUCUGAACCCCAUGUUCCUUAGCCCAGCAGCGUUCCAAAGUUGUUUGAAAUUUUCAACCUGUUUUAUAAAAUAAAGAAAAAAAGGUUACAACACAUUGGUAGUCACAGGUCCUGUUUCUAUGUUCACCUCCAUGACAACUAACCAUCAUCUGCUUGAUUUCCGUAUGGAAUGUGUGUUCUCCAUCAUAUUUUGAGUCUAGGAAAAUGAAUUUUCUAGCACUCAGGUCUACUAGGAAGACAAACCAGUGUGAUCUGUGUAUCGUUGGAAAAAAUAGCUUCAAAAACAGUAAACACAUGUGUUAAGAAAAGGAAAAAAUGAAUGAUAAAACAUGUUAUACAUAGAUGAAAAAAAUCAUAUGAUAGAAGGUGUGAAAACAAAAAAGAAACAUACUUCGUUGCACAGCUGAAGGUCUCUUGCUUUGCCUGCUCCAAUGAAACUUUUUAUUAAUCUAUCUCUCCACUGUAAUCUUGAAGCUUCGUUCUUCCACUUUUGCAGAAAGUAUUCCUACAACAGAAAAAUUUCAAAAUAACAUUAACUCAAAAACUCAAAAAAAGCAUUUAUUGUGUUGUAAGAACAAAAAUGCAUUGAACAACAAAAGUUGGCAAAAAAAAAGAAAAUCCCUUGGACUUACACUAGCUGUGUGGAAGAAGAAAUGUCUCUGAGAUGUUCUAGGAUGAUUGUCACGAAAAAGUUUCCGACAAAAUACGUUUAUGACAUAUGAUUCCACCCAUCCUUUCUCUCUGAAUGAAUUUCCUAACUGUUCCAUAGAUACUAUGGUAUUGUCAAUCUCAAAAACCCAUCUCCUGUACCAAAAAAGUGCAGAAGAAAUGAAUACAUAUUGAACAAAAAAAUGAAGAUGUAAUUAAAAAGCAGAAGAAGUUUGAAGAAACUUUGUCAUCUAGUAGUUACCCCUUAAAAUCUGCACUUCUACUUAAGAUCAUGAGGUUGUUAUAUAGCUCAAUUUCAUGUAUCAUGAGUGAUCCCCUGUCUUUGUUGUCAUAAGGUGAGCACAGGUAUCUGCUAGGUUGUGUUGGGGAACGUCGCAUGAGAAACAAAAUUUUCCUACGCGCACGAAGACCUAUCAUGGUGAUGUCCAUCUACGAGAGGGGAUGAGUGAUCUACGUACCCUUGUAGACCGUACAGCAGAAGCGUUAGAGAACGCGGUUGAUGUAGUGGAACGUCCUCACGUCCCUCGAUCCGCCCCGCGAACAAUCCCGCGAUCAGUCCCACGAUCUAGUACCGAACGGACGGCACCUCCGCGUCCCGCACACGUACAGCUCGACGAUGAUCUCGGCCUUCUUGAUCCAGCAAGAGAGACGGAGAGGUAGAAGAGUUCUCCGGCAGCGUGACGGCGCUCCGGAGGUUGGUGAUGACCUUGUCUCAGCAGGGCUCCGCCCGAGCUCCGCAGAAACGCGAUCUAGAGGAAAAACCAUGGAGGUAUGUGGUCGGGCUGCCGUGGAAAAGUCGUCUCAAAUCAGCCCUAAAACCUCCGUAUAUAUAGGNNNNNNNNNNNNNNNNNNNNNNNNNNNNNNNNNNNNNNNNNNNNNNNNNNNNNNNNNNNNNNNNNNNNNNNNNNNNNNNNNNNNNNNNNNNNNNNNNNNNCCUCAAAGCCCUGCUUUUCACCCAGCCGGUUCUUACUGCCCCGCUCAGUAAAGAACCCCUUCUUCUGUACAUCGCGGCUACAAAUCAAGUCGUCAACACCGUUCUGACAUUCGAACGCGAAGAAGAAGGCAAAGCAUACAAGGUUCAGCGCCCAGUAUAUUAUGUCUCCGAUGUCCUGACUCCUUCAAAGCAGAGGUAUCCCCAUUAUCAGAAGCUUAUUUAUGGGAUCUACAUGACUGCAAAGAAGGUGGCUCAUUACUUCCAAGACCACUCGGUGUCUGUCAUAUCUGAUGCUCCGUUGUCAUAAAUUCUCCACAAUCGGGAUGCAUCGGGCCGAGUGGCAAAGUGGGCAAUGGAGAUGCUAUACUGCGACAUCAAGUUCGAAGCCAAGAAAGCUAUAAAGUCUCAAGCUCUGGCUGACUUCAUAGCAGAAUGGGUAGAACAAUAGCAACCCACUCACAUCUACUCGUCUCAUUGGACCAUGUUCUUCGAUGGGUCCAAGAUGUUGAGUGGCUCCGGCGCCGGCGUAGUGAUCAUAUCGCCAAAAGGUGAUAAACUCAAGUAUGUGUUGCAGAUACAUUUUGAUUCUUCCAACAAUGAGGCAGAGUACAAAGCUCUCCUUUAUGGAUUGCGCAUGGCCAUCUUACUCGGCGUCCGUCGCCUGAUGGUCUAUGGCGACUCAAAUCUGGUGGUUAAUCAAGUGAUGAAGGAAUGGGACGUAAGGAACCCCACCAUGAGUGCAUACUGCAACGCAGNNNNNNNNNNNNNNNNNNNNNNNNNNNNNNNNNNNNNNNNNNNNNNNNNNNNNNNNNNNNNNNNNNNNNNNNNNNNNNNNNNNNNNNNNNNNNNNNNNNNUUUGUGCUUGCAGAUGCGUUUACUAUUUUGCUAGGAUGUAGCUUUAGUAGUAAUAGCAUAAGUAGCACGACAACCCCGAUGGCAACACGUUGAUGGAUGAUCAUGGUGUGGCGCCGGUGACAAGAAGAUCGUGCCGGUGUUUUGGUGAUGGAGAUCAAGAAGCACGUGAUGAUGGCCAUAUCAUGUCACUUAUGAAUUGCAUGUGAUGUUAAUCCUUUUAUGCACCUUAUUUUGCUUAGAACGACGGUAGCAUUAUGAGGUGAUCUCUCACUAAAAUUUCAAGACGAAAUUGUGUUCUCCCCGACUGUGCACCGUUGCUACNAGUUCGUCGUUUCGAGACACCACGUGAUGAUCGGGUGUGAUAGACUCAACGUUCACAUACAACGGGUGCAAAACAGUUGCGCACGCGUAACACUCGGGUUAAGCUUGACGAGCCUAGCAUGUGCAGACAUGGCCUCGGAACACAGGAGACCGAAAGGUCGAUCAUGAAUCAUAUAGUUGAUAUGAUUAGCAUAGGGAUGCUUACCACUGAAACUAUACUCAACUCACGUGAUGAUCGGACUUGGGAUAGUGUAAGUGGAUCAUGAACCAGUCAAAUGACUAGAGAGAUGUACUUUUUGAGUGGGAGUUUAGCAUAUAAUUUGAUUAAGUUGAACUCUAAUUAUCUUGAACAUAGUGUAAAGUCCACUUUGAAUAUAUUUGUGUUGUAGAUCAUGGUUCACGCGACAGUCAUCCUGAAUUUUAAUACGUUCCUAGAGAAAGCUAAAUUGAAAGAUGAUGGAAGCAACUUUGUAGACUGGGCUCGUAAUCUUAAGCUAAUCUUACAAGCUGGAAAGAAGGAUUAUGUCCUUAAUGCUGCGCUAGGAGAUGAACCACCCGCUACGGCUGAUCAGGAUGUUAAGAACGCUUGGUUAGCACGUAAGGAGGACUACUCAAUAGUUCAAUGUGCAGUCUUGUAUGGCUUAGAACCGGGACUUCAACGUCGCUUUGAGCGUCAUGGAGCAUUUGAGAUGUUCCAGGAGUUGAAGUUUAUCUUUCAGAAGGACGCCCGGAUCGAGAGGUAUGAGACCUCCGAUAAAUUCUAUGCUUGCAAGAUGGAGGAAAACUCGUCUGUCAGUGAACAUGUGCUCAAAAUGUCUGGGUACUCAAACCGUCUAGCUGAACUGGGGAUUGAACUCCCGCAAGAAGCUAUCACUGACAGAAUCCUNNNNNNNNNNNNNNNNNNNNNNNNNNNNNNNNNNNNNNNNNNNNNNNNNNNNNNNNNNNNNNNNNNNNNNNNNNNNNNNNNNNNNNNNNNNNNNNNNNNNGAUAUACCUAGAACAUAGCAAGAUCAAAGACUGAAUUGGUGAUUGAAUAUUCCGUGCAAUGUGAUAUUUCAUGGGGACGAAAAUACAUCACUUUUUUUUCCUCUCUUAGGCUCUGAGUUGUGUAUUACUAAUAGUAUUUUUUUAAUGAUCUUACAAAAAAUAAUGACAUGAAAAAAUAUAUAUAAAUAGAAAAAGCAGAAAAAAAACAAAAAAGAUGUUUAACCACAUGCUUAUUAUGAAAAAAACUAGAAAAGAAAAUAAGGAAAAAAUGACUAUACCUAAAAAAACAUAAAAUUAGAUUGAUAUACCUAGAACAUAGCAAGAUCAAAGACUGAAUUGGUGAUUGAAUAUUCCGUGCAAUGUGAUAUUUCUUGGGGACGAAAAUGAAACAUUUGUUAGAAAUUUAAUUGUUGGCAUGUGGCAACGCACAAGCAGUAUACUAGUAAGCAUAAAAGUAAAAAAAGAAAACAGGAAAAAAAAAGUUGUCCGAUUUUUUUGGAAAAAAAAAAAGUUGGCUCAGCCCAGUCGGAUGCCCCCGUGUGUGUGGGAGCAAACCCCUGCCGCAGCGAGCUAGCGGCAGGUAGGAGUUCCCUAACGCUUUAUGUACAUGGACAUAUUCAAAGUUGCAAGGCUCGUGGCAAGAAAUGAAAAAAGGCAUACAGUUGCAACAGCCCCCAUCGAAGCCAUAUAGUUGCGCCGAUCCUGAUAGUGGCAUGCAGUUGCAUUCAGACCUAUUGACAAAAAAGAUGCAGUUGCGAUCGCUUCAUCGUAUGCACGCAGUUGCGCGAAAACCUUAAAGGAAAUGCAGUUGAGGCGAUGACAUCAAUAGUGUGCAGUUGUGGUUAAAAAACAAAUGGAAGCCAUGCAAUUGCGGUCACUUCAUAUGGGGAGUCGUGAAGUUGCACCAAAACUUGGAGCACAUGCAAUUGCAACAAAAAAGGCAUACAAAAACCAUUGGAAAAGGUAGCAUGCAAUUGCAGCAACCCUUUUGAAUAACUUGCAUACAGUUGCGACAGCCUCAUCAAAAAGACAUGCAAUUGUAACACCCCCCUUGAAUAACAUGCAAUUACAUCAACCCCUGAAAAAAGGCAUGCAGUUGCGACGAUCCCUAUCGAUGGCAUGCAGUUGCGGCGAUCCCUAAUGAUGGCAUGCAGUUGCGGUCACUUCAUCGUAUGCAUGCAGUUGCACCGAUCCAAUCAAAUGGCAUGCAGUUGCGGUUUGCGGUCACUUGAUCAUAAAAAAAGGGUGGCAUGCAAUUGCAACACCCCCUUGAAUAACAUGCAAUUACAUCAACCCUGAAAAAAGGCNNNNNNNNNNNNNNNNNNNNNNNNNNNNNNNNNNNNNNNNNNNNNNNNNNNNNNNNNNNNNNNNNNNNNNNNNNNNNNNNNNNNNNNNNNNNNNNNNNNNUCCGCAUACCUAUUUCAAUCUCGUUUACCGGCAAGUCUCUUUACUCGUUCCGUAAUACAAGAUCCCGCAAAUUACACUAAGUUACAUUGCUUGCAAGGCUUGUGUGUGAUGUUGUAUUGCCGAGUGGGCCCCGAGAUACCUCUCUGUCACACGGAGUGACAAAUCCCAGUCUUGAUCCAUACUAACUCAACCAAUACCUUCGGAGAUACCUGUAGAGCAUCUUUAUAGUCACCCAGUUACGUUGCGACGUUUGAUACACACAAAGCAUUCCUCCGGUGUCAGUGAGUUAUAUGAUCUCAUGGUCAUAGGAAUAAAUACUUGACACGCAGAAAACAGUAGCAACAAAAUGACAAGAUCAACAUGCAACGUCUAUUAGUUUGGGUCUUAGUCCAUCACGUGAUUCUCCCAAUGACGUGAUCCAGUUAUCAAGCAACAACACCUUGUUCAUAAUCAGAAGACACUGACUAUCAUCGAUCAACUGGCUAGCCAACUAGAGGCAUGCUAGGGAUGGUGUUUUGUCUAUGUAUCCACACAUGUAAAUGAGUCUUCAUUCAAUACAAUUAUAGCAUGGAUAAUAAACUAUUAUCUUGAUAUAGGAAUUACAAUAAUAACUAUAUUUAUUAUUGCCUCUAGGGCAUAAUUCCAACAGUCUCCCACUUGCACUAGAGUCAAUAAUCUAGCCCUCACAUCAUCAUGUGAAUUACAUUGUAAUAAAUCUAACACCCAUACAGUUCUGGUGUCGAUCAUGUUUUGGCCGUGGAAGAGGUUUAGUCAGCGGGUCUGCUACAUUCAGAUCCGUGUGCACUUUGCAUAUAUUUACGUCCUCUUCCUCGACGUAGUCGCGGAUGAGGUUGAAGCGUCGUUUGAUGUGUCUGGUCUUCUUGUGAAACCGUGGUUCCUUUGCUAAGGCAAUGGCACCAGUGUUGUCACAGAACAAGGUUAUUGGAUUCAGUGCGCUUGGCACCACUCCAAGAUCCGUCAUGAACUGCUUCAUCCAUACACCUUCCUUAGCCGCCUCCGAGGCAGCCAUGUACUCCGCUUCACAUGUAGAAUCUGCUACGACGCUUUGCUUGGAACUGCACCAGCUUACUGCACCCCCAUUAAGAAUAAAUACGUAUCCGGUUUGCGACUUAGAGUCGUCCGGAUCUGUGUCAAAGCUUGCAUCGACGUAACCUUUUACGGCGAGCUCUUCGUCACCUCCAUACACGAGAAACAUCUCCUUAGUCCUUUUCAGGUACUUCAGGGGGGGGGGGGGGGGGGUCCAGUGAUCCACUCCUGGAUUACUCUGGAACCUACCUGCCAUACUUAUGGCUAGGCUUACAUCCGGUCUAGUGCACAGCAUCGCAUACAUGAUAGAACCUAUGACUGAAGCAUAGGGGACGGAGCGCAUAUGCUCUCUAUCUUCAUCAAUUGCUGGGCACUGAGGCUUGCUCAAUCUCGUACCUUGUAAAACUGGCAAGAACCCUUUCUUGGACUGUUCCAUUUUGAACCUCUUCAAAACUUUAUCAAGGUAUGUGCUUUGUGAAAGUCCUAUCAGGCGUUUUGAUCUAUCCCUAUAGAUCUUAAUGCCUAGAAUGUAAGCAGCUUCUCCUAGGUCCUUCAUAGAGAAACUUUUAUUCAAGUAACCUUUUAUGCUCUCCAAAAACUCUACGUCGUUUCCAAUCAGUAAUAUGUCAUCCACAUAUAAUAUUAGAAACGCCACAGAGCUCCCACUCACUUUCUUGUAAAUACAAGAUUCUCCAACCACUUGUAUAAACCCAAAUGCCUUGAUCACCUCAUCAAAGCGUUUGUUCCAACUCCGAGAUGCUUGCACCAGUCCAUAAAUGGAUCGCUGGANNNNNNNNNNNNNNNNNNNNNNNNNNNNNNNNNNNNNNNNNNNNNNNNNNNNNNNNNNNNNNNNNNNNNNNNNNNNNNNNNNNNNNNNNNNNNNNNNNNNCGGCGACGCAGCGGCCGCGCCACAGCCUGCAGCUGGCUUGGGCGCCGGUGGCAUGCGAGCACACGCCUGAGGAUAGNNNNNNNNNNNNNNNNNNNNNNNNNNNNNNNNNNNNNNNNNNNNNNNNNNNNNNNNNNNNNNNNNNNNNNNNNNNNNNNNNNNNNNNNNNNNNNNNNNNNNNNNNNNNNNNNNNNNNNNNNNNNNNNNNNNNNNNNNNNNNNNNNNNNNNNNNNNNNNNNNNNNNNNNNNNNNNNNNNNNNNNNNNNNNNNNNNNNNNNNNNNNNNNNNNNNNNNNNNNNNNNNNNNNNNNNNNNNNNNNNNNNNNNNNNNNNNNNNNNNNNNNNNNNNNNNNNNNNNNNNNNNNNNNNNNNNNNNNNNNNNNNNNNNNNNNNNNNNNNNNNNNNNNNNNNNNNNNNNNNNNNNNNNNNNNNNNNNNNNNNNNNNNNNNNNNNNNNNNNNNNNNNNNNNNNNNNNNNNNNNNNNNNNNNNNNNNNNNNNNNNNNNNNNNNNNNNNNNNNNNNNNNNNNNNNNNNNNNNNNNNNNNNNNNNNNNNNNNNNNNNNNNNNNNNNNNNNNNNNNNNNNNNNNNNNNNNNNNNNNNNNNNNNNNNNNNNNNNNNNNNNNNNNNNNNNNNNNNNNNNNNNNNNNNNNNNNNNNNNNNNNNNNNNNNNNNNNNNNNNNNNNNNNNNNNNNNNNNNNNNNNNNNNNNNNNNNNNNNNNNNNNNNNNNNNNNNNNNNNNNNNNNNNNNNNNNNNNNNNNNNNNNNNNNNNNNNNNNNNNNNNNNNNNNNNNNNNNNNNNNNNNNNNNNNNNNNNNNNNNNNNNNNNNNNNNNNNNNNNNNNNNNNNNNNNNNNNNNNNNNNNNNNNNNNNNNNNNNNNNNNNNNNNNNNNNNNNNNNNNNNNNNNNNNNNNNNNNNNNNNNNNNNNNNNNNNNNNNNNNNNNNNNNNNNNNNNNNNNNNNNNNNNNNNNNNNNNNNNNNNNNNNNNNNNNNNNNNNNNNNNNNNNNNNNNNNNNNNNNNNNNNNNNNNNNNNNNNNNNNNNNNNNNNNNNNNNNNNNNNNNNNNNNNNNNNNNNNNNNNNNNNNNNNNNNNNNNNNNNNNNNNNNNNNNNNNNNNNNNNNNNNNNNNNNNNNNNNNNNNNNNNNNNNNNNNNNNNNNNNNNNNNNNNNNNNNNNNNNNNNNNNNNNNNNNNNNNNNNNNNNNNNNNNNNNNNNNNNNNNNNNNNNNNNNNNNNNNNNNNNNNNNNNNNNNNNNNNNNNNNNNNNNNNNNNNNNNNNNNNNNNNNNNNNNNNNNNNNNNNNNNNNNNNNNNNNNNNNNNNNNNNNNNNNNNNNNNNNNNNNNNNNNNNNNNNNNNNNNNNNNNNNNNNNNNNNNNNNNNNNNNNNNNNNNNNNNNNNNNNNNNNNNNNNNNNNNNNNNNNNNNNNNNNNNNNNNNNNNNNNNNNNNNNNNNNNNNNNNNNNNNNNNNNNNNNNNNNNNNNNNNNNNNNNNNNNNNNNNNNNNNNNNNNNNNNNNNNNNNNNNNNNNNNNNNNNNNNNNNNNNNNNNNNNNNNNNNNNNNNNNNNNNNNNNNNNNNNNNNNNNNNNNNNNNNNNNNNNNNNNNNNNNNNNNNNNNNNNNNNNNNNNNNNNNNNNNNNNNNNNNNNNNNNNNNNNNNNNNNNNNNNNNNNNNNNNNNNNNNNNNNNNNNNNNNNNNNNNNNNNNNNNNNNNNNNNNNNNNNNNNNNNNNNNNNNNNNNNNNNNNNNNNNNNNNNNNNNNNNNNNNNNNNNNNNNNNNNNNNNNNNNNNNNNNNNNNNNNNNNNNNNNNNNNNNNNNNNNNNNNNNNNNNNNNNNNNNNNNNNNNNNNNNNNNNNNNNNNNNNNNNNNNNNNNNNNNNNNNNNNNNNNNNNNNNNNNNNNNNNNNNNNNNNNNNNNNNNNNNNNNNNNNNNNNNNNNNNNNNNNNNNNNNNNNNNNNNNNNNNNNNNNNNNNNNNNNNNNNNNNNNNNNNNNNNNNNNNNNNNNNNNNNNNNNNNNNNNNNNNNNNNNNNNNNNNNNNNNNNNNNNNNNNNNNNNNNNNNNNNNNNNNNNNNNNNNNNNNNNNNNNNNNNNNNNNNNNNNNNNNNNCUGAUAAUAUGAAUAUGCAAAGUUUUCAGAAGGCGACCCCUGCACCGUCGGCCGUGGGCUUGUACCCGGAGUCAUGAGCCGUCUUGUCCGACGGCGGCAUAUCGCUGAACACCAUCCCGCCGAAGCCUCCGCCGAGAAGCCCCGCGCCGAGCCCCAGCGCGAAGCUGCCGUUCCUUACGUAGUUCUUCUGUGCCGGCGACGCAGCGGCCGCGCCACAGCCUGCAGCUGGCUUGGGCGCCGGUGGCAUGCGAGCACACGCCUGAGGAUAGCGCGGCGGCACCGCCGCCUCCGGCGCGUACCCCACCACCUGAGGAUAGUAAUGCCACGGCGGCAGCUCGUAGCCCACCACCUCGGCGACGGCGUCGUCCCAGCACAGCUCUUUGUCCUGAUGAUGCAGCGGCGCCAUCACGGGGCCGAAGCGGUACGCCACGGUGAGCAUGCCCCGGUUCUCGGUGCAGUGCACCUUCCGGACCGGGUACGACGCGCACCGCGGCGCCGGGCCGGUGCCGCCGACGCAGGCGCAGGCGAGCAUGUCGGCGAGAGGGAUGAACACCUCGCCGACGUCGCGGUCGUCGAAGCCGAAGAGGCGCUCGGUGCGGAGGAGCACGUGAAGGUAGGCGCCCGCGGCGGAGGCCUUGGCGGCCGUGGGCGGGACGGCGAACAGGAACGUGUCGUCCCACGUCGGGUGCCUGGCGCCGUCGCGGUCGGUCUUGCUGCGCUGCCGCGUGCGAGGGUCGCCGAGCACGGACGUGAUGGCGUACACCUCCAUGCGGCUGAACACGUUGACGUCCAUCAGGCUGUGGCCCGACACCAGCGUCAGCUCGAGGACCCUGUGCGCCAUUGCUCUCUCGGCCCUGUUGGAGAAAGGGAGACAACGCACUACGUGGCUAGCUGCGAGCUUUGCCGUACUGGACUAUGGCGGCCAUGGCGCGCAGGGGUAUGUAUAGGGGACGGACGGGGCCACCUUCCAGCGACGUAUUACGAGUCGGCCGCUCCAAGUUUGGCGCGCGGGCUAACAUUCAUAUAUGCAUGGAUGUGCACGCAUCCGAUGCCAAGGGAAAUUUCAGCAGAAUGUGCGCAACAGCUGCUAGCUUGCUUGUUGCUGACAUUUCAUAUACAAAAUUCCAAAUUUUAUAUAAACUCUAAAGGUCUCAUCUAGAACACCUAUGGUUGAAUCACUGAAUUGUAUAAGACUGCAGUUAGGUUGCUUCUGAUGAAAGAUUAUUGUGCUACUUCUUUCCCACCGAUAUGACGCGACAUAUAAUUUUCAAAACUACUGCAAGAGUGGAAGGUGCAUGAUAUUUUCCACUAGACUAGAUAUCGAUGGAAUACAAUUCACAAUCAUAACUGUGGACCAGUUGCAUGCCCAAUUGUCCACCAAGAACUGACAGAAAGAACUUCAUGAAUGAUGUAUUUUUUCGGAAAGGUGGAAUUCUAUAAUUACAAAUAUAUAUUCUUAUUUAGAUGAUAACUAGGUAACGAAGUUAUUUGAUUAAACUUGUGAAUUUAAACGCUGGAUAAAAUCAUUAAACUGAAGGACUAGACAAAAUGAGCACCUAAGAAAAAAAAUCAUUUCUCAAAUUGAACUUACAAAUGACAAUGAAACAAAACAAAACUCAUAAUUUUAGAAAUGCUGUCAAUAUAUUCAGAUCGAGUGUUGAUUAAUCAAACUCAAAACGCAGAGCUUGGGGUCGGCUGUCGCACCAACAAGCCAAAAACGUUAGCUUGGCUCGGCCUAUUGGGUUGAGCCCAAAAUCUCGACUCGCCGGUGCAGACCCAUCUUUGAUUCUACACAGAAUAUAUUACUCCCUCCGUGGCUCCGUUCCAUACUAAUUGCCACCCAAACGGACGUAUCUACCAUUAAAAUAUACUUCCUCCGUUCCUAAAUAUAAGUCUUUGUAGAGAUUUUACUAGUGGACUAUAUACGGAUGUAUAUAGACAUACUUUAGAGUGUACAUUCAAUCAUUUUACUCCGUAUGUAGACACCUAUUGAAAUCGUUUAAAAGACUUAUAUUUAGGAACAGAGGAAGUAUAAUAGAUAUUACAUUCAUUUCAGCUGCAACUAAUAUGGGAUCAUGGGAAUAGUAGAAGUAUAAACAGAAAUUCUGCUUGGCAUGACUGGUCAACAAACAAACAAUAAAAAAAGNNNNNNNNNNNNNNNNNNNNNNNNNNNNNNNNNNNNNNNNNNNNNNNNNNNNNNNNNNNNNNNNNNNNNNNNNNNNNNNNNNNNNNNNNNNNNNNNNNNNNNNNNNNNNNNNNNNNNNNNNNNNNNNNNNNNNNNNNNNNNNNNNNNNNNNNNNNNNNNNNNNNNNNNNNNNNNNNNNNNNNNNNNNNNNNNNNNNNNNNNNNNNNNNNNNNNNNNNNNNNNNNNNNNNNNNNNNNNNNNNNNNNNNNNNNNNNNNNNNNNNNNNNNNNNNNNNNNNNNNNNNNNNNNNNNNNNNNNNNNNNNNNNNNNNNNNNNNNNNNNNNNNNNNNNNNNNNNNNNNNNNNNNNNNNNNNNNNNNNNNNNNNNNNNNNNNNNNNNNNNNNNNNNNNNNNNNNNNNNNNNNNNNNNNNNNNNNNNNNNNNNNNNNNNNNNNNNNNNNNNNNNNNNNNNNNNNNNNNNNNNNNNNNNNNNNNNNNNNNNNNNNNNNNNNNNNNNNNNNNNNNNNNNNNNNNNNNNNNNNNNNNNNNNNNNNNNNNNNNNNNNNNNNNNNNNNNNNNNNNNNNNNNNNNNNNNNNNNNNNNNNNNNNNNNNNNNNNNNNNNNNNNNNNNNNNNNNNNNNNNNNNNNNNNNNNNNNNNNNNNNNNNNNNNNNNNNNNNNNNNNNNNNNNNNNNNNNNNNNNNNNNNNNNNNNNNNNNNNNNNNNNNNNNNNNNNNNNNNNNNNNNNNNNNNNNNNNNNNNNNNNNNNNNNNNNNNNNNNNNNNNNNNNNNNNNNNNNNNNNNNNNNNNNNNNNNNNNNNNNNNNNNNNNNNNNNNNNNNNNNNNNNNNNNNNNNNNNNNNNNNNNNNNNNNNNNNNNNNNNNNNNNNNNNNNNNNNNNNNNNNNNNNNNNNNNNNNNNNNNNNNNNNNNNNNNNNNNNNNNNNNNNNNNNNNNNNNNNNNNNNNNNNNNNNNNNNNNNNNNNNNNNNNNNNNNNNNNNNNNNNNNNNNNNNNNNNNNNNNNNNNNNNNNNNNNNNNNNNNNNNNNNNNNNNNNNNNNNNNNNNNNNNNNNNNNNNNNNNNNNNNNNNNNNNNNNNNNNNNNNNNNNNNNNNNNNNNNNNNNNNNNNNNNNNNNNNNNNNNNNNNNNNNNNNNNNNNNNNNNNNNNNNNNNNNNNNNNNNNNNNNNNNNNNNNNNNNNNNNNNNNNNNNNNNNNNNNNNNNNNNNNNNNNNNNNNNNNNNNNNNNNNNNNNNNNNNNNNNNNNNNNNNNNNNNNNNNNNNNNNNNNNNNNNNNNNNNNNNNNNNNNNNNNNNNNNNNNNNNNNNNNNNNNNNNNNNNNNNNNNNNNNNNNNNNNNNNNNNNNNNNNNNNNNNNNNNNNNNNNNNNNNNNNNNNNNNNNNNNNNNNNNNNNNNNNNNNNNNNNNNNNNNNNNNNNNNNNNNNNNNNNNNNNNNNNNNNNNNNNNNNNNNNNNNNNNNNNNNNNNNNNNNNNNNNNNNNNNNNNNNNNNNNNNNNNNNNNNNNNNNNNNNNNNNNNNNNNNNNNNNNNNNNNNNNNNNNNNNNNNNNNNNNNNNNNNNNNNNNNNNNNNNNNNNNNNNNNNNNNNNNNNNNNNNNNNNUGUUAGCUAAUCAGUUGCACUUAGCUCAUCUGCAAAUGUUUGUUUCUCUGAAUAAGCACCGACAGCGUGUGUUAUGUGCACGUUCGGUCAGUAGUGUUCAGUAGACAGUAGCUAGUUUCAGUUAGUCUGUUAGCUAAAUUCGCUCCCAAGUUUCUGGUCAUGGGAUGGCAUGAUCGCGACGAGACUUGCGGGCGAAGUAGUGGCCUGAUCCUUGCCCGACGUCGUGGGAUGGCACGAUCAGUAGGCCGGCAGGAGAAUCGGCAUGUUUACCAAUUCUUUCGGCAGCCGUUGGUGGCGCUAUGAAUAACAGAAAACCAGAGAAAAGCUGCUGACAGUUGAGCGCAGCACAAAACCCUCGUCUCUGAAACUGCGUUCUCAUCGUCUACCUCUCGAUCUCUUCCACCCUCUCACGUCCGAUCACCGGCGGGUAGCAACUACAAGUGGCAUCAGAGCUAGGUGGUGUUCGAUCCAGCCUACGCACCGGCGGUGUCUGAUCCGCCGGCAAGAUGGCCCCCAGCGAUGACGAGAAGAACAGGAAGCGGGAAGACAAGGAAGAGGCCGGCGAAGUGGAGAGAUCGCUGGCUCGCCUCUCAAUAGAGGAGGGGUCGGGGGUACGCGUCAUGGAGCGUGUCGUGCACGGUGGAGGGGGUGGUGCGCCCCCGAUGAUGCUCAUGCGCAUGAACUACUCCGACUGGGCCAUGAUCACGAAGCUGCAACUUCAGGCGGACGAGCUGUGGAGCGUCGUGGACACUGGGCGAGGCUCAGAUCGCGACGACCGUUGCGCCAUGAUCGCACUCCUAAAGGGAGUGCCACCGGAGCUGCUGCACAUCCUAGGCGCAAAGCCCACGGCCAAGCAGGCGUGGGACAGCCUGAAAACCAUUCGCGUCGGCGUUGAGCGGGUAUGCGAGGCCAAGGCCCAGACCCGACGCUCGGAGUACGAAUCGCUCCGGUACAAGGACGGCGAGGGAAUCGAGUCCUAUGUGAUGCGCCUGAGGACGAUCAUCGACGAGCUGGAGGCGCUCAGAGAUCCGGUGGACGAGCACAAAGCUGUCCUCAAGGUUCUACGCACACUGCCACGACCAUACCGCGAGAUGGCGGUUGCAAUCGAGUCCCUGGUGGACACCAAGCAGCUGUCACUCGAGGAGCUGUGUGGGAGGCUCCUUGUCAUCGAGGAGCGCGAGCGCGAGCAGACACACGCGUCGGGAGGCCAACUCAUGUACACGGCCGACGAAUGGUUGGCCCGGCAACGGCAACUCGAGCUCAGCGGCGGCUCCCCCGGCGCAUCGUCGAACGGCGGAGAGCAUCGUGGGCGUGGAAACGGAAAGCCAAAGGGAGCACAAGGUGGAGGAGGUCGCGGGCAAGGUGCUGGCCGUGGCAACGGUGGAGCGACAGCACCCAGAAGAAAGGGAGACUGUCGCUACUGCGGCAUCGCCGGUCACUGGCUGAAAGAAUGCCGGAAAAGGGCUCGGGAUCGCGAGCAACAAGACCAGCAGGCCAACGUGGCCGUGGUCGAAGGCGAGGUGGAGCAGCCUGGAUUACUUCUCGCAGCCUGCGAGGUCCAGCCCGCCCCAACACCUGCUGCUCUGGACCCUGAAGGCGGCGAGAUCUUCCUAAACGAAGCGCGGGUUGUACCCGUGGCCACGAAUGAUGAUCGCUGGUACCUAGACACAGGCGCUAGCAACCACAUGACGGGACGCCGUGAUCUGCUUACGCAGGUCGACGAGUCCGUUCGGGGCACGGUCCGCUUCGGGGAUGGGUCCGUUGUGCAGAUCUGCGGGCGCGGUGCGGUCGUGUUUACCUGCAAGAAUGGCGAGCACCGGGCUCUCAAGGAUGUCUACUACAUACCCCAGCUACGCACGAGCAUCGUGAGCCUGGGGGCAGCUCGAUGAGCAUGGGUGCAGGUCCGUGAUCCAGGAUGGUGUGCUGUGUCUGUACGACAGAGAGCGCGUGCUGCUGACGCUGGUGCAACGGACGAGCAACCGGUUGUACGCCGUGGCUCUGAACUUGGCUGCGCCCGUGUGCCUGUUGGAAAUAUGCCCUAGAGGCAAUAAUAAAUUAGUUAUUAUUAUAUUUCUUUGUUCAUGAUAAUCGUUUAUUAUCCAUGCUAUAAUCGUAUUGAUUGGAAACACAGUGCAUGUGUGGAUACAUAGACAAAACACUGUCCCUAGUAAGCCUCUAGUUGACUAGCUCGUUGAUCAAAGAUGGUCAAGGUUUCCUGACCAUGGGCAAGUGUUGUCACUUGAUAACGGGAUCACAUCAUUAGGAGAAUCAUGUGAUGGACUAAGACCCAAACUAAUAUACGUAGCAUGUUCAUCGUGUCAUUUUGUUGCUACUGUUUUCUGCGUGUCAAGUAUUUGUUCCUAUGACCAUGAGAUCAUAUAACUCACUGACACCGGAGGAAUGCUUUGUGUGUAUCAAACGUCGCAACGUAACUGGGUGACUAUAAAGAUGCUCUACAGGUAUCUCCGAAGGUGUUCCUUGAGUUAGUAUGGAUCGAGACUGGGAUUUGUCGCUCCGUGUGACGGAGAGGUAUCUGGGGGCCCACUCGGUAAUACAACAUCACACACAAGCCUUGCAAGCAAUGUGACUUAGUGUAAGUUGCGGGAUCUUGUAUUACGGAACGAGUAAAGAGACUUGCCGUUAAACGAGAUUGAAAUAGGUAUGCGGAUACUGACGAUCGAAUCUCGGGCAAGUAACAUACCGAAGGACAAAGGGAAUGACAUACGGGAUUAUAUGAAUCCUUGGCACUGAGGUUCAAACGAUAAGAUCUUCGUAGAAUAUGUAGGAUCCAAUAUGGGCAUCCAGGUCCCGCUAUUGGAUAUUGACCGAGGAGUCUCUCGGGUCAUGUCUACAUAGUUCUCGAACCCGCAGGGUCUGCACACUUAAGGUUCGACGUUGUUUUAUGCGUAUUUGAGUUAUAUGGUUGGUUACCGAAUGUUGUUCGGAGUCCCGGAUGAGAUCACGGACGUCACGAGGGUUUCCGGAAUGGUCCGGAAACGAAGAUUGAUAUAUAGGAUGACCUCAUUUGAUUACCGGAAGGUUUUUGGAGUUACCGGGAAUGUACCGGGAAUGACGAAUGGGUUCCGGGGGUUUACCGGAGGGGGGCAACCCACUCCGGGGAAGCCCAUAGGUAUUUGUGGGGGUCACACCAGCCCUUAGUGGGCUGGUGGGACAGCCCACCAAAUCCUAUGCGCCAAGGAACAAAAAUCAAAGGAAGAAAGAAAAAAAAGGAGGAAGUGGGAAGGGGGAAGGACUCCCUCCCACCAAACCAAGUAGGACUCGGUUUGGGGGGGGGAGAGUCCUCCCCCCUGGCUCGGCCGACCCCCUUGGGGUCCCUUGGACCCCAAGGCAAGGUCCCCCUCCCUCCUCCUAUAUAUAUGGGGCUUUUAGGGCAGAUUUGAGACGACUUUCUCACGGCUGCCCGACCACAUACCUCCAUAGUUUUUCCUCUAGAUCGUGUUUCUGCGGAGCUCGGGCGGAGCCCUGCUGAGACAAGAUCAUCACCAACCUCCGGAGCGCCGUCACGCUGCUGGAGAACUCUUCUACCUCUCCGUCUCUCUUGCUGGAUCAAGAAGGCCGAGAUCAUCGUCGAGCUGUACGUGUGCGGAACGCGGAGGUGCCGUCCGUUCGGUACUAGAUCGUGGGACUGAUCGCGGGAUUGUUCGCGGGGCGGAUCGAGGGACGUGAGGACGUUCCACUACAUCAACCGCGAUCUCUAAUCGCUUCUGCUGUACGAUCUACAAGGGUACGUAGAUCACUCAUCCCCUCUCGUAGAUGGACAUCACCAUGAUAGGUCUUCGUGCGCGUAGGAAAAUUUUUGUUUCCCUUGCGACGUUCCCCAACAGUGGCAUCAUNUAGAUCGCGUUUCUGCGGAGCUCGGGCGGAGCCCUGCUGAGACGAGAUCAUCACCAACCUCCGGAGCGCCGUCACGCUCCCGAAGAACUCUUCUACCUCUCCGUCUCUCUUGCUGGAUCAAGAAGGCCGAGAUCAUCGUCGAGCUGUACGUGUGCUGAACGCGGAGGUGCCGUCCGUUCGGCACUAGAUCGUGGGAGUGAUCGCGGGAUAGUUCGCGGGGCGGAUCGAGGGACGUGAGGACGUUCCACUACAUCAACCGCGUUCACUAACGCUUCUGCUGUACGGUCUACAAGGGUACGUAGAUCACACAUCCCCUCUCGUAGAUGGACAUCACCAUGAUAGGUCUUCGUGCGCGUAGGAAAAUUUUUGUUUCCCAUGCGACGUUCCCCAACAGUGGCAUCAUGAGCUAGGUUCAUGCGUAGAUGUCUUCUCGAGUAGAACACAAAAGGUUUUGUGGGCGGUGAUGUGCGUUUUGCUGCCCUCCUUAGUCUUUUCUUGAUUCCGCGGUAUUGUUGGAUUGAAGCGGCUUGGACCGACAUUACUCGUACGCUUACGAGAGACUGGUUUCAUCGUUACGAGUAACCCCCUUUGCUCAAAGAUGACUGGCAAGUGACGGUUUCUCCAACUUUAGUUGAAUCGGAUUUGACCGAGGAGGUCCUUGGAUGAGGUUAAAUAGCAACUCAUAUAUCUCCGUUGUGGUGUUUGCGUAAGUAAGAUGCGAUCCUACUAGAUACCCUUGGUCACCACGUAAAACAUGCAACAACAAAAUUAGAGGACGUCUAACUUGUUUUUGCAGGGUAUGCUUGUGAUGUGAUAUGGCCAACGAUGUGAUGUGAUAUAUUGGAUGUAUGAGAUGAUCAUGUUGUAAUAGUUAAUAUCGACUUGCACGUCGAUGGUACGGCAACCGGCAGGAGCCAUAGGGUUGUCUUUAAACUAACGUUUGUGCUUGCAGAUGCGUUUACUAUUUUGCUAGGAUGUAGCUUUAGUAGUAAUAGCAUGAGUAGCACGACAACCCCGAUGGCGACACGUUGAUGGAGAUCAUGAUGAUGGAGAUCAUGGUGUGACGCCGGUGACAAGAAGAUCAUGCCGGUGCUUUGGUGAUGGAGAUCAAGGAGCACGUGAUGAUGGCCAUAUCAUGUCACUUAUGAAUUGCAUGUGAUGUUAAUCCUUUUAUGCACCUUAUUUUGCUUAGAACGACGGUAGCAUUAUGAGGUGAUCUCUCACUAAAAUUUCAAGACGAAAUUGUGUUCUCCCCGACUGUGCACCGUUGCUAAGUUCGUCGUUUCGAGACACCACGUGAUGAUCGGGUGUGAUAGACUCAACGUUCACAUACAACGGGUGCAAAACAGUUGCGCACGCGGAACACUCGGGUUAAGCUUGACGAGCCUAGCAUGUGCAGACAUGGCCUCGGAACACAUGAGACCGAAAGGUCGAUCAUGAAUCAUAUGGAUGAUAUGAUUAGCAUAGGGAUGCUUACCACUGAAACUACUCCCGACUCACGUGAUGAUCGGACUUGGGAUAGUGUAGGUGGAUCAUGAACCACUCAAAUGACUAGAGAGAUGUACUUUUUGAGUGGGAGUUUGGCGUAUAAUUUGAUUAAGUUGAACUCUAAUUAUCUUGAACAUAGUCUAAGUCCACUUUGAAUAUAUUUGUGUUGUAGAUCAUGGCUCACGCAAGUGUCAUCCUCAAUUUUAAUACGUUCCUAGAGAAAGCUAAGCUGAAAGAUGAUGGAAGCAACUUUGUAGACUGGGCUCGUAAUCUUAAGCUAAUCUUACAAGCUGGAAAGAAGGAUUAUGUCCUUAAUGCUGCGCUAGGAGAUGAACCACCCGCUACGGCUGAUCAGGAUGUUAAGAACGCUUGGUUAGCGCGUAAGGAGGACUACUCAAUAGUUCAAUGUGCAGUCUUGUAUGGCUUAGAACCGGGACUUCAACGUCGCUUUGAGCGUCAUGGAGCAUUUGAGAUGUUCCAGGAGUUGAAGUUUAUCUUUCAGAAGUACGCCCGGAUCGAGAGGUAUGAGACCUCCGAUAAAUUCUAUGCUUGCAAGAUGGAGGAAAACUCGUCUGUCAGUGAACAUGUGCUCAAAAUGUCUGGGUACUCAAACCGUCUAGCUGAACUGGGGAUUGAACUCCCGCAAGAAGCUAUCACUGACAGAAUCCUCCAAUCACUGCCGCCAAGCUAUAAAGGCUUUGUGUUGAACUACAAUAUGCAAGGGAUGAACAAGUCUCCCGGCGAGUUGUUUGCGAUGCUGAAAGUCGCAGAGUCUGAACUCCGUAAAGAGGAUCAAGUGUUGAUGGUCAGCAAGACCACUAGUUUCAAGAGAAACGGCAAAGGCAAGAAGGGCAAUUCGAAGAAGAGCGGCAAGCCUGUUGCCAAUCCGCCGAAGAAACCCAAGGCUGGACCUAAGCCUGAAACAGAGUGCUUCUAUUGCAAGGGUAUGGGUCACUGGAAGCGCAAUUGCCCCAAGUAUCUGGCAGAUAAGAAGGCAGGCAAAGAAAAAUCAGGUAUAUUUGAUAUACAUGUUAUUGAUUUGUACUUAACCAGCUCUCAUAGUAGUGCCUGGGUAUUCGAUACCGGUUCUGUUGCUCACAUUUGCAACUCGAAGCAGGAACUGCGGAAUAAACGGAGGCUGGCGAAAGACGAAGUGACGAUGCGCGUAGGAAACGGUUCCAAGGUUGAUGCAAUCGCCGUCGGCACCGUGUCACUUCAACUACCGUCGGGAUUAGUGAUGAACUUAGAUCAUUGUUAUUUAGUGCCUGCGUUGAGCAUGAACAUUAUAUCUGGAUCUUGUUUAUUGCGAGACGGUUACUCUUUUAAGUCUGAGAAUAAUAGUUGUUCUAUUUCUAUGAGUAACAUCUUUUAUGGUCAUGCACCGAAUGUGAGAGGAUUGUUCAUAUUGAAUCUCGAUAGCGAUACGCAUAUACAUAACAUUGAGACCAAAAGAGUUAGAGUAAACAAUGAUAGCGCCAUAUUUUGUGGCACUGCCGCUUGGGUCAUAUUGGUGUAAAGCGCAUGAAGAAACUCCAUACUGAUGGACUUUUAGAGUCACUUGACUUUGAUUCACUUGACACGUGCGAACCAUGCCUCAUGGGCAAGAUGACUAAAACUCCGUUCUCCGGAACAAUGGAGCGUGCAAGUGACUUGUUGGAAAUCAUACAUACCGAUGUGUGUGGACCAAUGAGCAUGGAGGCACGCGGCGGAUAUCGUUAUUUUCUCACCUUCACUGACGAUCUAAGUAGAUAUGGUUAUGUCUACUUGAUGAAGCACAAGUCUGAAACAUUUGAAAAGUUCAAGCAAUUUCAGAGUGAAGUGGAAAAUCAUCACAACAAGAAGAUCAAGUUCCUACGGUCUGAUCGUGGGGGUGAAUAUCUGAGUUUCAAGUUUGGUACUCACUUAAGACAAUGUGGAAUUGUUUCGCAGUUAACACCGCCUGGAACACCACAGCGUAAUGGUGUGUCCGAACGUCGUAAUCGUACUUUAUUAGAAAUGGUGCGAUCUAUGAUGUCUCUUACUGAUUUGCCGUUAUCAUUUUGGGGUUAUGCAUUAGAAACAGCUGCAUUCACUUUAAAUAGGGCACCAUCAAAAUCCGUUGAGACGACACCAUACGAACUGUGGUAUGGCAAAAGACCAAAGUUGUCGUUUCUUAAAGUUUGGGGAUGUGAUGCUUAUGUCAAAAAGCUUCAGCCUGAAAAGCUGGAACCCAAAGCGGAAAAGUGCGUCUUCAUAGGUUACCCAAAAGAGACAGUUGGGUACACCUUCUAUCUCAAAUCCGAGGGCAAAGUGUUUGUUGCUAAGAACGGAACUUUUCUCGAGAAGGAGUUUCUCUCGAGAGAAUUGAGUGGGAGGAAGAUAGAACUUGACGAGGUUGUCGAACCUCUCAUCCCUCUGGAUGGUGGCGCAGGGCAAGGGGAAACCCCUGUGAUUGCGAUGCCGGUUGAGGAGGAAGUUAAUGAUGAUGAUCAUGAAACUCCAGUUCAAGUUUCUGUUGAACCACGCAGGUCGACGAGAUCACGCGCUGCUCCAGAGUGGUAUGGUAAUCCCGUCUUGACGAUCAUGUUGUUAGACAACAAUGAACCUGCAAAUUAUGAAGAAGCAAUGGUGGGCCCAGAUUCCAACAAAUGGCUAGAAGCCAUGAGAUCCGAGAUAGGAUCCAUGUAUGAGAACAAAGUAUGGACUUUGGAGAUACUACCUGAAGGCCGCAAGGCUAUUCAGAACAAAUGGAUCUUUAAGAAGAAGACGGACGCUGACGGUAAUGUGACCGUUUAUAAAGCUCGACUUGUGGCAAAGGGUUUUUCACAAGUUCCAGGAAUUGACUACGAUGAGACUUUCUCUCCCGUAGCGAUGCUUAAGUCCGUCAGAAUCAUGUUAGCAAUAGCUGCAUUUUUCGAUUAUGAAAUAUGGCAGAUGGAUGUCAAAACGGCGUUCCUUAACGGUUUCCUUAAGGAAGAGUUGUAUAUGAUGCAACCCGAAGGUUUUGUUGAUCCUAAAAAUGCUGACAAAGUGUGCAAGCUCCAGCGAUCCAUUUAUGGACUGGUGCAAGCAUCUCGGAGUUGGAACAAACGCUUUGAUGAGGUGAUCAAAGCAUUUGGGUUUAUACAAGUGGUUGGAGAAUCUUGUAUUUACAAGAAAGUGAGUGGGAGCUCUGUGGCGUUUCUAAUAUUAUAUGUGGAUGACAUUUUACUGAUUGGAAACAACGUAGAGCUUUUGGAGAGCAUAAAAGGUUACUUGAAUAAAAGUUUCUCUAUGAAGGACCUAGGAGAAGCUGCUUACAUUCUAGGCAUUAAGAUCUAUAGGGAUAGAUCAAAACGCCUGAUAGGACUUUCACAAAGCACAUACCUUGAUAAAGUUUUGAAGAGGUUCAAAAUGGAACAGUCCAAGAAAGGGUUCUUGCCGGUGUUACAAGGUACGAGAUUGAGUAAGACUCAGUGCCCAGCAACUGAUGAAGAUAGAGAGCAUAUGCGCUCCGUCCCCUAUGCUUCAGCCAUAGGCUCUAUCAUGUAUGCGAUGCUGUGCACUAGACCGGAUGUUAGCCUGGCCAUAAGUAUGGCAGGUAGGUUCCAGAGUAAUCCAGGAGUGGAUCACUGGACGGCGGUCAAGAAUAUCCUGAAGUACCUGAAAAGGACUAAGGAGAUGUUUCUCGUGUAUGGAGGUGACGAAGAGCUCGCCGUAAAAGGUUACGUCGAUGCAAGCUUUGACACAGAUCCGGACGACUCUAAGUCGCAAACCGGAUACGUAUUUAUUCUUAAUGGGGGUGCAGUAAGCUGGUGCAGUUCCAAGCAAAGCGUCGUAGCAGAUUCUACAUGUGAAGCGGAGUACAUGGCUGCCUCGGAGGCGGCUAAGGAGGGUGUCUGGAUGAAGCAGUUCAUGACGGAUCUUGGAGUGGUGCCAAGUGCACUGGAUCCAAUAACCUUGUUCUGUGACAACACUGGUGCCAUUGCCUUAGCAAAGGAACCAAGGUUUCACAAGAAGACCAGACACAUCAAACGACGCUUCAACCUCAUCCGCGACUACGUCGAGGAGGAGGACGUAAAUAUAUGCAAAGUGCACACGGAUCUGAAUGUAGCAGACCCACUGACUAAACCUCUUCCACGGCCAAAACAUGAUCGACACCAGAACUGUAUGGGUGUUAGAUUUAUUACAAUGUAAUUCACAUGGUGAUGUGAGGGCUGGAUUAUUGACUCUAGUGCAAGUGGGAGACUGUUGGAAUUAUACCCUAGAGGCAAUAAUAAAAGUAUAGUUAUCAUUAUAAUUCCUGUAUCAAGAUAAUAGUUUAUUAUCCAUGCUAUAAUUGUAUUGAAUGAAGACUCAUUUACAUGUGUGGAUACAUAGACAAAACACCGUCCCUAGCAUGCCUCUAGUUGGCUAGCCAGUUGAUCGAUGAUAGUCGGUGUCUUCUGAUUAUGAACAAAGUGUUGUUGCUUGAUAACUGGAUCACGUCAUUAGGAGAAUCACGUGAUGGACUAGACCCAAACUAAUAGACGUAGCAUGUUGAUCGUGUCAUUUUGUUGCUACUGUUUUCUGCGUGUCAAGUAUUUAUUCCUAUGACCAUGAGAUCAUAUAACUCACUGACACCGGAGGAAUGCUUUGUGUGUAUCAAACGUCGCAACGUAACUGGGUGACUAUAAAGAUGCUCUACAGGUAUCUCCGAAGGUGUUAGUUGAGUUAGUAUGGAUCAAGACUGGGAUUUGUCACUCCGUGUGACGGAGAGGUAUCUCGGGGCCCACUCGGUAAUACAACAUCACACACAAGCCUUGCAAGCAAUGUAACUUAGUGUAAGUUGCGGGAUCUUGUAUUACGGAACGAGUAAAGAGACUUGCCGUUAAACGAGAUUGAAAUAGGUAUGCGGAUACUGACGAUCGAAUCUCGGGCAAGUAACAUACCAAAGGACAAAGGGAAUGACAUACGGGAUUAUAUGAAUCCUUGGCACUGAGGUUCAAACGAUAAGAUCUUCGUAGAAUAUGUAGGAUCCAAUAUGGGCAUCCAGGUCCCGCUAUUGGAUAUUGACCGAGGAGUCACUCGGGUCAUGUCUACAUAGUUCUCGAACCCGCAGGGUCUGCACACUUAAGGUUCGACGUUGUUUUAUGCGUAUUUGAGUUAUAUGGUUGGUUACCGAAUGUUGUUCGGAGUCCCGGAUGAGAUCNNNNNNNNNNNNNNNNNNNNNNNNNNNNNNNNNNNNNNNNNNNNNNNNNNNNNNNNNNNNNNNNNNNNNNNNNNNNNNNNNNNNNNNNNNNNNNNNNNNNCGAACGUCGUGAUGGUUCGACCAGAGCGAUGGUUCGACCUCUCGAUCCCCACUUCCUCCCACUAGCACUUCCACCGAUUUUUUCAUUCCUUCGUAAACUAGGCGAUUAAAUAAAGAAAACAACCGGUUCAUAAAAAGAAACCCUACCUUAACGGAACGAUAAUCCUCACCACCCCGCACACGUCUUCCCCCGCACCCGCCCCCCGCCCCCGCCAGCCCGCACGACGCCCCGCCCACCCCGACUCCCUCACCGCCGGCAAACCCAGCCCCGCCGAAUCCCACGCCACGCCGCGUACCACUGACCCCCUCGCCGCCAGCCAUCCCAGCCCCGAUCCAUCCCUCGCUGCCGGCCAUCCCNNNNNNNNNNNNNNNNNNNNNNNNNNNNNNNNNNNNNNNNNNNNNNNNNNNNNNNNNNNNNNNNNNNNNNNNNNNNNNNNNNNNNNNNNNNNNNNNNNNNNNNNNNNNNNNNNNNNNNNNNNNNNNNNNNNNNNNNNNNNNNNNNNNNNNNNNNNNNNNNNNNNNNNNNNNNNNNNNNNNNNNNNNNNNNNNNNNNNNNNNNNNNNNNNNNNNNNNNNNNNNNNNNNNNNNNNNNNNNNNNNNNNNNNNNNNNNNNNNNNNNNNNNNNNNNNNNNNNNNNNNNNNNNNNNNNNNNNNNNNNNNNNNNNNNNNNNNNNNNNNNNNNNNNNNNNNNNNNNNNNNNNNNNNNNNNNNNNNNNNNNNNNNNNNNNNNNNNNNNNNNNNNNNNNNNNNNNNNNNNNNNNNNNNNNNNNNNNNNNNNNNNNNNNNNNNNNNNNNNNNNNNNNNNNNNNNNNNNNNNNNNNNNNNNNNNNNNNNNNNNNNNNNNNNNNNNNNNNNNNNNNNNNNNNNNNNNNNNNNNNNNCCCUACCUUAACGGAACGAUAAUCCUCACCACCCCGCACACGUCUUCCCCCGCACCCGCCCCCCGCCCCCGCCAGCCCGCACGACGCCCCGCCCACCCCGACUCCCUCACCGCCGGCGAACCCAGCCCCGCCGAAUCCCACGCCACGCCGCGUACCACNNNNNNNNNNNNNNNNNNNNNNNNNNNNNNNNNNNNNNNNNNNNNNNNNNNNNNNNNNNNNNNNNNNNNNNNNNNNNNNNNNNNNNNNNNNNNNNNNNNNCUGGUCCACAGUUAUGAUUGUGAAUUGUAUUCCAUCGAUAUCUAGUCUAGUGGAAAAUAUCAUGCACCUUCCACUCUUGCAGUAGUUUUGAAAAUUAUAUGUCGCGUCAUAUCGGUGGGAAAGAAGUAGCACAAUAAUCUUUCAUCAGAAGCAACCUAACUGCAGUCUUAUACUCCCUCCGUUUCAAAAUAUAAGACCUUUUAGGUAUUUCAUUAGAAGACUACAUACGAAACAAAAUGAGUGAAUCUAUACUCUAAAAUAUGUUUAUGUACAUUCGUAUGUAGUUUAUAGUAUAAUCUCUAAAAGGUCUUAUAUUUAGGAACGGAGGGAGUACAAAUUCAGUGAUUCAACCAUAGGUGUUCUAGAUGAGAUCUUUAGAGUUUAUAUAAAAUUUAAGUAGAAUUUUGUAUAUGAAAUGUCAGCAACAAGCUAGCUGUUGCGCACAUUCUGCUGAAAUUUCCCUUGGCAUCGGAUGCGUGCACAUCCAUGCAUAUAUGAAUGUUAGCCCGCGCGCCAAACUUGGAGCAGCCGACUCGUAAUACGUCGCUGGAAGGUGGCCCCGUCCGUCCCCUAUACAUACCCCUGCGCGCCAUGGCCGCCAUAGUCCAGUACGGCAAAGCUCGCAGCUAGCCACGUAGUGCGUUGUCUCCCUUUCUCCAACAGGGCCGAGAGAGCAAUGGCGCACAGGGUCCUCGAGCUGACGCUGGUGUCGGGUCACAGCCUGAUGGACGUCAACGUGUUCAGCCGCAUGGAGGUGUACGCCAUCACGUCCGUGCUCGGCGACCCUCGCACGCGGCAGCGCAGCAAGACCGACCGCGACGGCGCCAGGCACCCGACGUGGGACGACACGUUCCUGUUCGCCGUCCCGCCCACGGCCGCCAAGGCCUCCGCCGCGGGCGCCUACCUUCACGUGCUCCUCCGCACCGAGCGCCUCUUCGGCUUCGACGACCGCGACGUCGGCGAGGUGUUCAUCCCUCUCGCCGACAUGCUCGCCUGCGCCUGCGUCGGCGGCACCGGCCCGGCGCCGCGGUGCGCGUCGUACCCGGUCCGGAAGGUGCACUGCACCGAGAACCGGGGCAUGCUCACCGUGGCGUACCGCUUCGGCCCCGUGAUGGCGCCGCUGCAUCAUCAGGACAAAGAGCUGUGCUGGGACGACGCCGUCGCCGAGGUGGUGGGCUACGAGCUGCCGCCGUGGCAUUACUAUCCUCAGGUGGUGGGGUACGCGCCGGAGGCGGCGGUGCCGCCGCGNNNNNNNNNNNNNNNNNNNNNNNNNNNNNNNNNNNNNNNNNNNNNNNNNNNNNNNNNNNNNNNNNNNNNNNNNNNNNNNNNNNNNNNNNNNNNNNNNNNNUAACACCGCGGUUCGGCCGCCCGGAACCUUGGCUGUCACGUGCAUUAACGUCGCGGUUCGGCCGCCGGGCGCCUUUGCUGCCCAUGCGGAGCUAUAAAAAUUGAUGCCGGCCCCGUCCCGGCCAGCACCACCCCAUCCUCCCCCUUCCUUCUCGGUGCGACCAUCACCACCCCCUCCUCCUCCUUCUCGAUGCGGCCACCUUCUCGGCGCGACCAUCACCACCCCCUCCUCCUCUCUUCCUUCUCGAUGCGGCCACCAUGUUGAGCGGCUCUGGCAGUGACCGUGUGGCGUCGGGCGGCGUCUGGCCGUCCAGCCUGACCGUCGGCCAGACCGAAGAUCUGUCCCGGUUCAGCCUGUACGUGCCGCCGUCGGCGAAGCUGCCACGACCGUGGCGAAUCUCCGCCGACGGCUACCCAACCCUCGGCCCACCGGCGUCGAGGGAGGAGCUCCGGCGACACCCCGGCGACCGGUACAAGAGGAAAGGUCGUCGCCGUUUCUGUACCGGGAAGAGCUUCGACACCGUCGUCGGGGCGUUCAGGCGCGCCGCCCGUGGUGUCCCCGUGGGAGACAUCUCCUGGGAGGACGGUCCUUCCCGUCGUCGUGCAGCCGCGCCCACCACCCCACCUACCACGUCGGAGGUCCCGCUCCCGCCGAAGUAGGCGACACUACACCAGGACGGCGACCCCGCCCACAUGCCUGGGUUGCUAGCGACGCUGGCGAAGUCGGCGGAGAUGGCCGCGCGGGCGGCUGCAGAGGAGGCCUUGGACGAAGAGCAGGCAAAGGCGGCGGUGCAGCACGCCGUGGCGCUGGAGGCGGCGACGGAGGAGGAUGCAUGGCUUCUGAGCAGCGACGAGGACGGCGGCGACGACGCGACAGUUAUCGACCUUACCAGCAGUGAUGAGGAAGACGAUUAGAUUAUGUUUUUUAUAUAAAAUUCCGUUCGAAUUGAUGUCAUAUAUCCUAAAAAUGAAUGGAAUUUGAAUUGUUUCUUUAUAAUUUGCUUAAAUAUUUUUUAUGUGAUAGUAUAUCCGAAGGUGCUAUAAUAUAAAAAGAUGCAACAAAAUAUGAAAAUGACAAAGAUUCUAUAAAAAUAAUAAUGAAUUUAAAAAUAUUGAAAAAUGAUAAAAUUAUUAUGAUUUUAAAAUUAUGAAGAUUUGACUCAUUAUUGUUUUUAAAUGUAUUAAAAAAUACCCAUCAUAAUGUAAGAAAUCAUUCAUGCACUUAAUGUUCAUGUUAACCUUUAAGUAUUUUUAAAGAGUGUUUAUGUAUUAGGUGGAAAUAUUUGUAUAAUAAUUUCAUGAGCUUAAAAAAUUGAUUUGCGUCACGUCCCAUUAUUUUCGGGGUUUUCAUCCAUAAAAUUAUAUAAAAUGCUUACAUUGUUAGAAAAUAAAUUAAACUAGGCAUUCAUACAUGUCAUGAUGGUACAAGUGCAUAAAAAAUUAGGUUUAUUUGAAAGAUGUCAAAAAAAACGUGUUUCGCGACGGACAUUCGCUUCUACCCGAAAGGCCUUCACAGAAGAAGGUUAAAUUUGGUCAUCUUCAGAAUGACCCCAUUUUGGCAGCAUGUCCGCAUGACCGAAGCAGUGUUCCACGCAAGAUUUCAACGAAUCCAGAAACCAAACGCACGUUGUGUCACGUACGAUAAGUGUAUUUGGUUAUUUUCUUUUGAAAAAUCGUAGAAAAUGCAUGCAACAUAUGAAACGGCCGAAACAAAGUGAGCUAGUUUCAUGGAUGGGGAACGGAGAACGUGUUGGACACGUGUCCUACCAGCACAGUGAGUCGGUACUCCUUGUACAUGGUCCAUGUUACGCAUGAAAUGACACCAACUUUUGGCAGCACUUGCCAACAUCUAAUCUAGCCCCCACACAUGGAAUGAAUGAAUUCGUACACCAAACGCACGUUGCGUCACGUCUGGGCGUUGUUUUCAGUUAUUUUCCUGUGGAAAACCGUAGAAAAUGCAUGCAAUGUAGAAAAUGGUUGAAAAUUGACAUGGAUGCUUGUGGUGAUGCUGCUUGUGUGUGGAAAAAGUUUUCAUUUAUUCAGUGGAGUUGAAAAAAUAGUCCUUCGGAGGAGGCCUCCGGGUAGACACGAACAGUGUUGGUUUGUAACAGCCCGAGACUGACGCUCCACAAAAUUCCCCUUUUAUUCCAUUGUCGUCAUGUUAUUAUUUUGUUUGUCGUAUUCAUCAUCGCAUCACGCGCAUCAUCUGCAUUGCAUCGGCGCUCCGUUGCCGCCAUUUUUCAGAACUUGCAUCCGUUAAUAGUUGUCAGUUCUGUCCGUUGUCGACAUUGAGCGUUUUGAGACCAACUACACACGCACGCGCCCACGACAUCAUUAAAAAUAUAUUGUUUAAAGGUAUGUUUAAAAUAUUCUCGGAUUGGGUUGAAACUUGGCGUGCUGUCUUAUUUUAAUGUAGCUAGGCCGCGUGCCAAUUUUCGAUGCAAUCGGAGUUCGUUUGAUACACGAACGGUCGACCGUAGCGGCACCGUCAUCGGAUCAUCGUCGGAUGUUUUUUGGUGUUUAAAAUAUUGUGUCGGGCCGCAAACUUCUCUCUCUUCUUAGCCCACAAACCCUCUACACAACCACUAAGCCCACCUAGCCAUUCCCGCGACCGGUGCCGUCCGAUCACGAUCGGACGGUCCGAAAACGGGCUAAUUCCCCUAACCCGAGCCCCCUUUCCCUAUAUAAACAACCCUCCGCUACCUAAUGUGACCCCUCUUCCUCUUCCACCUCGGAAUCCGUGCUAACCCUAACCCUAGCCGCCACCAAAGCCACUCCCACCUCCUCUCUCCUCCAGCUGUCGGGCCCGCCGAACCCAUAUCAGGCCCGGGCAGGCCCAUCUGCCUUAGCACUAGAUCGGCAGCCAUGCUCGCAGCGACGAGCCUCCCAUGGCUGCCCCAACCAGCCCUGUCGCCACGCAAGCCCGCCGCCGGAAGCCUCUGCCGCCCAUCGGCGUGCCCAUCGGCUCCCCGCUCGCCCCUCGCAACAUCACGCAGGUCGUCGACGCUGAUGCGCCUCCGCUCCCCGUCGCCGCUCCGAUACGGAUCGAGCCAUUGCCGCCACCGCCCGAAGCCGAACCCUCGCAGCCCCGUAGCUCCCCAUUGCAGCCGUUGUCGCCUGCAGCCGCCAGAGCCUAGUCGCCCCGGACCGCAUCGCCCAGGAUCAGAUUAGGAGGAGCCCGACGCCUUUGCGCAUCGUUGACCGCCGCUCUUCGGUCGCCUCGAGCCCACUUGGGAUGGCCUCCCUGGCCAGGCCCAGCUCAGCCCCUUGGCCAUUCGGCCCAGCUGUCGUCCCAACGCCAAGCGCCGGCCUCGUUAGCGCCCGGAUGGGCCGCGUGAGCCGCUGGCCUGCAAGGCCCAACCUCAUGUGCCAUUGACCGGGCCUUAUGCCUCUAGGUGAGGGAAAUCGCGUGUUCCUCGCUCGUGCUUUUUUAUUGACCUGCGAAUUUUUGAAUUUCAGAAAAACCAUUAGUUUUAAAACGUUUAUAUCUAUUAAACCGUGCGUCGUAUCGAAAUAAGUUAGAUAUGUAAAACGUGUAGAAUUUUGCGUAGAUUAAUAUUUUCCGGAUUUCGUGCAUGUUUGAAACUGUUUAGCCCGCUGUUUGCAUAGAUUUGUGUGCUCAUCUAUUAAGAUGUAUUAUUCCGCAGCUAUUUCAACGUACAUCCGGAUUGCUCAAUCCUAGUAGGUUAAAUGUUGAUGUUGUUUGCAACCCCUUGCCAUGCAUAUUAGAAAUAGUUGUCUUGCUAUUUUCAUGUAGGCGACAUAAAUAGUUUGCUAAGACGGGUUUAGGUCAUAUUUUCUCAUAUAUGUGGUGGCAUUAGUUUUAUUUAAAACCCCACAUAUUAUAUAUGUUUUCGGGGUAGAAAAAUUCAUAGAAUUUAACUGUGCGUUUACUUUUGACUUUUGAGCAAGUUAGCCCAUAAGAUAUUUUGCCAUUUUUCCUUUUUAUUUAUUUUGUGUGAAUUAUUCCAUGCAUGAUAUCAAUUAGUUUUGAACUUGAUAUAUGCCCUUGGACAUGCAUGCUAGCACCUGGUAAUUCUAGUUGCUACAUAAAUCAAUGUUUAGGUGUUGUUUUCGUGUUGCCAACAUGCUAGAAAAUAGUGCUGAAUUGAGAAGCUGAAAUAUUUCCAAGUCUGGAAUUUGUAAUAUUUUGUUGCUGUCUUGCCAUGUGUUUUGAUAGUGAUCUAUAGCCCCUUUUGUUGGAAUUAUGCCCUAGAGGCAAUAAUAAAUGUAUAGUUAUUAUUAUAAUUCCUGUAUCAAGAUAAUAGUUUAUUAUCCAUGCUAUAAUUGUAUUGAAUGAAGACUCAUUUACAUGUGUGGAUACAUAGACAAAACACCGUCCCUAGCAUGCCUCUAGUUGGCUAGCCAGUUGAUCGAUGAUAGUCGGUGUCUUCUGAUUAUGAACAAAGUGUUGUUGCUUGAUAACUGGAUCACGUCAUUAGGAGAAUCACGUGAUGGACUAGACCCAAACUAAUAGACGUAGCAUGUUGAUCGUGUCAUUUUGUUGCUACUGUUUUCUGCGUGUCAAGUAUUUAUUCCUAUGACCAUGAGAUCAUAUAACUCACUGACACCGGAGGAAUGCUUUAUGUGUAUCAAACGUCGCAACGUAACUGGGUGACUAUAAAGAUGCUCUACAGGUAUCUCCGAAGGUGUUAGUUGAGUUAGUAUGGAUCAAGACUGGGAUUUGUCACUCCGUGUGACGGAGAGGUAUCUCGGGGCCCACUCGGUAAUACAACAUCACACACAAGCCUUGCAAGCAAUGUAACUUAGUGUAAGUUGCGGGAUCUUGUAUUACGGAACGAGUAAAGAGACUUGCCGGUAAACGAGAUUGAAAUAGGUAUGCGGAUACUGACGAUCGAAUCUCGGGCAAGUAACAUACCGAAGGACAAAGGGAAUGACAUACGGGAUUAUACGAAUCCUUGGCACUGAGGUUCAAACGAUAAGAUCUUCGUAGAGUAUGUAGGAUCCAAUAUGGGCAUCCAGGUCCCGCUAUUGGAUAUUGACCGAGGAGUCUCUCGGGUCAUGUCUACAUAGUUCUCGAACCCGCAGGGUCUGCACACUUAAGGUUCGACGUUGUUUUAUGCGUAUUUGAGUUAUAUGGUUGGUUACCGAAUGUUGUUCGGAGUCCCGGAUGAGAUCACGGACGUCACGAGGGUUUCCGGAAUGGUCCGGAAACGAAGAUUGAUAUAUAGGAUGACCUCAUUUGAUUACCGGAAGGUUUUUGGAGUUACCGGGAAUGUACCGGGAAUGACGAAUGGGUUCCGGGGGUUUACCGGAGGGGGGCAACCCACUCCGGGGAAGCCCAUAGGUAUUUGUGGGGGUCACACCAGCCCUUAGUGGGCUGGUGGGACAGCCCACCAAAUCCUAUGCGCCAAGGAACAAAAAUCAAAGGAAGAAAGAAAAAAAAGGAGGAAGUGGGAAGGGGGAAGGACUCCCUCCCACCAAACCAAGUAGGACUCGGUUUGGGGGGGGGAGAGUCCUCCCCCCUGGCUCGGCCGACCCCCUUGGGGUCCCUUGGACCCCAAGGCAAGGUCCCCCUCCCUCCUCCUAUAUAUAUGGGGCUUUUAGGGCAGAUUUGAGACGACUUUCUCACGGCUGCCCGACCACAUACCUCCAUAGUUUUUCCUCUAGAUCGUGUUUCUGCGGAGCUCGGGCGGAGCCCUGCUGAGACAAGAUCAUCACCAACCUCCGGAGCGCCGUCACGCUGCUGGAGAACUCUUCUACCUCUCCGUCUCUCUUGCUGGAUCAAGAAGGCCGAGAUCAUCGUCGAGCUGUACGUGUGCGGAACGCGGAGGUGCCGUCCGUUCGGUACUAGAUCGUGGGACUGAUCGCGGGAUUGUUCGCGGGGCGGAUCGAGGGACGUGAGGACGUUCCACUACAUCAACCGCGAUCUCUAAUCGCUUCUGCUGUACGAUCUACAAGGGUACGUAGAUCACUCAUCCCCUCUCGUAGAUGGACAUCACCAUGAUAGGUCUUCGUGCGCGUAGGAAAAUUUUUGUUUCCCUUGCGACGUUCCCCAACAGUGGCAUCAUGAGCUAGGUUCAUGCGUAGAUGUCUUCUCGAGUAGAACACAAAAGGUUUUGUGGGCGGUGAUGUGCGUUUUGCUGCCCUCCUUAGUCUUUUCUUGAUUCCGCGGUAUUGUUGGAUUGAAGCGGCUUGGACCGACAUUACUCGUACGCUUACGAGAGACUGGUUUCAUCGUUACGAGUAACCCCCUUUGCUCAAAGAUGACUGGCAAGUGACGGUUUCUCCAACUUUAGUUGAAUCGGAUUUGACCGAGGAGGUCCUUGGAUGAGGUUAAAUAGCAACUCAUAUAUCUCCGUUGUGGUGUUUGCGUAAGUAAGAUGCGAUCCUACUAGAUACCCUUGGUCACCACGUAAAACAUGCAACAACAAAAUUAGAGGACGUCUAACUUGUUUUUGCAGGGUAUGCUUGUGAUGUGAUAUGGCCAAUGAUGUGAUGUAAUAUAUUGGAUGUAUGAGAUGAUCAUGUUGUAAUAGAAAUAUCGACUUGCACGUCGAUGGUACGGCAACCGGCAGGAGCCAUAGGGUUGUCUUUAUACUAACAUAUGUGCUUGCAGAUGCGUUUACUAUUUUGCUAGGAUGUAGCUUUAGUAGUGAUAGCAUAAGUAGCACGACAACCCCGAUGGCGACACGUUGAUGGAGAUCAUGAUGAUGGAGAUCAUGGUGUGGCGCCGGUGACAAGAAGAUCGUGCCGGUGCUUUGGUGAUGGAGAUCAAGAAGCACGUGAUGAUGGCCAUAUCAUGUCACUUUUGAAUUGCAUGUGAUGUUAAUCCUUUUAUGCACCUUAUUUUGCUUAGAACGACGGUAGCAUUAUGAGGUGAUCUCUCACUAAAAUUUCAAGACGAAAUUGUGUUCUCCCCGACUGUGCACCGUUGCUAAGUUCGUCGUUUCGAGACACCACGUGAUGAUCGGGUGUGAUAGACUCAACGUUCACAUACAACGGGUGCAAAACAGUUGCGCACGCGGAACACUCGGGUUAAGCUUGACGAGCCUAGCAUGUGCAGACAUGGCCUCGGAACACAUGAGACCGAAAGGUCGAGCAUGAAUCGUAUAGUUGAUAUGAUUAGCAUAGAGAUGCUUACCACUGAAACUAUUCUCGACUCACGUGAUGAUCGGACUUGAGAUAGUGGAUUUGGAUCAUGUACCACUCAAAUGACUAGAGAGAUGUACUUUUUGAGUGGGAGUUCUUAAGUAAUAUGAUUAAUUGAAUUAAUUGUCAUGAACAUAGUCUAAUGGUCUUUGCGAAUUACGAUGUAGCUUGCGCUAUAGCUCUACUGUUUUUAUAUGUUCCUAGAGAAAAUUUAGUUGAAAGUUGAUAGUAGCAAACUUUGCAGACUAAGUUUGUAAAACCAAGGAUUGUCCUCGUUGCUGCGCAGAAGGCUUAUGUCCUUAAUGCACCACUCGGUGUGCUGCACCUCGAGCGUCGUCUGUGGAUGCUAUGAACAUCCGACAUACACGUUUCUGAUGACUACACGAUAGUUCAGUGCAAAAUACUUAAUGGCUUAGAAGCAAGGCGCCGAAAAUGUUUUGAAACGUCACGGAACAUAAGAGAUGUUCUAAAGAGAUGAAAUUGUGAUUUCAUGCUUGUGCCCUUGUUAAGAGGUACAAGACCUCCGAAAAGAUUCUUUGUCCACAAAGUAAAGGAGAAAAGCUCAAUCGUUGAGCGUGUGCUCAGAUUGUCUGAGUACGACAAUCGCUUGAAUCAAGUGGGAGUUAAUCUUCCAGAUGAGAUAGUGAUGGUUCUCCAAAGUCACUGCCACCAAGCUGUGAGAGCUUCGUGAUGAACUAUAACAUAUCAAGGAUAGAUACUAUGAUCCUUGAGCGAUUCGCGAUGUUUGACACUGCGAAAGUAGAAAUCAAGAAGGAGCAUCAAUAGUUGAUGGUUAGUAAAACCACUAAGUUUCAAGAAAGGCAAGGGCUAGAAGGGAUACUUCGUGAAACGGCAAAACAGUUGUUGCACUAAUGAAGAGACCCAAGAUUAAACCCAAACCUGAGACUAAGUGCUUAUGUAAUGAGGGGAACAGUCACUGAGGCGGAGCAACUCUAGAUACUUGGUAGAUAAGAAGGCUGGCAAAAGUCGAAAGAAGUAUAUUUGAUAUACAUGAUGUGUACUUUACUAGUACUCCUAGUAGCAUGAGGGUAUUGGAUACCGGUUCGGUUGCUAAGUGAUUAGUAACACGAAAUGAUAGCUACGGCAUAAACGGAUACUAGCUAAAGGCGAGGUGACGAUACGUGUUGGAAGUGUUUCCAAGAUUGAUAUGAUCAAAACGUCGCAUGCUCCCUCUACCAUCGGGAUUGGUGUUGAACCUAAAUAAUUGUUAUUUGGUGCUUGCGUUAAGCAUGAACAUGAUUGGAUCGUGUUUAUUGCAAUACGAUUAUUCAUUUAAAGAGAAUAAUGGUUACUCUAUUUGCUUGAAUAAUCACCUUCAAUGGUUUAUUGAAUCUCGAUCGUAGUGUUACACAUGUUCAUGAUAUUGGUGCCAAAAGAUACGAGGUAAUGAUGAUAGUACCAUUUACUUGUGGCAUUGCCGCUUGAGUCGUGUUGGUAUAAAUUGCAUGAAGAGAAUCCAUGCUUAUGGAUCUUUAUACUCACUUGAUUUUGAAUCACUAGUGACAUGCAAAUCAUACCACAUGAGCAAGGCCUUGUUUUCAUUAAGAUGAAACAAGAUAGUAACUUGUUGGAAGUGAUACAUUUUGAUGUGUGCAGUCCAAUGGGUGCUGAGGCACGCAGUGGAUAUCAUUAUGUUCUUAAUACAAUGAUGAUUUGAGUAGAUACAAGAGUAUUUACUUAAUGAAUCACAAGUCUGAAAUAUUGAAAAGUUCAAUUCAGUUUCGGAGUGAAGUUCGUCGUAACAAGAGGAUAAAAUGUCUAUGAUAUGAUCAUAGAAAUGAAUAUCUGAGUUACGAGUUUUGGUAUGCAGUUAAGACAAUGUGGAAAUUGUUUCGGAGUUCAUGCCACCUAGAACAUCAUAGUGUGAUGAUGUGUGUGAACGUCAUAGCCACGCACUAUUUGGUAUGGUGCAUACUAUGAUGUCUCUUAUCGAAUUACCACUAUCGUUUAUGGGUUAUGCAUUAAAGACAACUGCAUUCACUUUAAAUAGGACACCGCGUAUUUCCGUUGAGAUGACACAGUAUAGACUGAGGUUUAGAGAAAUCUAAACCGUCGUUUCUUGAAAGUUUGGGGCUUCGACACUUAUGUGAAAAAGUUUCAGUCUGAUAAGCUCGAACCCAAAGCGGAUAAAUGCAUCUUCAUAGGAUACCCAAAACAGUUGGGUACAUCUCCUAUCUCAGAUCCGAAAGCAAAGUGUUUGUUUCUAGAAACGGAUCCUUUCUCGAGGAAAGGUUUCUCUCGAAAGAAUUGAGUGGGAGGGUAGUAGAACUUGAUGAGGUUAUUGAACCAUCAAUUCAACCAGUGUGUAGCAGGGCGCAGGAAGUUGUUCCUGUGGCGCCUACACCAAUUGAAGUGGAAGCUGAUGAUGGUGAUCAUCAAACAUCGGAUCAAGUUACUACAAGCCUCGUAGGUUGACAAGGUCACGUACUACUAUAGAGUGGUACGGUAACCCUGUCUUGGAGGUCAUGUUGUUGAGCAACAGUGAACCUACGAGUUAUGGAGAAAGCGAUGGUGGGCCCAGAUUCCGACAAAUGGCUGGAAGCCAUGAAAUCCGAGAGAGGAUCCAUGUAUUAAAACAAAGUGUAGACUUUGGAAGAACUAGUUGAUGGUCAUAGGACUAUUGAGUAAAAAUGGAUCUUUAAAAGGAAGACACACGAUGAUGGUGAUAAGUCACUAUUAAGAAAAGCUCGACUUGUCGCAAAGAUGUUUUCGACAAGAUCAAACAGUUGACUAUGAUGAGACUUUCUCACUCGUAGCGAUGCUAAAGGUCUGUUAGAAUUAUGUUAGUUGUUGAUGCAUUAUUUAUGAAAUAUUGCACGUAGGAUGUCAAAACAUUGUUUCCUCGACGGUUUCCUUGAGCAAACAUUGUAUGUGAUACAACCAGAAGGUUUUGUCGAUCCUAAAGAUACUAGCAAGUAUGCAAGCUCCAGUGAUCCUUCAAUGGACUAGUGCAAGCAUCUCGGAGUUGGAAUAUACACUUUGAUGAGAUGAUCAAAGAUUUUGGGUUUGUACAAGGUUUAUGAGAAACUUGUAUUUCCAAAGAAGUGAGUGGGAACACUAUAGAAUUUCUGAUAAGUAUAUGUGGUUGACAUAUUGUGGAUCAGAAGUGAUGUAGAAUUUCUGUAAAGCAUACAAGGUUGUUUGAAAGGAGUUUUCAAAGGAGUACCUGGAUUGCGCUACUUGAACGUUGAGCAUCAAAGAUCUAUGGAGAUAGAUCGAAAGCGCUUAAUGGAAGUUUCAACAAGAUGCAUGCCUUGACAAGUUUUUGAAGGAGUUCAAAAUAGAUCAGCAAAGAAGGAGUUCUUGGUUGCGUUAUGAGGUGUGAAUUUGAGUAAGACUCAAAACCCGACCCCGGCGGAAUAACGAGAAUAGACGAAGGUCGUCUUCUAUGCCUUGGCCGUAGAAUCUGAAGUAUGCCAUGAUGGGUACCGCACCUGAUGUGUGCCUUGACUCAAAGUGUGUUGAGAGAUACAGAGAGUGAUCCAUGAUUGAAUCACUAGCAGCGGUCAAAAUUUAUCCUUAGUAACUGAUGGACUAAGGAAUUUUUCUCGAUUAUGGAGGUGGUUAAAGAGUUCGUCGUAAAGGGUUGCGUCGAUGCAAGCUUUGACACUAAUCCGAAUAACUAUGAGUAGUGAAGCGGAUUCGUAUAGUAGAGUAGAUAUUUGGAGCAUUUCCGAAUAGCACGUAGUAGCAGCAUCUAUAAGAUGACAUAAAGAUUUGUAAAGAUCGCAUGGAUCUGAAAGUUCCAGAACCGUUGACUAAAACCUUUUUCACGAGCAAGACGUGAUCAGACCCCAUAACUAUAUAGGUGUUGGAUUCGUUGGAAUCACAUGGUGAUGUGAACUAGAUUAUUGACUCUAGUGCAAGUGGGAGACUGUUGGAAAUAUGCCCUAGAGGCAAUAAUAAAUUAGUUCUUAUUAUAUUUCUUUGUUCAUGAUAAUCGUUUAUUAUCCAUGCUAUAAUUGUAUUGAUUGGAAACACAGUGCAUGUGUGGAUACAUAGACAAAACACUGUCCCUAGUAAGCCUCUAGUUGACUAGCUCGUUGAUCAAAGAUGGUCAAGGUUUCCUGACCAUGGGCAAGUGUUGUCACUUGAUAACGGGAUCACAUCAUUAGGAGAAUCAUGUGAUGGACUAAGACCCAAAUUAAUAUACGUAGCAUGUUGAUCGUGUCAUUUUGUUGCUACUGUUUUCUGCGUGUCAAGUAUUUGUUCCUAUGACCAUGAGAUCAUAUAACUCACUGACACCGGAGGAAUGCUUUGUGUGUAUCAAACGUCGCAACGUAACUGGGUGACUAUAAAGAUGCUCUACAGGUAUCUCCGAAGGUGUUAGUUGAGUUAGUAUGGAUCAAGACUGGGAUUUGUCACUCCGUGUGACGGAGAGGUAUCUCGGGGCCCACUCGGUAAUACAACAUCACACACAAGCCUUGCAAGCAAUGUAACUUAGUGUAAGUUGCGGGAUCUUGUAUUACGGAACGAGUAAAGAGACUUGCCGGUAAACGAGAUUGAAAUAGGUAUGCGGAUACUGACGAUCGAAUCUCGGGCAAGUAACAUGCCGAAGGACAAAGGGAAUGACAUACGGGAUUAUACGAAUCCUUGGCACUGAGGUUCAAACGAUAAGAUCUUCGUAGAAUAUGUAGGAUCCAAUAUGGGCAUCCAGGUCCCGCUAUUGGAUAUUGACCGAGGAGUCUCUCGGGUCAUGUCUACAUAGUUCUCGAACCCGCAGGGUCUGCACACUUAAGGUUCGACGUUGUUUUAUGCGUAUUUGAGUUAUAUGGUUGGUUACCGAAUGUUGUUCGGAGUCCCGGAUGAGAUCACGGACGUCACGAGGGUUUCCGGAAUGGUCCGGAAACGAAGAUUGAUAUAUAGGAUGACCUCAUUUGAUUACCGGANNNNNNNNNNNNNNNNNNNNNNNNNNNNNNNNNNNNNNNNNNNNNNNNNNNNNNNNNNNNNNNNNNNNNNNNNNNNNNNNNNNNNNNNNNNNNNNNNNNNAUAAGCGUUGUUGACAAGGCACCGGGCGGCUGAACAGGUCAGCGCGCGGCAGCCGAGGAAGAAGGCGGCGGUGCGACGCGGCAACCGAGAAAGCAGGCCACGGUGUGGCGCGGCAUCUGAGGGAUAAGGCCGCGGUGCGGCGCGGCAUCCGAGGAAGAAGGCGGCAGUGCCAGCGUACGGCGGGUGAGGCGGCCGGCUGGUCACCGGACGCGGCAGCCGAGGAAGAAGACGGUGGUGCCAACGCGCGCGUCAGGCAAGGAAGAAGGCGGCGGUGCCAACACGCACGGCAGGCGAGGCGAUGUGCCGUUAGCCGCCGUGAUUCGCGCCUGCAUUACGUGGGAUUAUUUAUUUUAAUAAAAAAACCACCGUAUGCGGAUACGUACGGCUGCGUGGGCGGGCAGGUACUUUUUAAAAUAUGCCCUGUCCUUAAUUUUGAAAAGGCAUCGGACGAUCUGAACUGUUUUUGUGUUAGGGAUCUAUUGAAGCAGAAGUGAAAAUCAAAUAGUUAUGUGCAUCUUUAGUUUGAUCCAAGGCCUUGAUUGUCAGAUAUAUACGAAUUCGCCUCCUGCGUAUAUCUGUGCUCUAACUUCGCUUCCACCGCCGCACUUUGGAUCUCGUAUCCAUGCGGUUCUUGUCAGUUUGUAAUGUAAUGUGAGCUUUGAGGUUUCAUCACUCGCAGAAAAAGGAAUCGAUCGAUUAAGCAAGUAUAUAUACUGCAAUGAACAGCACGUUAAUUAACAACACAGUACAGACAAAGUAGCUAUCAGGAAGCUAGCUAGACCGUGUGCAUUUCACGAUCCUGAUGAAUCUGCGCAGUUUUUAUUCAAGUUUGACCUACUUAUUUAGAGACUGAUAAUAUGAAUAUGCAAAGUUUUCAGAAGGCGACCCCUGCACCGUCGGCCGUGGGCUUGUACCCGGAGUCAUGAGCCGUCUUGUCCGACGGCGGCAUAUCGCUGAACACCAUCCCGCCGAAGCCUCCGCCGAGAAGCCCCGCGCCGAGCCCCAGCGCGAAGCUGCCGUUCCUUACGUAGUUCUUCUGUGCCGGCGACGCAGCGGCCGCGCCACAGCCUGCAGCUGGCUUGGGCGCCGGUGGCAUGCGAGCACACGCCUGAGGAUAGUAAUGCCAUGGCGGAAGCUCGUACCCCAUGACCGCGCCGUCGUCCCAGCACAACUCUUUGUCCUGAUGGGGCAGCGGCGCCAUCACGGGGCCGAAGCGGUACGCCACGGUGAGCAUGCCCCGGUGCUCGGUGCAGUGCACCUUCCGGACCGGAUACGACGCGCAGCGCGGCGUCGGGCCGGUGCCGCCGACGCAGGCGCAGGCGAGCAGGUCGGCGAGAGGGAUGAACACCUCGCCGACGUCGUCGAAGCCGAAGAGGCGCUCGGUGCGGAGGAGCACGUGGAGGUAGGCGCCCGCGGCGGAGGCCUUGGCGGCCGUGGGCGGGACGGCGAACAGGAACGUGUCGUCCCACGUCGGGUGCCUGGCGCCGUCGCGGUCGGUCUUGCUGCGCUGCCGCGUGCGAGGGUCGCCGAGCACGGACGUGAUGGCGUACACCUCCAUGCGGCUGAACACGUUGACGUCCAUCAGGCUGUGACCCGACACCAGCGUCAGCUCGAGGACCCUGUGCGCCAUUGCUCUCUCGGCCCUGUUGGAGAAAGGGAGACAACGCACUACGUGGCUAGCUGCGAGCUUUGCCGUACUGGACUAUGGCGGCCAUGGCGCGCAGGGGUAUGUAUAGGGGACGGACGGGGCCACCUUCCAGCGACGUAUUACGAGUCGGCCGCUCCAAGUUUGGCGCGCGGGCUAACAUUCAUAUAUGCAUGGAUGUGCACGCAUCCGAUGCCAAGGGAAAUUUCAGCAGAAUGUGCGCAACAGCUGCUAGCUUGCUUGUUGCUGACAUUUCAUAUACAAAAUUCCAAAUUUUAUAUAAACUCUAAAGGUCUCAUCUAGAACACCUAUGGUUGAAUCACUGAAUUGUAUAAGACUGCAGUUAGGUUGCUUCUGAUGAAAGAUUAUUGUGCUACUUCUUUCCCACCGAUAUGACGCGACAUAUAAUUUUCAAAACUACUGCAAGAGUGGAAGGUGCAUGAUAUUUUCCACUAGACUAGAUAUCGAUGGAAUACAAUUCACAAUCAUAACUGUGGACCAGCUGCAUGUCCAAUUGUCCAGGAAGAACUGACAGAAAGAACUUCAUGAAUGAUGUAUUUUUUCAGAAAGGUGGAAUUCUAUAAUUACAAGUAUAUAUUCUUAUUUAGAUGAUAACUAGGUAACGAAGUUAUUUGAUUAAACUUGUGAAUUUAAACGCUGGAUAAAAUCAUUAAACUGAAGGACUAGACAAAAUGAGCACCUAAGAAAAAAAAUCAUUUCUCAAAUUGAACUUACAAAUGACAAUGAAACAAAACAAAACUCAUAAUUUUAGAAAUGCUGUCAAUAUAUUCAGAUCGAGUGUUGAUUAAUCAAACUCAAAACGCAGAGCUUGGGGUCGGCUGUCGCACCAACAAGCCAAAAACGUUAGCUUGGCUCGGCCUAUUGGGUUGAGCCCAAAAUCUCGACUCGCCGGUGCAGACCCAUCUUUGAUUCUACACAGAAUAUAUUACUCCCUCCGUGGCUCCGUUCCAUACUAAUUGCCACCCAAACGGACGUAUCUACCAUUAAAAUAUACUUCCUCCGUUCCUAAAUAUAAGUCUUUGUAGAGAUUUUACUAGUGGACUAUAUACGGAUGUAUAUAGACAUACUUUAGAGUGUACAUUCAAUCAUUUUACUCCGUAUGUAGACACCUAUUGAAAUCGUUUAAAAGACUUAUAUUUAGGAACAGAGGAAGUAUAAUAGAUAUUACAUUCAUUUCAGCUGCAACUAAUAUGGGAUCAUGGGAAUAGUAGAAGUAUAAACAGAAAUUCUGCUUGGCAUGACUGGUCAACAAACAAACAAUAAAAAAAGUAGUCCAAUACAAUUUUUCAUUGCAUCCACUUAAAUUCAAUCAGACCAAAAAAUGAAGAUUAUUCUUGAACAAAGAAUUCAUUGAAGAAAGAAAUAAUAGUAUAAAAAUAAACCAUACUACUACUAUGUCAUGAAUUGAGCGGAAGAAUUCAGCCUGCUCGGGGAAGAGGCAGAACCGCGAGUCGGCCGAAGAUGAGUUGAGCCAAAGAAUUCAUUGAAGAAAGAAAUAAUAGUUGCUCUGGGAAGAGGCAGUAUGAGAACGGACGUGGACCAACUCAUCUUCGACUGCGCACACACGACGGACGGGCUCGAGCGCCUCAGCCACGGAGUAGCUAGUGUAGUAGUAAAAGGAAAAAAGACAGCGGAUAUUUCAUGGAGUACUUGAAUAUCCCACGAAAUGCUUCCAAAAAAAGGUUAAGGGGGUACGAAUGCACCGAUCUUACUACUAAUUAAAUUCAGCAUUAUAGUAUUCUAGGAUCCAUUAGGCUGGUCAUAGUGGGGGUAUCAUAACUAAUAACAUAGUCUUAGCACUAGUAAACAUGCAUGGUGAUGUGACAAGUAAUUAAAGAAGAGAGAGGAUUAUAGUAACAUAGGUAGAUACCGUAACAUGUUAAAUGUUAUGCUACUAUGUGUCAUGCAUGUUAAUAAAUGAGAUCAUCUAUGAUACUAAUUUAUGAUACUAUGCACUAUAAAGAUAUUAUCAUACAAUAGUAACAUAUGCAUGAUACUACUAUAUGUUACUCUCCACUAUGAACAGCCUUAUUCAUUAUUUUUAAACUGUUCGCCCACAAUUCAUGCACCAACCAAUGAUAAAUGCAUUCGGCGCAGAAACAUAUACUCUAGGAUCUAGACGUGAACCGGGUGUCAGCAUUACAAUUCUCCUGGGCAAAGUAGAGACGAUUGGCAUGGAGGUCAAACGUGAACCGCGUGUCCAUCUGCUGCGCCGCGCCGAGCACCGUCAUCUCCUCGUCCGGCAUGACGGUGAAACACAGGAGCCUGGCGGUCACCUUCCGGAACAGCAGUUCCGGCUUGAUGAAAAGCUUGGCUGUGUCUUCGUACAUGUUGAUGGUCAAGCUCGGGAGGUGCACGUGGCCCCACGAGACAAAGCAGAGGCGGUGCCCCUGCACCUGCGCCUUCGCGCGGCGCGCCCCUUGCUUCUGCAUGUUCGCCACGACCUCGGCCUCGACGAUGUCGUAUGCCUGGCGAACCAGCCUUGUCAGCGGAGUCCCCGGAUCGACGACGGACCCCCCUCGUCGGGUUUGAAGGUUCCGCGUGAACAUCGCCGGCUGUAACCUCAUAAUUCUUCUCCCGUUCAAGCUGAUGCCGACGACGCGGAUGUGGUACAUGCCGCCGGAGCCCGGUCCCGUGAAGAGCAGCGACGUGCUGUGCGCGUGGUCGUGCCUCGGGAUGUCGCGGCCGAAGCGGAGGAACCCGUGCUUNAUCGCUGAACACCAUCCCGCCGAAGCCUCCGCCGAGAAGCCCCGCGCCGAGCCCCAGCGCGAAGCUGCCGUUCCUUACGUAGUUCUUCUGUGCCGGCGAAGCAGCGGCCGCGCCACAGCCUGCAGCUGGCUUGGGCGCCGGUGGCAUGCGAGCACACGCCUGAGGAUAGUAAUGCCAUGGCGGAAGCUCGUACCCCAUGACCGCGCCGUCGUCCCAGCACAACUCUUUGUCCUGAUGGGGCAGCGGCGCCAUCACGGGGCCGAAGCGGUACGCCACGGUGAGCAUGCCCCGGUGCUCGGUGCAGUGCACCUUCCGGACCGGAUACGACGCGCAGCGCGGCGUCGGGCCGGUGCCGCCGACGCAGGCGCAGGCGAGCAGGUCGGCGAGAGGGAUGAACACCUCGCCGACGUCGUCGAAGCCGAAGAGGCGCUCGGUGCGGAGGAGCACGUGGAGGUAGGCGCCCGCGGCGGAGGCCUUGGCGGCCGUGGGCGGGACGGCGAACAGGAACGUGUCGUCCCACGUCGGGUGCCUGGCGCCGUCGCGGUCGGUCUUGCUGCGCUGCCGCGUGCGAGGGUCGCCGAGCACGGACGUGAUGGCGUACACCUCCAUGCGGCUGAACACGUUGACGUCCAUCAGGCUGUGACCCGACACCAGCGUCAGCUCGAGGACCCUGUGCGCCAUUGCUCUCUCGGCCCUGUUGGAGAAAGGGAGACAACGCACUACGUGGCUAGCUGCGAGCUUUGCCGUACUGGACUAUGGCGGCCAUGGCGCGCAGGGGUAUGUAUAGGGGACGGACGGGGCCACCUUCCAGCGACGUAUUACGAGUCGGCCGCUCCAAGUUUGGCGCGCGGGCUAACAUUCAUAUAUGCAUGGAUGUGCACGCAUCCGAUGCCAAGGGAAAUUUCAGCAGAAUGUGCGCAACAGCUGCUAGCUUGCUUGUUGCUGACAUUUCAUAUACAAAAUUCCAAAUUUUAUAUAAACUCUAAAGGUCUCAUCUAGAACACCUAUGGUUGAAUCACUGAAUUGUAUAAGACUGCAGUUAGGUUGCUUCUGAUGAAAGAUUAUUGUGCUACUUCUUUCCCACCGAUAUGACGCGACAUAUAAUUUUCAAAACUACUGCAAGAGUGGAAGGUGCAUGAUAUUUUCCACUAGACUAGAUAUCGAUGGAAUACAAUUCACAAUCAUAACUGUGGACCAGUUGCAUGCCCAAUUGUCCACCAAGAACUGACAGAAAGAACUUCAUGAAUGAUGUAUUUUUUCGGAAAGGUGGAAUUCUAUAAUUACAAAUAUAUAUUCUUAUUUAGAUGAUAACUAGGUAACGAAGUUAUUUGAUUAAACUUGUGAAUUUAAACGCUGGAUAAAAUCAUUAAACUGAAGGACUAGACAAAAUGAGCACCUAAGAAAAAAAAUCAUUUCUCAAAUUGAACUUACAAAUGACAAUGAAACAAAACAAAACUCAUAAUUUUAGAAAUGCUGUCAAUAUAUUCAGAUCGAGUGUUGAUUAAUCAAACUCAAAACGCAGAGCUUGGGGUCGGCUGUCGCACCAACAAGCCAAAAACGUUAGCUUGGCUCGGCCUAUUGGGUUGAGCCCAAAAUCUCGACUCGCCGGUGCAGACCCAUCUUUGAUUCUACACAGAAUAUAUUACUCCCUCCGUGGCUCCGUUCCAUACUAAUUGCCACCCAAACGGACGUAUCUACCAUUAAAAUAUACUUCCUCCGUUCCUAAAUAUAAGUCUUUGUAGAGAUUUUACUAGUGGACUAUAUACGGAUGUAUAUAGACAUACUUUAGAGUGUACAUUCAAUCAUUUUACUCCGUAUGUAGACACCUAUUGAAAUCGUUUAAAAGACUUAUAUUUAGGAACAGAGGAAGUAUAAUAGAUAUUACAUUCAUUUCAGCUGCAACUAAUAUGGGAUCAUGGGAAUAGUAGAAGUAUAAACAGAAAUUCUGCUUGGCAUGACUGGUCAACAAACAAACAAUAAAAAAAGUAGUCCAAUACAAUUUUUCAUUGCAUCCACUUAAAUUCAAUCAGACCAAAAAAUGAAGAUUAUUCUUGAACAAAGAAUUCAUUGAAGAAAGAAAUAAUAGUAUAAAAAUAAACCAUACUACUACUAUGUCAUGAAUUGAGCGGAAGAAUUCAGCCUGCUCGGGGAAGAGGCAGAACCGCGAGUCGGCCGAAGAUGAGUUGAGCCAAAGAAUUCAUUGAAGAAAGAAAUAAUAGUUGCUCUGGGAAGAGGCAGUAUGAGAACGGACGUGGACCAACUCAUCUUCGACUGCGCACACACGACGGACGGGCUCGAGCGCCUCAGCCACGGAGUAGCUAGUGUAGUAGUAAAAGGAAAAAAGACAGCGGAUAUUUCAUGGAGUACUUGAAUAUCCCACGAAAUGCUUCCAAAAAAAGGUUAAGGGGGUACGAAUGCACCGAUCUUACUACUAAUUAAAUUCAGCAUUAUAGUAUUCUAGGAUCCAUUAGGCUGGUCAUAGUGGGGGUAUCAUAACUAAUAACAUAGUCUUAGCACUAGUAAACAUGCAUGGUGAUGUGACAAGUAAUUAAAGAAGAGAGAGGAUUAUAGUAACAUAGGUAGAUACCGUAACAUGUUAAAUGUUAUGCUACUAUGUGUCAUGCAUGUUAAUAAAUGAGAUCAUCUAUGAUACUAAUUUAUGAUACUAUGCACUAUAAAGAUAUUAUCAUACAAUAGUAACAUAUGCAUGAUACUACUAUAUGUUACUCUCCACUAUGAACAGCCUUAUUCAUUAUUUUUAAACUGUUCGCCCACAAUUCAUGCACCAACCAAUGAUAAAUGCAUUCGGCGCAGAAACAUAUACUCUAGGAUCUAGACGUGAACCGGGUGUCAGCAUUACAAUUCUCCUGGGCAAAGUAGAGACGAUUGGCAUGGAGGUCAAACGUGAACCGCGUGUCCAUCUGCUGCGCCGCGCCGAGCACCGUCAUCUCCUCGUCCGGCAUGACGGUGAAACACAGGAGCCUGGCGGUCACCUUCCGGAACAGCAGUUCCGGCUUGAUGAAAAGCUUGGCUGUGUCUUCGUACAUGUUGAUGGUCAAGCUCGGGAGGUGCACGUGGCCCCACGAGACAAAGCAGAGGCGGUGCCCCUGCACCUGCGCCUUCGCGCGGCGCGCCCCUUGCUUCUGCAUGUUCGCCACGACCUCGGCCUCGACGAUGUCGUAUGCCUGGCGAACCAGCCUUGUCAGCGGAGUCCCCGGAUCGACGACGGACCCCCCUCGUCGGGUUUGAAGGUUCCGCGUGAACAUCGCCGGCUGUAACCUCAUAAUUCUUCUCCCGUUCAAGCUGAUGCCGACGACGCGGAUGUGGUACAUGCCGCCGGAGCCCGGUCCCGUGAAGAGCAGCGACGUGCUGUGCGCGUGGUCGUGCCUCGGGAUGUCGCGGCCGAAGCGGAGGAACCCGUGCUUGGCGAUGGGGUGGCUCUGCUCGGGGAAGAGGCAGUAAGAGAACCGCGAGUCGGCCAGCCCGCGCGCGGUGAGCUGGCUCAGGAACGACAUCGGGUGCCUGCUCAAGCUCAGGGCCCCAGCGAGAACGCCGUGGCUGAGGCGCUCGAGCCCGUCCGUCGUGUGUGCGCAGCCGAAGAUGAGUUGGUCCACGUCCGUGCUGUGUCCUCCUGCGCCGGUACCGGCGAAGGCGAACAUGUCGCUGCCGAGGUAGCCGUGUGCGGCGACGUUCCAGGUGGUGGUGUAGAAGCUGCACCGGUUGCCGACGGAAGGGGUGUAGGGGGGCGUACACAUGGGGUCCGUUGCCUUCAUGUGCUUGUAGCGAGGGGACUCGGCAGAGUCGAAGACGGCGCCCUCCUGCCGAACCUCGGGCACGCAGGGCUGGCACUGCAUCCACGUCAGAUUGCCGACGAGGUCCAGCCCGAGCUUGUAGAAAUGCCGGGUUUGGCCGGAGCCCACGCCGACGAGGACGCCGUACAAGGGCCACCCCACGGGUGCUAUGUGCGGACCUAUGCUCGUGAGGUUCGCGCCAAGCUGCCCGUCGGCUGUUUCCUGGUUGGACACGACAGGCAGACUGAAUCCGGCGCUCGGUGGUGCCACAUUGCCGACGGUGCCAUGGCUGGACGAAAUCAGCAGAGCAAAGAGGAAGCAAAGCUUAUAGGCAUAUAAAAUAGACAUGGUUGCUAUGAUCGAUGAGCAACCAGGAGGAGAGAGACAGAUUUAGAAUGCCUCCUUCGUUUGGAGGCCGUGUUCUCCAAUUAGUGUAAGAAGAUAUACAUACAUGGCUUAAUUGCGCUGACGAGUAUCUGAUGUGAAUCUGAAUUGUGUACUUCAAACAUUAAUGCAUGUAUUACUUAGUGCAUCGAAGAUACAAGAACGGCUAAUUAAUUAAGAUACAAGGGCGGCUAAUUAAUUAAUCCAUCUCUGGAGUAUGGAUAUGCAUGCAUUGGUGAGGCGCGCAAGUAGAUGCUGAUUGUGUGGGCUGAGCACUACUGCCUGGAUCCCCGUGUAUAAGGCUGGUUGUAAUGGGUAGUAUCAUAUAGGUGGUGUUUGUUUCCAGGGACUUUUUGGGGUAGGGACUAAAAAAAAGUCCCAAAAAGUCCCAUGUGAAACAAACAGGAGGGACUUUUAGGGACUAAAGUGGGGUGUUUGUGACUAUUUGGAGAAGUACCUAUGUGAGGGACUUUUUGGGACUUUUUUCAACAAUGCCCCUACUUUUAGCACGUAAUUUAAUAACUACUACUACAUUACUAAUGAUAACAUGGUCUUUUUACAUGUCAUUUAAUGACCUCUAGUCCCUAUUUAGUCCCAGGAAACAAACGGGUAGGGACUAGGGACUUUUAAGUUGGGACUAAAAAAAGUCCCAGGACUUCUCAAACAAACAGGGCCAUAGUAGUAGCAUGCAUAUGAUACUAGUGUAUGAUACCACAUCCGUAAUGCAUAGUAUCAUAUGCUAGUAUCAUACUUCCUUCGUCACGGUUUAGAAGACACAGUUAAACUUGUAUGCGUUUUUAAAAUAGACAAGGUUUAAGACGUGAAAGCAAUUACUCCUAUUAAUUAAUACUAGUACUACUCAUGCAUGCGUCUUCCUAAUUUGCUGCUCACGCAUUAGUACUAGUAUUUUUUGAGUUGAUUAGGUGCAUUAGCACUAUGCCUACUACAUCUCACAACCAAUCGAUGACUACAUUGGUCCGAGAGAUUUUCCAAACGUGUCUUCUAAACCGUGACGGAGGGAGUAGUAUUUUUUCAGUUGAUUCGGCGCAUUAGCACUACACCUACUACAUCUCACAACCAAUCGAUGACUACCUUGGUCCCAGAGAUUUUCCAAAAGUGCCUUCUAAACCGUGACGGAGGGAGUAGGAUAGUUCAUUUAUUGCCAUGCAAGACACAUAGUAGCACAUCAUUUAAUAUAAUACGGUAUCAUGAUAUGAUACUCAACCAUCUCUUUCAUCAUUUAAUUAUAUGCCACCUUAUCGAAAUUGCCUAGUUGGCAUGCAUGAUACUACCUACUCCCUCCUUUCCGGUUUAUAGGGCUCAAAUCUGAAAUCUCAUCAACCAAGGUGAAUUGUGAGUGGAUGACACUAGUUUAAACUAGCCAAUGAAAUAUUUCUCACAUAUUCAAUUUCCAAGGCAAUAAAUGUAGCAUCCUUCCUUUCAUUGGACUUGCAUGGUAGAUGUAGAAAACGACUCAUGCAUAGCCACUCAUCUCCUUUCUCUAAACUCUAUGAAUUAAAUAUGGCAUGAGACUCAAAGCACUUUAACUCACUUAGACUCAAAAUGAGCCUAAUAUAAUGGUAAUCUAAAUUUUUAAGAUGAGCCCUAUAAACCGGAAAGGAGGGAGUAUGAUACUCCCAUUACGGAAACCAAAACGGAGAGGAAAACAAGAGAAAUGAAUGCUAAUUUGCUAAUUAAUACUACUGCAUGCAAUGAGUUGACCACUGCAUGUCAUGCAAGUUAGCCUCAAGUCAUUAAAAACAUACACAUCCCACGCCUCUUAUUGGUUGAUUCCUUUAUUCAUGUCAAAAAACAAGAAAAAAGUGAAAGUUAAUGUACCGUGCCUAAGUGUUUUGGGAUUAUUUGGUUCUCGUAAGAUGACUUGUACACCGAGACGGAGGGAGUACUAUUUUGAUUGAAAAGGUUAAAUUUAAGCAUUGUUUAGGCUAGUAGUCAUAGUGAGAAAUAACUUAGGCUGCUCAUAGUGGGGAGUAACAUAUAGUAGUAUCAUGCAUAUGUUACUAUUGUAUGAUAUUAUCUUCAUAGUGCAUAGUAUCAUAAACUAGUAUCAUAGGUUAUCUCAUUUAUUGACAUGCAUGACACAUAGUAGCAUAGCAUUUAACAUGAUACAGUAUCUAGUACCUAUGUUACUCUAACCUUCUCUCUCUUCUUUAAUUACUUGCCACAUCAGCAUGUUUGCUAGUCCCAAGACUAUGAUACUAGCUAUGAUACCCCACUAUGGCCAUCCUUAGACUAGUAUCAUGCAUAAUGUUAAGAUUAAUUACAAAUGUAAUUAGGGGAAAUCUCGCCUUGCCUAUAAAUUACAAAUGUUUGCUAGUCCCAAGACUAUGAUACUAGCUAUGAUGCAAGAUUGUACAACGCUUUGGUUGCAAACAAAAAACUUGAUGCAGGGGGUCUUGAGUUUCUCAACAGGCACAUUCAACUUUGGCCAAAGUGGGCACGAGCUUAUGAUGAAGAUGGCCGAAGAUAUGGUCAAAUGGCAAGCAACAUGGCAGAAUGCUUCAACCGGGUGUUGAAGGGUGUCCGUGUGUUGCCGGUGACGACAAUAGUCCAAUACACAUUCGACAAGUUGAGAGCCUACUUUCUAAAAUGCCGGUGACUGAAAUGGAUGAUCAGAUUGCGGGGGAGACAAGAAAAAGUACAAGUACAAGUUCCCACUAAAGGUUAACAAAUGGAUGGAAUUUCAAUCACGGAAGUCUGACUCCAAAAUAGCUACGUUGUACAACAAAGAAGAUUGGACAUACCGAGUGAAUGAGCCAGGAGGAACGACAUACGAUGGCCACCAACACGGAAACAUGGCGUUCAAGGUAUCUUUAUCCUUGUGUGAUUGCUCUUGCGAGAGGCCAAGGUUGAUUCAUCUUGCAUGCUCGCACUUAUACACGGCAGCUCGCACUAGGAAUGUGGACGUCAACCAUCCGCUAACUGUGAGGAUGUCCGAGUUCUCGAUCAUGGCCACGAAGCAUACAUGGGCUCCUAGAGUUGAACCAUACUUUGACCAAUCGCAGUGGCCAGAGUACCAUGGAGUACAACUAUGGUCUGACCCAGAAUGGAAGGUGGUCAGACGGGGAAGGCGAAAUACGAAGCGUUUUAGAGGAGACAUGGAUGGAUGGGGCCAUGGUGGUCGCAGAGAAAUGGGGAACAACCAAUUCCAAGAGACUACCGAGAGAUCACAUUGUGGAGAGUGUGGUGUAACAGACACAACACAAGAAGGUGUACCCACCCAAAGAAGAAGUCCAAAAACAAUGAUUCAAGGCCAAACCAAGAAAGUAGUAGCCAACAAAGUCCUAGCCAAGCAAGUAGUUGCCAACAAGGUCCUAGCCAAGCAAGUAGUAGCCAACAAGGUCCGAGCCAAGCAAGCAGCAGCCAACAAGUUCCUCGUCCACAUGUUCCUAGACAACAUGUUCCUAGCCGACUUGGACUUAUUAGAGGACGUGCUUUCCCGCUGAUACGUCCAUUUUGCAUCAUGCUUUCAUGUUGAUAUUUAUCGCUUUUUGGGUUGUUAUUACAUUUCACGGUACAAUACUUAUGCCUUUUCUCUCUUAUUUUGUAAGGUUUACAUGAAGAGGGAGAAUGCCGGCAGCUGUAAUUCUGGCCUGAAAAGGGAGCAAGUUUGAGAUACCUAUUUUGCGCAACUCCAAAAGCCGUGAAAAUCAACGGGGAUUUAUUUUGAAAUUUAUAAAAAAUACUGGGCCAAAGAAUUNUGCAUAGUAUCAUAAACUAGUAUCAUAGGUUAUCUCAUUUAUUGACAUGCAUGACACAUAGUAGCAUAGCAUUUAACAUGAUACAGUAUCUAGUACCUAUGUUACUCUAACCUUCUCUCUCUUCUUUAAUUACUUGCCACAUCAGCAUGUUUGCUAGUCCCAAGACUAUGAUACUAGCUAUGAUACCCCACUAUGGCCAUCCUUAGACUAGUAUCAUGCAUAAUGUUAAGAUUAAUUACAAAUGUAAUUAGGGGAAAUCUCGCCUUGCCUAUAAAUUACAAAUGUUUGCUAGUCCCAAGACUAUGAUACUAGCUAUGAUGCAAGAUUGUACAACGCUUUGGUUGCAAACAAAAAACUUGAUGCAGGGGGUCUUGAGUUUCUCAACAGGCACAUUCAACUUUGGCCAAAGUGGGCACGAGCUUAUGAUGAAGAUGGCCGAAGAUAUGGUCAAAUGGCAAGCAACAUGGCAGAAUGCUUCAACCGGGUGUUGAAGGGUGUCCGUGUGUUGCCGGUGACGACAAUAGUCCAAUACACAUUCGACAAGUUGAGAGCCUACUUUCUAAAAUGCCGGUGACUGAAAUGGAUGAUCAGAUUGCGGGGGAGACAAGAAAAAGUACAAGUACAAGUUCCCACUAAAGGUUAACAAAUGGAUGGAAUUUCAAUCACGGAAGUCUGACUCCAAAAUAGCUACGUUGUACAACAAAGAAGAUUGGACAUACCGAGUGAAUGAGCCAGGAGGAACGACAUACGAUGGCCACCAACACGGAAACAUGGCGUUCAAGGUAUCUUUAUCCUUGUGUGAUUGCUCUUGCGAGAGGCCAAGGUUGAUUCAUCUUGCAUGCUCGCACUUAUACACGGCAGCUCGCACUAGGAAUGUGGACGUCAACCAUCCGCUAACUGUGAGGAUGUCCGAGUUCUCGAUCAUGGCCACGAAGCAUACAUGGGCUCCUAGAGUUGAACCAUACUUUGACCAAUCGCAGUGGCCAGAGUACCAUGGAGUACAACUAUGGUCUGACCCAGAAUGGAAGGUGGUCAGACGGGGAAGGCGAAAUACGAAGCGUUUUAGAGGAGACAUGGAUGGAUGGGGCCAUGGUGGUCGCAGAGAAAUGGGGAACAACCAAUUCCAAGAGACUACCGAGAGAUCACAUUGUGGAGAGUGUGGUGUAACAGACACAACACAAGAAGGUGUACCCACCCAAAGAAGAAGUCCAAAAACAAUGAUUCAAGGCCAAACCAAGAAAGUAGUAGCCAACAAAGUCCUAGCCAAGCAAGUAGUUGCCAACAAGGUCCUAGCCAAGCAAGUAGUAGCCAACAAGGUCCGAGCCAAGCAAGCAGCAGCCAACAAGUUCCUCGUCCACAUGUUCCUAGACAACAUGUUCCUAGCCGACUUGGACUUAUUAGAGGACGUGCUUUCCCGCUGAUACGUCCAUUUUGCAUCAUGCUUUCAUGUUGAUAUUUAUCGCUUUUUGGGUUGUUAUUACAUUUCACGGUACAAUACUUAUGCCUUUUCUCUCUUAUUUUGUAAGGUUUACAUGAAGAGGGAGAAUGCCGGCAGCUGUAAUUCUGGCCUGAAAAGGGAGCAAGUUUGAGAUACCUAUUUUGCGCAACUCCAAAAGCCGUGAAAAUCAACGGGGAUUUAUUUUGAAAUUUAUAAAAAAUACUGGGCCAAAGAAUUACCAUAGGGGCACCAGCAGGAAGCCACAAGCCUGCUAGGCGCAGCCUCCCCCCUGGCCAUGCCUAGGGGGCUUGUGGGCUCCCAGCUGGCCCUUUGGCCCCCCUCUUUUGCUACAAGAAGGGUUUCGUUCCAGAAAAAAUCGAGAGGAGGCUUUUGGGAGGAACCGCCGCCGCCACGAGGCGGAACUUGAGCACAACCAAUCUAGAGCUCCGACAUGACGAUCCUGCUGGGGAAACUUCCCUCUCGGAGGGGGAAAUCGUCGCCAUCGUCAUCACCAACACUCCUUUCAUCAGAGGGGACUCAUCACCAUCAACAUCUUCAUCAGCACCAUCACAUCUCCAAAUCCUAGUUCAUCUCUUGUAACCAAUCUUCGUCUCGCGACUCCGAUUGGUACUUGUAAGGUUGCUAGUAGUGUUAAUUACUCUUCGUAGUUGAUGCUAGUUGGAUUACUUUGUGGAAGAUUAUAUGUUCAGAUCUUUGAUGCUACUCAUUACCUCUCUAGUCAUGAAUAUGAUUAUGCUUUGUGAGUAGUUACUUUUGUUCCUGAGGACAUGGGAUAAGUCAUGCUAUAAGUAGUCAUGUAAAUUUGGUAUUCGUUCGAUACUUUGAUGUGUUGUAUGUUGUCUCUCCUCUAGUGGUGUUAUGUGAACGUCGACUACAUAACACUUCACCAUUAUUUGGGCCUAGAGGAAGGCAUUGGGAAGUAGUAAGUAGAUGAUGGGUUGCUAGAGUGACAGAACCUUAAACCCUAGUUUAUGCGUUGCUUCGUAAGGGGCUGAUUUGGAUCCACUAGUUUAAUGCUAUGGUUAGACUUUGUCUUAAUUCUUCUUUCGUAGUUGCGGAUGCUUGAGAGAGGAGUUAAUCAUAAGUGGGAUGUUUGUCCAAGUAAGGGCAGUACCCAAACGCCGGUCCACCCACAUAUCAAACUAUCAAAGUAGCGAACGUGAAUCAUAUGAACAUGAUGAAAACUAGCUUGACAGAAUUUCCCAUGUGUCCUCGGGAGCGUUUUACCUCCUAUAAGAGUUUGUCCAGGCUUGUCCCUUGCUACAAAAGGGAUUGGUCCACUUUGCUACACCGUUAUUACUAUUGUUACUUGCUACUUGCUACGAAUCAUCUUGUCACACAACUACUUGUUACCGAUAAUUUCAGUGCUUGCAGAGGUUACCUUGCUGAAAACCACUUGUCAGAUCCUUCUGCUCCUCGUUGGGUUCGACACUCUUACUUAUCAAAAGGACUACGAUAGAUACCCUAUACUUCUGGGUCAUCAAGACUAUUUUCUGGCGCCGUUGCCGGGGAGUGAAGCGCCUUUGGUAAGUGGAAAUUGGUAAGGAAACAUUUAUAUAGUGUGCUGAAAUUUAUUUCCACUUGUCACUAUGGAAACUAAUCCUUUGAGGGGCUUGUUCGGGGUAUCUUCACCUCGAACGGAAGCACAAAGAGUUGCUCCUCAAUCUGCUGAACCUACUGAAAAUAUUUUCUAUGAAUUUCCUUCGGUAUGCUUGAGAAACUGCUGGCUAAUCCUUUUACACGAGAUGGAACAUCACAUCCCGACUUGCAUCUAAUCUAUGUAGAUGAAGUUUGUGGUUUAUUUAAGCUUACAAGUUUCCCCGAGGAUGAGGUCAAGAAGAAGGUAUUUCCCUUCUCUUUGAGGGAUAAGGCGUUGACAUGUGCUACUGCAACGGCGCCAGGAAUCCUGCUGCUACGGCUACGCCUAUAGGGACUUCCUUGGCAAAUAUGCAAAGGAUUUCCCCGCGGCCUUGGAGCCUUGCGUUGGUGUUCCCUUAAAGAGGAAAGGUUGAUGUAGCACAGCGGCGGUAAGUAUUUCCCUCAGUUUGAGAACCAAGGUAUCAAUCCAAUAGGAUGAGAGUUCAAGUCACAAGUACCUGCACAAACACAACGAGCUUGCACCCAACGCUACGAAGGGGUUGUCAAUCCCUUAUAGAUUGUUUGCAAAGUGAGAACUGAAAGCAAAGAGUAAACAAAGCAAAGUAAAAGCGAAAGUGGAAACGAUAGUUGUGAAUAGACCCGGGGGCCGUAGUGUUCACUAGUGGCUUCUCUCAUGAAAGCAAGUAGACGGUUGGGUGAACGAAUUACUGUCGAGCAAUUGAUAGAACCACGCAAAGUCGUGAUGUUAUCUAAGGCAAUGAUUAUAUCUAUAGGCAUCACGUCCAAAACAAGUAGACCGAUACUUUCUGCAUCUACUACUACUACUCCACACGUCGACCGCUAUCCAACAUGCAUCUAGUGUAUUAAGUUCAAAAGAACAUAGUAACGCCUUAAGCAAGAUGACAUGAUGUAGAUGAACAAUCUCAAAUCCAUGAUGAAAGCCCAUCUUGUUACCCUUGAUGGCAACAACACGAUGCGUGCCUUGCUGCCCCUCCUGUCACUGGGAGAUGUCACCACACGGUAUGAACCCAAAACCAAGCACUUCUCCCAUUGCAAGAAUCAUAGAUCUAGUUGGCCAAACAAAACCCAAGACUCUGAGAGACUUACAAGGAUAUCAAAUCAUGCAUAUUAGAAAUCAGCAAAGACUCAAAUAUAUUUCAUAGAUAAUCUGAUUACAAAUCCACAAUUCAUCGGAUCUCGACAAACACACAGCCAAAGAGGAUUACAUCGGAUAGAUCUCCAUGAAGAUCAUGGAGAACUUUUUAUUGAAGAUCCAAGAGAGAGAAGAAGUCAUCUAGCUACUAACUACGGACCCAUAGGUCUGAAGUGGACUACUCACGAGUCAUUGGAGAGGCGAUGAUGUUGAUGUAGAAGCCCUCCAACUCCAAAGUCCCCUCCGGUAGGGCACCGGAAAGGGUCUCCAGAUGAGAUCUCACGGAAACGGAAGCUUGCGGCGGUGGAAAAGUAUUUUCGUGGAUGCCCUGAUUUUUUCUGGAUUUUUAGGAAAUUUAUAGGCCAAAGAGCUAGGGCAGGGGAGCACGAGGCAGGCCACAAGCCUGGUUGCCGCGGGCCCCCCUUGGCCGCGGCAACAGGGCUUGUGGGCUCCCUGUGGGCCCCCUGCCUUGGCCCUCACGUCCCCCGAUCUUCUUUCUGUUUUGAAAAAAAUUAUUUCGGGGAUUUUAUUCCGUUUGGACUCCGUUCCAAAAUCCGAUCUGAAAAGAGUCAAAAACACAGAAAAACAGGAACUGGCACUUGUCACUGAAUUAAUAAGUUAGUCCCAAAAAAGAUAUAAAAGGUAUACAAAACAUCCAAAGUUGACAAGAUAACAGCGUGAAACCAUCAAAAAUUAUAGAUACGUUUGAGACGUAUCAAGCAUCCCCAAGCUUAACUCUUGCUCGUCCUCGAGUAGGGAAGUGAUAAAGAAUGAAUUUUUGAUGCUUUCAUGCUACCUAGCAUAGAUGUCCUUCGUAACUCCUCUUAUGUGACGUGAAUGUUCAGAUCCAUUAGAUUCAAAACAAUAGUUUGCUAUUGACGUGGAGACAAUAAUACUUCAAGCAAACUUGCAAGGUAAUCAUGAACUUUCAAAAUAACAAGGCCAAAAGAAAGUUAUCCCUACAAAAUCAUAUAGUCUGGCUAUGCUCUAUCAUCCUUGCACCACGAAUUUAAAUCAUGCACAACCCCGGUAUUGGCCAAGUAAUUGUUUUCACACAUUUACUUUCUCAAACCUUUUCAACUCUCACGCAAUACAUGAGCGUGAGCCAUGGUUUUAGCACUAUAAGUGGUGUGGAGUGUGGUGGAGGUUGCAAGACAAACAAGGAGAAGAUGGUCACAUUGACUAGGCAUAUCAAUGAGCUAUGGAGAUGCUCAUCAAUAGAUAUCAACGUGAAUGAGUAGGGAUUGCCAUACAAUUGAUGCACUAGAGCUAAGAGUAUGUGAAAGCUCUUAAAGAAAACUAGUGGGUGUGCAUCCAACUUGCUUGCUCACGAAGACCUAAGGCAAUUUUGAGGAAGCCUAUCAUUGGAAUAUACAAGCCAAGUUAUAAUGAAAAUUUCCCACUAGCUAUAUGGUGGUGACAAAACAAGAGACUCUCAAUCAUGAAGAUCAUGGUGCUUAAUAUGCACAAAUGUGGAAAGGUGGUAGCAUUAUCCCUUCUCUCUUUUUCUCUCUUUUUUUGGUGAGCUCUUUGGCCUCUUUUUUUUGGUGGGCAUCUUUGGCCUCUUUUUUUUUCCUCAUAUGGGACAAUGCUCCAUCAAUGAUGAUCGUCACACUUACAACUCAAAACUUAGAGCAAUGAUGACUCUAUAUGGAAUGCCUUCGGUAGUGUACUAUGACAAUGAUCUAGCAUGGCAUAGACAUCUAUGGAAACAUCAUGCUAGCUAUCUUAUGAUCAUGCAAUGGCAAUGUGGAAGUGGUCGCACAUGUCAUGGUGGUAGUUGCAUGGCAAUAUAUCUCGGAAUGGCUUUGAAAAAGCCAUAGUAGGUAGGUAUGGUGGCUGUUUUGAGGGAGGCUAAUGGUGGGUUUUGUGCACCGGCGAAAGUUGCACUGCACUAAAGAAGAUCGUGAUGGUGGGAGGUGAAAGUGCAUCUAAACCAUGGACUCAACAUUAGUCAUGAAGAACUCAUAUACUUGUUUCAAAAGUUUUAGUAGUAAUCGAAACAAAGCAUUCAACGCAUACUCCUAGGGGAAGGAUUGGUAGGUAUAAACCAUCGCGUGAUCCCGACCGCCACACAAAGGAUGACAAUCAAUAUACUAAUCAUGCUCAGACUUCAUCACAUAGCGGUUCACCAUACGUGCAUGCUACGGAAAUCACUAACUUCAACACAAGUAUUUCUAGAUCCACAACACCUUACUAAUAUAAGUUCAAUAUUACCACAACCACAACUCAAAACUAAUUGAGAUGAAUCAAACUUCUCUAACUAUUCAAUGUACAUGAAGGUGGAAGUUUUCAUAUCCCUUUGGAUAACUACCCCUUUUGAGACUACUAUCGUAGCAUAGAUCAACUACCAAGCCACGCGCUUCCGUGCUUUAAAAGAUAUAAGUGAAGCAAAUAGAUCAAAAGCAACUAGCUCAAAAGAUAUAAGUGGAGCACAUGUGAGCUAAAUUGUCUAACCAAAGGAUAUAAGUGAAGCUCGACAAAAUCAGGGUGACACAACAAAAAUAAAAGACUCCUACGAUACAAGACGCUCCAAGCAAAACACACAACAUGUGGUGAAUAAAAAUAUAGCUCCAAGUAAUGUUACCGAUGGAUUGAAGACGAAAGAGGGGAUGCCUUCCCGGGGCAUCCCCAAGCUUAGGCUUUUACGGCAUCCUUGAAUCAGCUUGGGGUGCCUUGGGCAUCCCCAAGCUUGAGCUCUUGCCACUCUUUAUCUCUUUGUCCAUAAGAACUUCACCCAAAACUUGAAAACUUCACAACACGAAACUUAAAAAGAAACUCAUGAUAACAUUAGUAUAAGAAAGCAAACCACCACUUCCUUAGGUACUGUAGCAAACUUAAAUUCUACUUGUGUUGAUGUUGGGUUACUGUUUUUUCAAUAUUCCAUGGCUAAUACCCCCCGAUAAUAACCAUAGUUUCAUUAAAAUAAGCAACCAACUCAACAAAAACAGAUUCUGUUAACAGCAGACCAGUCUGUAGCAAUCUGUAUAAUUCGUAUACUUCUGAUACUUCAAAAAUUCUGAAAACUUACGAAAGUCUGAAUAAUUUGCGUAUCAAUCAUCAGCAAAAAGAAUCAACUCAAAAGCUCUUACAGAAAAAAAAUAAAAAUUCUUUUCGUGAGCAGAAAGUUUCUGUCUUUUCCAGCAUGACCAAACGAUCAUCCCCAAGACUAAUCAUAACAGUUUUGCUUGGCACAAACGCAAAAAGAAACACAAAAAACAUAAUCAUAACAGAAUUAUGAAAGUGUGGAAAACACAAAACAGAAAGAAAAAUGAUAGAUUCUUUGGGUUGCCUCCCAACAAGCACUAUUGUUUAACACCCUUAGCUAGGCAAAAGGUGAUGGAAUCACGUAUAGUCAUCUUUGGUGCUCAAACUAUAAGUAGCCCUUAUUAUAGAUUCAUAAGGCAAUCUUAUUUUAUUGCUAGGAAAAUGUUCCAUGCCCUUAUUUAGGGGAAAUUGAAAUCUAAUAUUCCCUUCCUUCAUAUCGAUGAUAACACCGAUAGUCCUUAGGAAAGGUCUACCAAGAAUAAUAGGACAUGAAGGAUUGCAAUCUAUGUCAAGUACAAUGAAAUUCACGGGUACAUAGUUCUUAUUUGCAACAAUAAGAACAUCAUUGAUCCUUCCCAUGGGUUUCUUGACAGUAGAAUCCGCAAGAUGCAAAUUAAGAGAACACUCUUCAAUCUCAUGAAAACCAAGAAUAUCACAUAAAGACUUUGGAAUCGCGGAAACAAUAGGACCCAAAUCACACAAAGCAUUGCAUUCAUAGUUUUUGAUUUUGAUUUUGAUAGUAGGUUCCCACUCAUCAUGAAGUUUUCUAGGUAUAGAGACUUCUAAUUCGAGCUUCUCUUCAAGAGAUUUCAUCAUAGCAUCUAUGAUACGUGUGGUAACGAAAACUGUCUAGCGAUUUUUUUUCUAGGAAUUGACCGCGAGAGGACGUGGGGGUCGUGCGAUUAGCGCUAACGAAAACUGUCUAGUUUCUUUAACGAAGUAUCCAGGCCAUUAAUUAAGUUUUUGGAGAAUCUAGAUAUAGAGAUGGAUCUACCCUCUCGUGCUUUUAGUAGUAGAGAUAUGUGGCCAGCAACUGCGAAUGUAAAUGAACAUCUUUGAGUCCUUCCAUUGCUGCUAUCAUCUAACAAUAUAAAAUCGACCUGGCCAUAACACGCUUCUCCAUGUGAGGCUGCUAUCAUUCUAAAUCAUAUCACAUGCGAAGUUCUUGCAUCAGUAUUUGUGAAAUUAGGAAGACAAUUGACCACAUCUAAAGUUCCAGGAUGACAUACAUAUUUACCAACAAUAUAUUAACAAAAUUCCACAUUCCUCUGACAAGUUACAAUUCUUAUGUAUCAACAACAUAAAUAUGGAAAGCUCAUAAGAAGAAAUACCAUAAUAUGAAGCAGAAUUAACAUUACCUGGUCUGACAAGAUUGACUGUACUGCAACAUCAGCAUCUCACACUGUCUGCACUACGGGUGUACAUCAACAAAGUUCGGCAACCACCACAUAUAAACCGAGCCAUUUCCACUACUCCAUUAGAAAAUUUGUAACUUACGUAAGCAUUUUUGUUUCAGAUUAAAUCUAAUAUGCGGAGCAAAUUGAAACAAAGGGAGUACAAGAUAACGAAUGGAAGAUUGCAUGAAGUGAAAAGGACCUAGAAAACACAAUUUUGUGAAUGUAUAGAAGGAGGUCCAACUUGGGGUUCCACUGUAGUUUCAGUUCUACAAGCAUAGAGUUAUCAACAGAGUACUUAUAAUCCGAACACUGCAUAAAACUAACCACUAUCCCAGUGCAAAUAGUUGCAUGCAUAGAUCCAAGAAAAAUACCACAACCACUUUAAUUAAGAGCCCGUAGUUAAUUAGCACCACCACCACUUUAUUAAUGAGAAAAUACCACCCAGUGGAUAUGUAUGCUCUUGUAAUUCUAUCUGAGCACAUCAUCUUACCAUGCACUCCAAACACGCACAAAUAGACUCUGAAUUCAAGUAACAUUUGUUAGCGUGAAAAGCGCCAUGCCAGAGGAGGGCCGUCUACAUCGGCGUUCAAGAGGGGCCCGUUGGUGAGUUGUGCAGCACAGCGGGUGGGAGGUCUGCGCUGCAGAGAAGUUGGACUCAGCAGCCUACAAAGCAAAGGAGGAGGCUAGCAUUCAGAGCAUGGGACUCUCAGUAGAAUGAAAUGGAUUUGCGCCUGGUUGGUUAGUCUUAUGCGAUGAAAUGAUGAACUGGAUUGUUAGAAAUUAUCUUAAAGUGCACACGCCUCAAUUCCUAUCAAAAAUCCCAAGGUUGUUGAAAAUGCAUAAGACCCAAUAUUAAACAUCAAUUUAACAUGACAAGAAAUAAAUACAUAGUUGAUCACAGGGACAUUAGAAUAACCACAUACAGAAUCCAGUUUCAGAAUCGCAAUAUAUGACCUGAACAUGAAUUGUUGGCAAUCAUUAAUAAGUAAAAGCAACUCUUAUUAAGUAUGACAACAUCAAGGCAACUAAAAAGAGCUAACGGCAAAGCAUCUCAUUUACCUCUUGAGCUAGAGCAUAAGGCUUAUUGGGCAAUCAAAGAGCUCAACUUUGAUUUCAAACUUGUUGGUGAGAAGAGGUUAUUUGAUAUUAGCUCACUUGAUGAGUGGAGAACUCACGCAUAUGAGAAUGCCAAGUUCUUCAAACAAAAGGUUAAGAGGUGGCAUGAUAAAAGGAUACAGAAACGUGAGUUCAAUGUAGGUUAUUAUGUCUUGCUAUAUAAUUCUCGUUUAAGAUUUUUUGCAGGCAAGCUUCUCUCUAAAUGGGAAGGUCCUUACAUUGUUAAGGAAGUAUAUCGUUCCGGUGCUAUCAAGAUCAACAACACGGAAGGUAAUAUUUGAGAGUGGUAAAUGGGCAGAGAAUCAAGCAUUAUAUCUCAGGUACUCACAUAAAUGUUGAAAGCAAUAUUAUCAAUACCAUAACUCUGAAAGAGUACCUAAGGGAUAUUUAUCAGCCUAUUUCAGACUCCGAAAACGAAGAGGUAUGUGAUUCGGUAAGUAAACAGACUCCAAAACUUUUCCAGUAGGAAUUUUUCUCCGUUUUGGAAUUUUUGAAAAAAUAUAAAAAUUUGAAGUAGUCUGGAAAGCGCACGAGGAGGCGACAGGCCUGCCAGGCGCGGGCCACCCCCCUGGCCAUGCCUGGGGGCCUUGUGGCCACCUCCCGUGCCUCUCGGACUCCGUUUUCUUGUGGAGUACUCCUUCUGGUCGGAAAAAAAUCAUUAUAUAUUCUCCUGUAAGGAAUCUGUGGGGGAGAACGAUCUCCCUCGAGUCUAUGGAGAAGUAAAUGCUGAUCUGAAACGAAUGGAUGUCAUGGAGGCCAAGGAAAGGCUACCUAAAGAAACCAAGGGCAAAACUAAGGAGGAGAAUCAAUCGUGGGACGAAGGCCAAUCUGUGUUCAACAAGGAAGAAGUUGAAGAAGUGGAUUUCCUUCAACCCUACCUCCACCUAUUGUCCCCAUCCCUGGUUGAGCUCUUAAGGUUUUGUGAAACAACUCGUGCUCGCAAUACUUUUCUCACUCGUGAAGUUGUUUUGCUGGAGAAACAUAUCACAGAGCUCCAAGGUAUAAAUCAAAGAUUGAUGGCCCUCUUGGAAUCAAAGGACAAAACAACUCCACCACCAUCACCUCCAAAGGAAGACAACUAAGCAUGGGUAUGGGCAAUCCCCUUGGCUUGUGCCAAGCUUGGGGGAGUUGUCCCGGUAUCGUUUCACCAUCAUAUCUUUUGCCUUUACCUUUUCUUAGUUCGUUCCUUUUCGGUUUUAUUUUUCUCUAGUAGAUUAAAGUCCUUAGUGUUUUAGGCUUGAGUUUUGCUUUGUGUCACCCCCGAUGUAUUCGAGCUCGCGAGCCAUAUAAUAAAGAUUGUCUUAGUUAAGGGCCUUGCCUCAUGCCAUGAUCAAGAGAAUGAGAAAAGAACAAAAGCAUGAAAGAUCAUGUAAUGAUCUUAUGGAAAGUGAUGGCUUCACAUAUAAAAAGAAUGUUGAUUGAAACUUGUUGAGGGUAGACAAACGUAGACCUUGGUCAUUGUUGCAAUUAAUAGGAAGUGAUAAAUAAGGAGAGGUUCACAUAUAAAUAUAUCAUCUUUGACACCAUCUAUGAUUGUGAACACUCACUAAACUAUUACAUGCUUAGAAGUAGAUGUUGGACAAGGAAGACAACAUGAUGAAUUGUGUUUGCUUGGCUCCGAACAAUGUUAUAUGACUAGAGAUCCCUUAGCAUGUGACGAUUGCUUCCACCUCAUAUUAGUCAAAACUCCCGCACCAAGUAGAGAUACUACUUGUGCAUCCAUAAACCUUCAACCCAGUUGUGCCAUGAGAGUCCACCAUACCAACAUAUAGAUUGAAUAAGAUCCCUCAAGUAAGUUGUCAUCGGUGCAAGCAAUAAAAAUUGCUCCCUAAAUAUGUAUGAUCUAUUAGUGUGUGAAAAAUAAGCUUUGUACAAACCUGUGAUGAGGAAGACAUAAAAGCGACAGACUGCAUAAUAAAGUUCUUUAUCACAGGAGGCAAUAUAAAGUGACAUUCCUUCACACUAAGUGGACACACAUCCAAACCUCAAAAGCGCAUGACAACCUCUGCUUCCCUCUACGAAGGGCCUAUCUUGUACCUUUACUUUUUUCCCUUGAAAGAGUCAUGGUGAUCUUCACGAAUUCCUUAUUUCGCCUUUAUCUUGGCUAACGUUAUAUGCUAGGAAAAGAUCUAUAUUCAUAUGUCAACUUGGAAGUAAGUAUUCAUGAAUUAUUAUUGUUGACAUUACCCUUGAGGUAAAUGGUUAGGAGGCGAAAUUAUAAGCCCCUAUCUUUCUCUGUGUCCGACUGCAACUUUGAUCUCAUGAGUACCACGUGAGUUGUAGCAAUUGUAGAAGACAAAAGGAUGAUUGAGUAUGUGGAUUUGCUUUACAAGCUCUUGUUUGACUCUUUCCGAUGUUAUGAUAAAUUGCAAUUGCUUCAAUGACUAAAGGCUAUCGGUUGUUAAUUCUCAGUAAGGUUCUUGAUCCAUACUUUACUUUGUGAAGGAAUUAUCACUUUAGCAUGAGAGAUUACAUGAUGGUAUUGAUGUUCUGAAUAAGAUCAUGAUGUCUGCAUGUCCAUAUCUUGUUUUGUCGACACCUCUCUCCCUAGACAUUUGGGCAAGAAAUGAAGUUGCACAUCUUAGUGGUAUGAGUUAGUUUUGGAGUGGAGGUGUCAUUAGUGAAAAAUGCACGUCCACGGGUUAGACGAAAAGUUGCACAUCGACUACUAGGCAGUUGGCCGAGCAACACAUGAAGUUGCACAUCGUCUGCUAGGCUGGUGGAUGGAACAAGAGAUGAAAUUGUUCUGCUGGUGAAGUUAGUUCAUGUAGAACUAAAAUUCCAUCCAUGCAAAAUUAUAGUUGGUUGUGGUAUCAUGAAAGUUGAUUUUAAAAAAGUUGCAUCCCAUGUUAUAAAAGUUGCACCAUGUAGUACAACCAGUUGGCAAUGAAAAAAAUCAUCGAAACAUAUAUAAAUGGGGUGUAGUUUUAAAGAUCUCAUCGCGAGGGUUCCAAUGGUGAAAAUGGAUCUUAAUUUCGACAUGUGGUUUGAAAGUUAUAGCUUUUUAAAUUUUUUGAAAUGAGUUAAUUACCUUUUUUCUUUACUAAAGGAGAGCACAUGGAAAAGAAGUGAGGCUAGCGUGAACGAGAGAAAGGAAGUUGUGUGUGAUAGGUGGUGCUUUUUAUUUUUGGAAAACACUUUCUAUCAGGAGUCUGAUAGAAGUUUUCCAUCAGAGCGCUCCAAUGUCGUUGAUAUUUCUAAGCAAAUCUCCUAUCCCGUCAAUUAAGUCCACGAUUUGCUCCAUCCCAUGUAAAUCUUUCUAAAACUUCAUCCCAACCACCACACCACGUCACCUCUCCAGGGCGAGUAAAUCUCUCCUGCCCGACUUACCACCGCCAUCCCGGCCAUGUCGCAUCCCAUGGACAAGCAAAUCUCGGAGAUCACUCACGGCGACGGCUACAUCCGCCACCACCUUCGACGGCGACGGCUACCUUCGCCACCACCUUCGACGCCCUGGUCCACGGCCAGAUGUUGCCCCGUCACCGCCCCUCCCACCAUGCCAGUGCGCUUAUUCGGCUCGGCCAAGAAGUUGAUCGCCAUGGUGGCGACGACUCUGACGAAGACGACCCGUGGAGUGCACGUCCUCGACAUCCACGGCUUCAGCAGCGUGAGGAAAAACAAUGUGACACAGAUGGCUUUCUGUACUCGCCGACCUUCACCGUCGGCGGCCUCGACUGGGCCGUCCGCUACAACCCCGACGGCGAGCCGACCUUCACCGUCGGCGGCCUCGACUGGGACGUCCGCUACUGCCCCAACGACGAUAUAUACCCACGAUGCUGACGGCAACUCGGAGCGGUCGGACCACGUGGCCGCCUUCGUCAAGCUAGUGACCGAGGGCGUCGCGGCUUGGGCGCACGUCGGGUUCGGGCUGGUCGACUAGACCACCGACGAGACGGUGCCGUUGUUCUGCGAGAAGGACCCGAUCCUGUUUGACGCCAGCAGCGAGGACACGUGCACCUGGGGCACCGGCGAGGUCGCGAGGAGGAGCCACCUCCAUGCUGGUUCGCGCUACGUCCUCGGCGACCGCCUCAAGAUCGAGUGCGCCAUCGACGUUUGCGGCGACUUCCUCAUCUUCGACGACCCGCCACCGACGCCGUCCUCCGGCCUGUCGCUCUUCUAGCGAGUCGGCUACGGCAAGGGGGAGCCGGACGUGAUCACCCAAGUCGAAGGAGGGACGAUUGGCGGGUACUACUGCAUCCUCGAUGCUCAUUGUACAUAGAAGCAAAUUCUGACAUCAUAAGAAGCAAAUACUAUUUCCGUUGGAAGCAUUGUUUCAUUGGAUAAGAAAUUUAUGUUUUUCAUGCUCCUUCCAUUAUAUACUCUCAUGUUUCCUAACAAAAUUAAGCUGGACAUGUUUUCCAAGCCAUCUGCUAGUUGAUGUAAUUCUAUGCUACCAUGCUACUUCACAAUUUCUUUUAAAAUGCCAGUUUUUUUUUGCUUUGACCAUACAUAUGUUUUCUAUAUUGUUUCACCAAACAUACGUAUGCGUCUAUGCUACCAACCAAACCUGUUAUUGCCUUCAUACAUAAUCUUGUUUAUGCUUCAAGCCGAUUGCUCGUAAUUUGGUUGUUGUUUUGGUGAACUUAUGUGUGCAAAUUUCUGGUGUAGAUGGUGACUNNNNNNNNNNNNNNNNNNNNNNNNNNNNNNNNNNNNNNNNNNNNNNNNNNNNNNNNNNNNNNNNNNNNNNNNNNNNNNNNNNNNNNNNNNNNNNNNNNNNNNNNNNNNNNNNNNNNNNNNNNNNNNNNNNNNNNNNNNNNNNNNNNNNNNNNNNNNNNNNNNNNNNNNNNNNNNNNNNNNNNNNNNNNNNNNNNNNNNNNNNNNNNNNNNNNNNNNNNNNNNNNNNNNNNNNNNNNNNNNNNNNNNNNNNNNNNNNNNNNNNNNNNNNNNNNNNNNNNNNNNAGAUGGUGACUUCUUGUUGUAUUCCCAGUGGAGCCUAUGCAUUGGCGGUAUGCAUCAGUUGAAGCCCAGUUCACGAAGGCGUUUGUGAGAUAUCCUAGGAAUCUACAGUAAAGGGGAGUGAAGGCAGCCAAAAAGAAGUUGGGCAAGAUGUUGCUUGAACUCGAUAAGGCGCACUCUGAAUUGUAAUUUCCAUUACCUUGGAAACAUAUGUAAUAAUCAAAUGGAAAAGUAGCAUUUUUAUGUUUAACCGAAAAAAUAUAUGGGCUAUUUGGAUUCCAGUAGACUUGAAUCAAUUUUUGCAUCAUUGUAAAAAAAUUAGCUUGACACUGGAUGCAAUUUUUUGUUGGAUAGAAACAAAUAUCAUUUUGGGUGGAAGCAAUUCUGUUAUAAGACAAAAUUACAUUGGAAGCAAAUACACCGGAUGCAUUUUUUUGUUAGAUAGUAGAAACAAAUCACGUUUUGGGUGGAAGCAAAAUUUGUAUUUGACCGAAACACAUUGGAAGCAAAUAUAUUGGAUGCAAUUUUUGUUAGACAGAAACAAAUCUUAUUUUUGGUGGAAGCAAAAAAAUUGUUCGGGCAGAAACAUAUUCGAAUCAAAUAUUAUUCUUGACAUAAACUCAAUAGUAGUACUAUGAAAGCAUAGUUUAUUUUUCAAUGGGGAAGCAAUGUGUGAUGAAAGGACAAUUUUAUUUUCCAAGAUAUUAGUUGGAGGAAGCAAUAAAAUAACAUGAGAAGGAUGUACAUGGAUGGAGGACGACGUGUAUGGUGGAUCACACGUAAUUGAUGGGAGCAAUUAUAGGAAGCAACAAUUAAGGAGAUCCAUGCAUCAUGCAUGUAAGGUAACAAGCCAGGCCGAUGGAUGCCGGAAGAAUUAUGAUGGAGCAAUCAAUUAACAAAGCGAAUUAACUUACCGGGAGUCAACUACUACAUCGGACGUUCAUCACGCAUUUGAUCGGACAGCCUACCACUAGUCUGAUAAAAGCAAAAAAUCUGUAGUCUGAUGGCUAGUGGUGCCCUUUUUGUCUCAUGUGGGAACCAGAUGGGAGACACGGAAUGUGGACUUUCCUAAUGAGGACAUGGGACAUUAAUUUUCCUAAUACGUACGGCUGCCGAGAAGCGCUAGCGAGCACACGGCCGCUCGCUAGACGCGUCCAUAAAUAUAACCAUCCAUAAUAGUACAUCUAUGUUACUGCCCACUAUGAUGAUACUAAUACAGAUUAAACUAGUCGUAAUGAGAGUAUCAUAGGUAGUAUGAUGCAUGCUAAUUGUUAUAGUUAAUUAACAUGUGUUAAUUAUGGGGAAUCUCCCCUUGUCUAACCGCAACAGUUUCGUGCUUGGCAGCCAUCGCGUCGGUAGUCUCCUCCCCGAACAGGCACCUAUCAAGCAGUCACGUAUGUUCCAUCUAUAUAAAUAUAUUGAUCACCCAAUGAAAGGAUAAGGUUUUGGCUUUAAUAUUCAUUCAUCUCUCGUUUCUCUCUUGUUCGACCUCUCAAUCUAUUGGGUGAUCAAUAUUUAUUUAUGUCCAUUUAUGAUGUUGUAAUAAUAAAAUAAGUUUUGUUGUCAUCAUAUAUUGUAUAUCAUAAUAUAUUGUAUCAGCACUUUCAUACAAAUACAUUCGUGUGUAUUUUAUAUAUCUAAGUGAUUUCCAUAUUGAGCAUCUUCAUGUCUAUAUAUAGAUUUCUACGGGAGUCAAUCCGAUAAAAGAUGAUAUGUGCCUUGUGGACAUAUGCACCACAAACUCUAUACACAGGGAAGUCCAAUGUUUCCACUCUCGUUGAGAGAAAGGAGAUACUUUAAAAUCUCUAGACGCGAUGAGGUAUUUGUUGGCUCAACUCGAGUCAUAUUUACUAUCCCCGUGGGUAUUCGAGUAAUGUUAGGAUGAUAUAUUGCUUCCCGGUUUAACUCGUACCCUGCUAAACUAUAGAGUUAUCCGUCAAAAUAGUUUCCAUAGCGAAACUUAUGAUGACAACAAAGAGAAAUAACUUCUCUUUACCAUAUGCAAUGGAUAUGGCAAACACAUUUUCUAUGUAUCAUCUGGAUUGUACUACAGAUACAACACAACCCAUAGCACAUGUUGCAUACAAGAUAGUUUUCCAGAGUGUCUUGUACAUGAAAAACUUGGCAUUCUCGCCUUGGUCAUCGAGACAUUGGAUUGAAAGCGAAACUAUCAGCAAUUCCAAUAGUUUAUGAUUAUUAUGAUGCUAAAUUCUAACAAUAUUUGGCUUUUGUUUGCACUACAUGUGACACAGGGAGCUAAUUUUAAGGCUCACACACCUUAAAGUGUACGCUGAACCACGCAGACUCCUUGAAUGCAUCAAGUUGAGUUAAGUGGCUCUUCCCAUCCAUUGACUAGACUAUUGAGGUAUUCCAUGGUUCUAAAAUACAUAUCUGCAUGAUGGCCUUAAGUGUGUGCUUUAUUCACACGGAACCAUUGGCUCAAUAUCCUAACAUUGAUUUCACGCAAAUCGAAUGGAUAAGUUGCAGAAUUCUCCUCGUGUGCCUUCAAUUUGGCCCUAGGAUUGAAUUUUUGCACUUCAUCCUAUUUGUUUAGACUGAAAGUGGUUUGGUAGAAUCCUUUAUCCAAAGAGUUAAGCUCAUUGCAUUAUAUUUACUUCAGCAUUGCAACUUACCAACUUUACGUUGGAGUCAUGCAGUUUUACACGCUCAUGAACUACAUAAAAUUAUCCCCCUCUAUCUUUUAUACGUGGAAAUCUACCAAGUAUUUCCCAUCUACGGUACUUCGGUUGCAUACCGAUAUCACCACCCGACAUACAUCAUUAGCCCCUCAACAUAUAGUUGGGAUCUAUCCGAGGAAGAACUGUAUUUCCAUCAAUACCUCAAGCCCUCGCAUGGGGAGUUAUUCAAGACCAAUAUGUUGAUUCAAUGAGGAAUAUUUCCAAGCAUUAGGGGGAUAAGUACGAUGAUGGUAUAUCAGGAUUCAGCUUCUCGCAAGCAAGGAUAUCGGGGCCUCUGAAUCAGUAAAUGCAAGUCAACAUCAUGUUGAGAGACACCUAAUGGGUAGUAUAUACCCAGUGGAUUGGAAACCUCCACCAACCCAGGUCAUAGUGCACAUAAUAAUCGGGACAUCGGAAUACUCACCUCAAUCGCAUUGGGAAAUUGCGAGCAGUCAGCAUGGGUAACGAUAUUUCCAUCAACUAUAUAUAUAUUGAUAUAUAAAUUAUGAAGAAACAUGUAACCGGAAGUCUAGAAUUGUCGACAUGCAUUUCUCAACUAGAUUGCAAAACCUUUCACAUGAUUCAGGUCCAAGCCCAUGGCCAUGACAUAGUGUGAACAACACUCUCACUAAACUCAAGCAAAAGACAUAAUCUAGGUAGAAAUGAUCUUGCUCAGUAAUGGAAAGGUAUUCAUAAGCAAUACCUACACCAGUUUUCUUCUCGAAACAGAAUUGAGAACAACGAGGUGGUGAAACAUAGAGAAAGUAUUGUAGCACAAGGGUUCACGUAGAUACCCAUCUAUUCUCGAGAGGUGAAAUCUCUUUCUGAGAAUCUAUAUCAUUGGCAGUACAAGAUCACCUAUCUCUGGAGUUGAUAGAUGUAGUGAUCACAUAUCCAUGUGGAUCAUUGAUUCCGACAUAUAUGAUUGAUUCCCGAUGGAAUCUCACUUCUAAAUUGAAAUGCAAAAUGCAACAUACAUUGUGUAAAAUCAAUAAGUCACCAUAUGACUUAUUAUUAUCGUCGAUACAUUUGAUACAACUGACGCAGUGAGUUCCUUAUACACAAGGAUUACUCUACAAUGAUGAUUAUGCAUGUUUGUGUGUCUUGAAUGUCGACACAUGUAAUCAUCUAAAUCACGGGGUUUAAAAUGAAGGAUUUGGGUAAACCAAAAUACCGCUCGUUACUACAAUAUGAGCACCUUCAUUCAUACAUUAUGGUAUACUAUGUUGUCUAUAUCCAAAAUAUAUUGGAGAAAUUUAUUGUGGACAAAUCUUAUCCAUCCGUAAUUCUCAUGGUAGUUCAUUCUCUAGACGCAGAGAAAGAUCUAUUUAGACCAAGAGAUGAUGGAAAUAAGAUAUUGGGACUCAACGUUCCAUAAUGCCACUAGAUUCACCAAACACAAUUGGUUCGGAAGAAUAUCUAUCAAUAUCUCCAAUGGCAUCAAACAUCUUGUCCUGGUUUUUCAGUAUCAUAGAAAUAUGAAGAGCGAUAUCAUUGGAUACAUCGAUCAGAUCCUCACUAUGUCGGAUCGUAGACAAGCUUAGUGUUCCUACUAGGUGUGGUAGCCUUCUUAUGAAGAGUCUUCGAAAGAGACCUCAUGGCUACAUCCACCAACCAUUAUCUCAACAAUAAUGUUUCUUGUGUUGCGCUGAUGCAAACAGGUUACAUAAAAAGAAAUAUCACUAUAUUGCAUAUCUUGCAAGUCAAAUCAUGCGACUGAUUUGUUCAUUANAAAUUGAAAUGCAAAAUGCAACAUACAUUGUGUAAAAUCAAUAAGUCACCAUAUGACUUAUUAUUAUCGUCGAUACAUUUGAUACAACUGACGCAGUGAGUUCCUUAUACACAAGGAUUACUCUACAAUGAUGAUUAUGCAUGUUUGUGUGUCUUGAAUGUCGACACAUGUAAUCAUCUAAAUCACGGGGUUUAAAAUGAAGGAUUUGGGUAAACCAAAAUACCGCUCGUUACUACAAUAUGAGCACCUUCAUUCAUACAUUAUGGUAUACUAUGUUGUCUAUAUCCAAAAUAUAUUGGAGAAAUUUAUUGUGGACAAAUCUUAUCCAUCCGUAAUUCUCAUGGUAGUUCAUUCUCUAGACGCAGAGAAAGAUCUAUUUAGACCAAGAGAUGAUGGAAAUAAGAUAUUGGGACUCAACGUUCCAUAAUGCCACUAGAUUCACCAAACACAAUUGGUUCGGAAGAAUAUCUAUCAAUAUCUCCAAUGGCAUCAAACAUCUUGUCCUGGUUUUUCAGUAUCAUAGAAAUAUGAAGAGCGAUAUCAUUGGAUACAUCGAUCAGAUCCUCACUAUGUCGGAUCGUAGACAAGCUUAGUGUUCCUACUAGGUGUGGUAGCCUUCUUAUGAAGAGUCUUCGAAAGAGACCUCAUGGCUACAUCCACCAACCAUUAUCUCAACAAUAAUGUUUCUUGUGUUGCGCUGAUGCAAACAGGUUACAUAAAAAGAAAUAUCACUAUAUUGCAUAUCUUGCAAGUCAAAUCAUGCGACUGAUUUGUUCAUUAGGUAUGUACCAACUUCUAUGUUCCAGAAAUGUGUUCAUGGAAUUGGUAUAUGACGACUUUGGAAUAUGCAAGAAUCAAGGGGGUAUCUUCCUGAAUUGUUUCUGUUAAAAGCAUCAUAUUAUACUCAUUUUCCCUUUAUGAGUUUGUUUUAUAGGUUCUCAUAAAGGUUUUUAAUGAGGUAAUAUCAACACAAGAUCAUAUGCCAUACUUUCUGUUUUCCCCACCGGGGUUUUUAAGAAAGUAUAUACGACAUAUUUAUUGUCCUCUACACUCUAUGGGGUUUCUCGUAUUGAGUUAAAAGAGACAAUAACCAUUAUAUGUUGCGUCAUUUUUUUCUUACUUUUUCCACUGGGUUUGAAGGAGUUUUAGCAGCAUAUCAAACACUAUCUCCUCAUAUUUUUCCCACAGUGUUUUGAAGGAGCUUUUCAAGAUGAUGAUACUAUAUGAACAAGUGCAGAUUAGGAGGAGUGUUAGAGUUAAUCAACAUGUGUUAAUUAUGGGGAAUCUCCCCUUGUCUAACCGCACGCAAUUGCCUGCUUGGCAACCGUCUCGUCGGUAGUCUCCUCCCCGAACAGACACCUCUUAAGCGGUCACGUCUAUUCCAUCUGUAUAAAUAUAUUGAUCAUCUAAUGAAAGGAUAAGGUUUUGGCUUUACUAUUCAUUCAUCUCUCGUCUCUCUCUCUCUCGUUCGAGAAAAUUGACUAUUUGCCAUUUUUAAUAUGGGGCUUCGCAAAAAUGCCACUGUCAAGAUUGACUUUGUAAAAAUGCCACUUAGCUCACGUACAGUUUGAUUAACAUGCCAUUCAACCCCUUUUAUUGAUUUACCUUUUUCCUUUUCCAUUUAUAGGUAUUGGAAAAGACUAAACUGCCCUUGAUGUUAUCUACAUGUGCUUGGCAUCUGAUUUGCUUGCAUCUCCAUCUUCAGGACAUGCUCACGCAUCCAUCUCCUCCUCCAGCCGGUGCUGCCAUCACGCCACCGGAGCUGCUGUUCAGCACCGCCCUCGCGUGUCUUGCUUCUUGGAGUGAGCUGCGCUAACGUGCGAAGGGGAGGGCGAGCACCACAGGCAAGCUGCGGUGGCUCGGCGCAGGCAUCCACGAGGCUGCNNNNNNNNNNNNNNNNNNNNNNNNNNNNNNNNNNNNNNNNNNNNNNNNNNNNNNNNNNNNNNNNNNNNNNNNNNNNNNNNNNNNNNNNNNNNNNNNNNNNCUCUAGAUCGUGUUUCUGCGGAGCUCGGGCGGAGCCCUGCUGAGACAAGAUCAUCACCAACCUCCGGAGCGCCGUCACGCUGCUGGAGAACUCUUCUACCUCUCCGUCUCUCUUGCUGGAUCAAGAAGGCCGAGAUCAUCGUCGAGCUGUACGUGUGCGGAACGCGGAGGUGCCGUCCGUUCGGUACUAGAUCGUGGGACUGAUCGCGGGAUUGUUCGCGGGGCGGAUCGAGGGACGUGAGGACGUUCCACUACAUCAACCGCGAUCUCUAAUCGCUUCUGCUGUACGAUCUACAAGGGUACGUAGAUCACUCAUCCCCUCUCGUAGAUGGACAUCACCAUGAUAGGUCUUCGUGCGCGUAGGAAAAUUUUUGUUUCCCUUGCGACGUUCCCCAACAGUGGCAUCAUGAGCUAGGUUCAUGCGUAGAUGUCUUCUCGAGUAGAACACAAAAGGUUUUGUGGGCGGUGAUGUGCGUUUUGCUGCCCUCCUUAGUCUUUUCUUGAUUCCGCGGUAUUGUUGGAUUGAAGCGGCUUGGACCGACAUUACUCGUACGCUUACGAGAGACUGGUUUCAUCGUUACGAGUAACCCCCUUUGCUCAAAGAUGACUGGCAAGUGACGGUUUCUCCAACUUUAGUUGAAUCGGAUUUGACCGAGGAGGUCCUUGGAUGAGGUUAAAUAGCAACUCAUAUAUCUCCGUUGUGGUGUUUGCGUAAGUAAGAUGCGAUCCUACUAGAUACCCUUGGUCACCACGUAAAACAUGCAACAACAAAAUUAGAGGACGUCUAACUUGUUUUUGCAGGGUAUGGUUGUGAUGUGAUAUGGCCAAUGAUGUGAUGUAAUAUAUUGGAUGUAUGAGAUGAUCAUGUUGUAAUAGAAAUAUCGACUUGCACGUCGAUGGUACGGCAACCGGCAGGAGCCAUAGGGUUGUCUUUAUACUAACAUAUGUGCUUGCAGAUGCGUUUACUAUUUUGCUAGGAUGUAGCUUUAGUAGUGAUAGCAUAAGUAGCACGACAACCCCGAUGGCGACACGUUGAUGGAGAUCAUGAUGAUGGAGAUCAUGGUGUGGCGCCGGUGACAAGAAGAUCGUGCCGGUGCUUUGGUGAUGGAGAUCAAGAAGCACGUGAUGAUGGCCAUAUCAUGUCACUUUUGAAUUGCAUGUGAUGUUAAUCCUUUUAUGCACCUUAUUUUGCUUAGAACGACGGUAGCAUUAUGAGGUGAUCUCUCACUAAAAUUUCAAGACGAAAUUGUGUUCUCCCCGACUGUGCACCGUUGCUAAGUUCGUCGUUUCGAGACACCACGUGAUGAUCGGGUGUGAUAGACUCAACGUUCACAUACAACGGGUGCAAAACAGUUGCGCACGCGGAACACUCGGGUUAAGCUUGACGAGCCUAGCAUGUGCAGACAUGGCAUCGGAACACAUGAGACCGAAAGGUCGAUCAUGAAUCAUAUGGAUGAUAUGAUUAGCAUAGGGAUGCUUACCACUGAAACUACUCCCGACUCACGUGAUGAUCGGACUUGGGAUAGUGUAGGUGGAUCAUGAACCACUCAAAUGACUAGAGAGAUGUACUUUUUGAGUGGGAGUUUGGCGUAUAAUUUGAUUAAGUUGAACUCUAAUUAUCUUGAACAUAGUCUAAGUCCACUUUGAAUAUAUUUGUGUUGUAGAUCAUGGCUCACGCAAGUGUCAUCCUCAAUUUUAAUACGUUCCUAGAGAAAGCUAAGCUGAAAGAUGAUGGAAGCAACUUUGUAGACUGGGCUCGUAAUCUUAAGCUAAUCUUACAAGCUGGAAAGAAGGAUUAUGUCCUUAAUGCUGCGCUAGGAGAUGAACCACCCGCUACGGCUGAUCAGGAUGUUAAGAACGCUUGGUUAGCGCGUAAGGAGGACUACUCAAUAGUUCAAUGUGCAGUCUUGUAUGGCUUAGAACCGGGACUUCAACGUCGCUUUGAGCGUCAUGGAGCAUUUGAGAUGUUCCAGGAGUUGAAGUUUAUCUUUCAGAAGUACGCCCGGAUCGAGAGGUAUGAGACCUCCGAUAAAUUCUAUGCUUGCAAGAUGGAGGAAAACUCGUCUGUCAGUGAACAUGUGCUCAAAAUGUCUGGGUACUCAAACCGUCUAGCUGAACUGGGGAUUGAACUCCCGCAAGAAGCUAUCACUGACAGAAUCCUCCAAUCACUGCCGCCAAGCUAUAAAGGCUUUGUGUUGAACUACAAUAUGCAAGGGAUGAACAAGUCUCCCGGCGAGUUGUUUGCGAUGCUGAAAGUCGCAGAGUCUGAACUCCGUAAAGAGGAUCAAGUGUUGAUGGUCAGCAAGACCACUAGUUUCAAGAGAAACGGCAAAGGCAAGAAGGGCAAUUCGAAGAAGAGCGGCAAGCCUGUUGCCAAUCCGCCGAAGAAACCCAAGGCUGGACCUAAGCCUGAAACAGAGUGCUUCUAUUGCAAGGGUAUGGGUCACUGGAAGCGCAAUUGCCCCAAGUAUCUGGCAGAUAAGAAGGCAGGCAAAGAAAAAUCAGGUAUAUUUGAUAUACAUGUUAUUGAUUUGUACUUAACCAGCUCUCAUAGUAGUGCCUGGGUAUUCGAUACCGGUUCUGUUGCUCACAUUUGCAACUCGAAGCAGGAACUGCGGAAUAAACGGAGGCUGGCGAAAGACGAAGUGACGAUGCGCGUAGGAAACGGUUCCAAGGUUGAUGCAAUCGCCGUCGGCACCGUGUCACUUCAACUACCGUCGGGAUUAGUGAUGAACUUAGAUCAUUGUUAUUUAGUGCCUGCGUUGAGCAUGAACAUUAUAUCUGGAUCUUGUUUAUUGCGAGACGGUUACUCUUUUAAGUCUGAGAAUAAUAGUUGUUCUAUUUCUAUGAGUAACAUCUUUUAUGGUCAUGCACCGAAUGUGAGAGGAUUGUUCAUAUUGAAUCUCGAUAGCGAUACGCAUAUACAUAACAUUGAGACCAAAAGAGUUAGAGUAAACAAUGAUAGCGCCAUAUUUUGUGGCACUGCCGCUUGGGUCAUAUUGGUGUAAAGCGCAUGAAGAAACUCCAUACUGAUGGACUUUUAGAGUCACUUGACUUUGAUUCACUUGACACGUGCGAACCAUGCCUCAUGGGCAAGAUGACUAAAACUCCGUUCUCCGGAACAAUGGAGCGUGCAAGUGACUUGUUGGAAAUCAUACAUACCGAUGUGUGUGGACCAAUGAGCAUGGAGGCACGCGGCGGAUAUCGUUAUUUUCUCACCUUCACUGACGAUCUAAGUAGAUAUGGUUAUGUCUACUUGAUGAAGCACAAGUCUGAAACAUUUGAAAAGUUCAAGCAAUUUCAGAGUGAAGUGGAAAAUCAUCACAACAAGAAGAUCAAGUUCCUACGGUCUGAUCGUGGGGGUGAAUAUCUGAGUUUCAAGUUUGGUACUCACUUAAGACAAUGUGGAAUUGUUUCGCAGUUAACACCGCCUGGAACACCACAGCGUAAUGGUGUGUCCGAACGUCGUAAUCGUACUUUAUUAGAAAUGGUGCGAUCUAUGAUGUCUCUUACUGAUUUGCCGUUAUCAUUUUGGGGUUAUGCAUUAGAAACAGCUGCAUUCACUUUAAAUAGGGCACCAUCAAAAUCCGUUGAGACGACACCAUACGAACUGUGGUAUGGCAAAAGACCAAAGUUGUCGUUUCUUAAAGUUUGGGGAUGUGAUGCUUAUGUCAAAAAGCUUCAGCCUGAAAAGCUGGAACCCAAAGCGGAAAAGUGCGUCUUCAUAGGUUACCCAAAAGAGACAGUUGGGUACACCUUCUAUCUCAAAUCCGAGGGCAAAGUGUUUGUUGCUAAGAACGGAACUUUUCUCGAGAAGGAGUUUCUCUCGAGAGAAUUGAGUGGGAGGAAGAUAGAACUUGACGAGGUUGUCGAACCUCUCAUCCCUCUGGAUGGUGGCGCAGGGCAAGGGGAAACCCCUGUGAUUGCGAUGCCGGUUGAGGAGGAAGUUAAUGAUGAUGAUCAUGAAACUCCAGUUCAAGUUUCUGUUGAACCACGCAGGUCGACGAGAUCACGCGCUGCUCCAGAGUGGUAUGGUAAUCCCGUCUUGACGAUCAUGUUGUUAGACAACAAUGAACCUGCAAAUUAUGAAGAAGCAAUGGUGGGCCCAGAUUCCAACAAAUGGCUAGAAGCCAUGAGAUCCGAGAUAGGAUCCAUGUAUGAGAACAAAGUAUGGACUUUGGAGAUACUACCUGAAGGCCGCAAGGCUAUUCAGAACAAAUGGAUCUUUAAGAAGAAGACGGACGCUGACGGUAAUGUGACCGUUUAUAAAGCUCGACUUGUGGCAAAGGGUUUUUCACAAGUUCCAGGAAUUGACUACGAUGAGACUUUCUCUCCCGUAGCGAUGCUUAAGUCCGUCAGAAUCAUGUUAGCAAUAGCUGCAUUUUUCGAUUAUGAAAUAUGGCAGAUGGAUGUCAAAACGGCGUUCCUUAACGGUUUCCUUAAGGAAGAGUUGUAUAUGAUGCAACCCGAAGGUUUUGUUGAUCCUAAAAAUGCUGACAAAGUGUGCAAGCUCCAGCGAUCCAUUUAUGGACUGGUGCAAGCAUCUCGGAGUUGGAACAAACGCUUUGAUGAGGUGAUCAAAGCAUUUGGGUUUAUACAAGUGGUUGGAGAAUCUUGUAUUUACAAGAAAGUGAGUGGGAGCUCUGUGGCGUUUCUAAUAUUAUAUGUGGAUGACAUUUUACUGAUUGGAAACAACGUAGAGCUUUUGGAGAGCAUAAAAGGUUACUUGAAUAAAAGUUUCUCUAUGAAGGACCUAGGAGAAGCUGCUUACAUUCUAGGCAUUAAGAUCUAUAGGGAUAGAUCAAAACGCCUGAUAGGACUUUCACAAAGCACAUACCUUGAUAAAGUUUUGAAGAGGUUCAAAAUGGAACAGUCCAAGAAAGGGUUCUUGCCGGUGUUACAAGGUACGAGAUUGAGUAAGACUCAGUGCCCAGCAACUGAUGAAGAUAGAGAGCAUAUGCGCUCCGUCCCCUAUGCUUCAGCCAUAGGCUCUAUCAUGUAUGCGAUGCUGUGCACUAGACCGGAUGUUAGCCUGGCCAUAAGUAUGGCAGGUAGGUUCCAGAGUAAUCCAGGAGUGGAUCACUGGACGGCGGUCAAGAAUAUCCUGAAGUACCUGAAAAGGACUAAGGAGAUGUUUCUCGUGUAUGGAGGUGACGAAGAGCUCGCCGUAAAAGGUUACGUCGAUGCAAGCUUUGACACAGAUCCGGACGACUCUAAGUCGCAAACCGGAUACGUAUUUAUUCUUAAUGGGGGUGCAGUAAGCUGGUGCAGUUCCAAGCAAAGCGUCGUAGCAGAUUCUACAUGUGAAGCGGAGUACAUGGCUGCCUCGGAGGCGGCUAAGGAGGGUGUCUGGAUGAAGCAGUUCAUGACGGAUCUUGGAGUGGUGCCAAGUGCACUGGAUCCAAUAACCUUGUUCUGUGACAACACUGGUGCCAUUGCCUUAGCAAAGGAACCAAGGUUUCACAAGAAGACCAGACACAUCAAACGACGCUUCAACCUCAUCCGCGACUACGUCGAGGAGGAGGACGUAAAUAUAUGCAAAGUGCACACGGAUCUGAAUGUAGCAGACCCACUGACUAAACCUCUUCCACGGCCAAAACAUGAUCGACACCAGAACUGUAUGGGUGUUAGAUUUAUUACAAUGUAAUUCACAUGGUGAUGUGAGGGCUGGAUUAUUGACUCUAGUGCAAGUGGGAGACUGUUGGAAUUAUACCCUAGAGGCAAUAAUAAAAGUAUAGUUAUCAUUAUAAUUCCUGUAUCAAGAUAAUAGUUUAUUAUCCAUGCUAUAAUUGUAUUGAAUGAAGACUCAUUUACAUGUGUGGAUACAUAGACAAAACACCGUCCCUAGCAUGCCUCUAGUUGGCUAGCCAGUUGAUCGAUGAUAGUCGGUGUCUUCUGAUUAUGAACAAAGUGUUGUUGCUUGAUAACUGGAUCACGUCAUUAGGAGAAUCACGUGAUGGACUAGACCCAAACUAAUAGACGUAGCAUGUUGAUCGUGUCAUUUUGUUGCUACUGUUUUCUGCGUGUCAAGUAUUUAUUCCUAUGACCAUGAGAUCAUAUAACUCACUGACACCGGAGGAAUGCUUUGUGUGUAUCAAACGUCGCAACGUAACUGGGUGACUAUAAAGAUGCUCUACAGGUAUCUCAGAAGGUGUUAGUUGAGUUAGUAUGGAUCAAGACUGGGAUUUGUCACUCCGUGUGACGGAGAGGUAUCUCGGGGCCCACUCGGUAAUACAACAUCACACACAAGCCUUGCAAGCAAUGUAACUUAGUGUAAGUUGCGGGAUCUUGUAUUACGGAACGAGUAAAGAGACUUGCCGGUAAACGAGAUUGAAAUAGGUAUGCGGAUACUGACGAUCGAAUCUCGGGCAAGUAACAUGCCGAAGGACAAAGGGAAUGACAUACGGGAUUAUACGAAUCCUUGGCACUGAGGUUCAAACGAUAAGAUCUUCGUAGAGUAUGUAGGAUCCAAUAUGGGCAUCCAGGUCCCGCUAUUGGAUAUUGACCGAGGAGUCUCUCGGGUCAUGUCUACAUAGUUCUCGAACCCGCAGGGUCUGCACACUUAAGGUUCGACGUUGUUUUAUGCGUAUUUGAGUUAUAUGGUUGGUUACCGAAUGUUGUUCGGAGUCCCGGAUGAGAUCACGGACGUCACGAGGGUUUCCGGAAUGGUCCGGAAACGAAGAUUGAUAUAUAGGAUGACCUCAUUUGAUUACCGGAAGGUUUUUGGAGUUACCGGGAAUGUACCGGGAAUGACGAAUGGGUUCCGGGGGUUUACCGGAGGGGGGCAACCCACUCCGGGGAAGCCCAUAGGUAUUUGUGGGGGUCACACCAGCCCUUAGUGGGCUGGUGGGACAGCCCACCAAAUCCUAUGCGCCAAGGAACAAAAAUCAAAGGAAGAAAGAAAAAAAAGGAGGAAGUGGGAAGGGGGAAGGACUCCCUCCCACCAAACCAAGUAGGACUCGGUUUGGGGGGGGGGAGAGUCCUCCCCCCUGGCUCGGCCGACCCCCUUGGGGUCCCUUGGACCCCAAGGCAAGGUCCCCCUCCCUCCUCCUAUAUAUAUGGGGCUUUUAGGGCAGAUUUGAGACGACUUUCUCACGGCUGCCCGACCACAUACCUCCAUAGUUUUUCCUCUAGAUCGUGUUUCUGCGGAGCUCGGGCGGAGCCCUGCUGAGACAAGAUCAUCACCAACCUCCGGAGCGCCAUCACACUGCCGGAGAACUCUUCUACCUCUCCGUCUCUCUUGCUGGAUCAAGAAGGCCGAGAUCAUCGUCGAGCUGUACGUGUGCGGAACGCGGAGGUGCCGUCCGUUCGGUACUAGAUCGUGGGACUGAUCGCGGGAUUGUUCGCGGGGCGGAUCGAGGGACGUGAGGACGUUCCACUACAUCAACCGCGAUCUCUAAUCGCUUCUGCUGUACGAUCUACAAGGGUACGUAGAUCACUCAUCCCCUCUCGUAGAUGGACAUCACCAUGAUAGGUCUUCGUGCGCGUAGGAAAAUUUUUGUUUCCCUUGCGACGUUCCCCAACACCUUUGGGGUUGGUGCAAUGGAGAUAGUUGUAGUGAUUAAGAUUCUAUGUGAUGCUGUUAAUUUUCAUGUCGUUCCAUGCGCUGUAGCAUAUAGUUUUACUACUUCUAAUAUGCCAUCUGGUUAAAAACUGCACUGUCAAAACUGUUAUUUUCAUCAAGUCUAAAACUGUGUGUAACUUGCCUUUUUAUGAUUUCUUUUCCUAGUGAUCCAUGCUUCCAUGCUAGUUGUAUUUAGUAGGGUGUUGUUGUGCUUCUUGCCCACUACUGCCACAUGCCUUGUUUGAGCAAUCUAGAAUUAGGUAGCUUGUUGUUUUAGGAUGUAGAAACUGCCAUGUUGCUGUUUUUGGCAGAUUGUACCUAUUUCUUGUUUUGCUUGUAAUUGUUGAACCGUUGCUCCGUUUUGAACGUGUCAUAUAUGAAAAUUUCUUAUAAUCUCAUGUAGUUUCAUAAUAUAUCAGUAGUGGAAAACGGGCAUUUGGCCGGGACCCUUUAGUCCCGGCCUGCCUCUGGGUCGGGACUAAAGGCCCGACCACGUCGCCCCAAAUGGCAAUGCCUCCCUCGAGGCUUUAGUCCCGGCCCGUAAGGAGCCUUUAGUCCCGGUUCGUGUCCCAAACCGGGACUAAAGGGCUACGCGGUGUGCAACCCGCAUGUGCGCCACCUUUAGUCUCGGUUUGUGUCUCAAACCGGGACUAAAGUCCUCUGCCUAUAUAUAGCACAGCCCCCCUCUCCCCUCUUCCUUGCAUUUUUCAUGGAUGGAGGAUUGUGGGUGUGUGCUAGCUCUCCACUUUUUUUUAUGCACUAGAGGUGUUUGUUGAAAUGUGUGUUAGAGCGAUGCCGCUUCAGUUCACCGAACACAACUACGAUAUGAGAUGCCUGAGCCACGCUUAAACCUCUUCCUCUUUAUUUCUACUUAUUCUAAAAGGUUAGCAACUAUAUUUCCUCGUUUAGACCGUGCGGUACUAAUUUUUAGGAUCGUGAUUGUAUUUGAUAUACUGUCGUAUAACACAGAUGAGCCAUCCAUGGAUGUACGGCGAUUGACGCACAACCGCUUACAGAGAAGGCGUGCAUUCUUUUCGAGAUGCAGCCGAUGCGAACAAGCAUGGUGGUGGCUAUAUGUUUUGUCCAUGUGUUGAAUGUCGGAAUGAGAAGGAUUACACUUCCUCAAGAGUCAUUCAGAGCCACCUGCUUCGGUCCGGUUUUAUGUCGGGCUAUAAUGUUUGGACCAAGCACGGAGAAAGAGGGGUUAUGAUGGAAGACGACGAUGAAGAAGAAGAGAACGAUGAUGACAACUACCGAUCUAUGUUCCCUGAGUAUGCUGAUACUGCAAUGGAAGACAAUGAAGAAGAAGAUCAGGAUGAAGAACGGGAACCAGAUGAGCCCGCUGAUGAUCUUGGCCGAGUCAUUUCUGAUGCACGGCGAGGUUGCGACACAGAAAAGGAGAGGUUGCAGUUCGAGCAGAUGUUACAGGACCACAACAAAUUGUUGUACCCAACUUGUGAAGAUGGCCAGAAGAAGCUGGGUAGCACACUGGAAUUGCUGAAGUGGAAGGCAGAGACCGGUGUGACUGACUCGUCAUUCGAAAAGUUGCUGGUACUGAUGAAGAAGAUGCUUCCAAGAAAGAACGAAUUGCCCGCCAGCACGUACGAAGCAAAGAAGCUUGUCUGCCCUCUAGGAUUAGACGUGCAGAAGAUACAUGCAUGCCCUAAUGACUGCAUCCUCUACCGCGGUGAGAAGUACGAGAAUAUGGAUAAAUGCCCGGUAUGCACUGCAUUGCGGUAUAAGAUCAGAAAAGAUGACCCUGGUGAUAUUGAGGGCGAGCCACCCAGGAAGAGGGUUCCUGCCAAGGUGAUGUGGUAUGCUCCUAUAAUACCAUGGUUGAAACGUCUAUUCAGAAAUAAAGAUCAUGCGAAGUUGUUGCGAUGGCACAUGGAAGAUCGUAUGAAAGACGAUAAGUUGAGGCACACCGCUGAUGGUCGGCAGUGGAGAAAAAUCGAGAGAGAGUUCCCGAGAUUUGCAGCUGACGCAAGGAACUUAUGGUUAGGUCUGAGUACAGAUGGCAUGAAUCCUUUUGGGGAGCAGAGUUGCAGUCACAGCACCUGGCCCGUUACUCUAUGUAUCUACAACCUUCCUCCUUGGUUGUGCAUGAAGCAGAAGUUCAUUAUGAUGCCAGUGCUUAUCCAAGGUCCAAAGCAACCCGGCAACGAUAUUGAUGUGUACCUAAGGCCAUUAGUUGAUGAACUUUUACAGUUGUGGGCCGAAUCAGGUGUACGUGUGUGGGACGAGCACAAACAAGAGGAAUUUGACCUUCGAGCGUUGCUUUUCGUAACCAUCAAUGAUUGGCCUGCUCUUAGUAACAUUUCAGGACAGUCAAACAAGGGAUACAUGCAUGCACGCACUGUUUGGAUCAGACAGAAAGUAUAUAUCUGGACAAAUGUAGGAAGAAUGUGUACCCGUACAAUCGUCGUUUUCUUCCGCCCAAGCAUCCCUUAAAGAAAAAAGGCAAGCAUUUCAAUGGCAAGGCAGAACCCCGGGGGAAGCCUGUCAUCCGUACUGGUGCUGAAGUAUUUGAUAUGGUCAAAGGUUUAAAAGUAAUCUUUGGAAAGGGUCCUGGCAGCCAACCUGUUCCUAACGGCCCUGAUAAGCGCGUACCCAUGUGGAAAAAGAAAUCUAUAUUUUGGGAGCUACCCUACUGGGAAGUCCAUGAGGUCCGCUCGGCAAUCGACAUGAUGCACCUGACGAAGAAUCUCUGCGUGAAUAUUCUAGGCUUCCUGGGCUUGUAUGAGAAGUCAAAAGAUACACCGGAAGCACGGGAGGACCAGGAACGUCAUAAAGGAAGAGAUGGCAUGCAUCCAGGGCAGUUUUAAGGGCGCGCCAGCUACGCUCUUACUAAGGAAGAGAAGGAAAUCUUCUUUCAAGUCCUUUUCAGUAUCAAGGUCCCGACUGGCUUCUCGUCGAAUAUAAAGGGAAUCGUAAAUAUGAAAGACAAAAAAUUCCAAAACCUAAAGUCUCAUGACUGCCACGUGCUUAUGACGCAAUUGCUUCCGGUUUCAUUGAGGGGAAUUCUACCGGAAAAUGUUCGCCUGGCAAUUGUGAAGGUAUGUGCAUUCCUCAAUGCAAUUUCUCAGAAGGUAAUCGAUCGAGAAAGUCUAUCAGGGUUACAGAUUGAUGUGCUCCAAUGUCUGGUCAGCUUUGAGUUGUUGUUCCCGCCAUCCUUCUUCAAUAUAAUGAGAGACCUCCUAGUUCACCUAGUCGAAGAGAUUAGAAUUCUCGGUCCUGUGUUUCUACACAAUAUGUUCCCCUUCGAGAGGUUCAUGGGAGUCUUAAAGAAAUAUGGUCGUAACCGUGCUAGGCCAGAAGGAAGCAUCUCCAAGGGCUAUGGAACAGAGGAGGUCAUUGAGUUUUGUGUGGACUUUCUUCCUGACCUUAAGCCGAUUGGUGUUCGUGAAUCUUGAUAUAAGGGUAGGCUGACAGGAAAAGGCACACUAGGAAGGAAAGCAAAAGUAUGUAUGGACGGGCAUUCUUUCUCUCAAGCACACUACACAGUUCUACACAAUUCCACCGUGGUGGCUCCGUAUAUCGUGAGACACAAGAAUAUUCUACGCUCCGAAAACCCGGGGAAGGCUGACUCUUGGAUUAAAGGGGAACACGAGAAGACUUUCGGCAGUUGGUUGCAGCCACAUCUCAUGAAUGACGACACCGUUGGAGAUGAGCUGUACUGUUUGGCCAGGCCACCAUCUUCGACUAUAUGUACUUUCCAAGGGUAUGAGAUAAAUGGGAAUACAUUUUACACGGUUGCCCAAGAUAAAAAGAGCACCAACCAAAAUAGUGGUGUCCGCUUUGAUGCAACAGACGAGAAUGGGCACUGUUUGGAAACAUAUUACGGGUACAUAAAGGAGAUAUGGGAACUUGACUAUGGACCUACUUUUAAGAUCCCUUUGUUUCGGUGCAAAUGGGUGAAGCUGACAGGAGGCGGGGUAGUUGUAGACCAAAAGUACGGCAUGACAACAGUGGAUCUCAACAAUCUUGCGUACAUGGACGAACCAUUUGUCCUAGCCAAUGAUGUCGUUCAGGUUUUCUAUGUGAAGGACAUGUCUACAAAAACGAGAAAAACAAAUCAGCAAAAGAAGAUAUCGUUCGAUGAUCCAAAACGCCACAUAGUUCUUUCAGGGAAAAGAAACAUCGUGGGAGUAGAUGACAAGACAGACAUGUCAGAAGAUUAUAAUAAGUUUCAUGAAAUUCCGCCCUUCAAAGUGAAAACUGACCCAAGCAUCCUACUGAAUGAUGAAGAUUCUCCAUGGCUACGACCCAGAAGAAAACAGAAAUAAUAGAUAGGAAUAUUGGUGCAAUAAUAUAAUAAUGUAUUAAACCUUUUAUGUAAUGCAUGUAUGGAAUGUACUAAAUUUCAAACACUUUUCAUUUUCAUAGUUUUGUCAAAUUCUCAAAUACGCAAAAAGAAUUUUAAUAAACCUUUGUAAGAGAUGAGUUCUCGUUCGAAACCGUGAUACUUCGAGAGAGAUUGUCCGUUUUGUACACGAAGUGCAUCCAGUUUUUGUCGUAGCCCUCUCAACUUUUAACACAUGCUAUGUGGGUGAAAUGAUGAUAGAAUGCCAACUUUCAACAUUUUCAGAGUUCAUUUGUAGUGCUUUUCAAUUUCAGGGUCAACUAGCUCAAAAACAAAUAAGUAAAUGCACGAAAUAUACCAAAUGAAGUCAGAAAUUGUUGAAAUUUUGUGAUGUGCCUUUGAAUGGUGCAUUUUGAACACACAAAAAGUAUGGAGUUCAAAUAAGUUCAAAAAAAUGAAAUCCCUUUGUAAGAGAUGAGUUCUCGUUCGAAACCCUGAUACGUCGAGAGAGACUGUCCGUUUUAUACACGAAGUGCAUCCAGUUUUUGUCGUAGCCCUCUCAACUUUUUAACACAUGCUAUGUGGGUGAAAUGAUGAUAGCAUGCCAACUUUCAACAUUUUCAGAGUUCAUUUGUAGUGCUUUUCAAUUUCAGGGUCAACUAGCUCAAAAAAAAUAAGUAAAUGCACGAAAUAUACCAAAUGAAGUCAGAAAUUUUUGAAAUUUUGUGAUGUGCCUUUGAAUGGUGCAUUUUGAACACACAAAAAGUAUGGAGUUCAAAUAAGUUCAAAAAAAUGAAAUCCCUUUGUAAGAGAUGAGUUCUCGUUCGAAACCCUGAUACUUCGAGAGAGAUUGUCCGUUUUGUACACGAAGUGCAUCCAAUUUUUGUCGUAGCCCUCUCAACUUUUUAACACAUGCUAUGUGGGUGAAAUGAUGAUAGAAUGCCAACUUUCAACAUUUUCAGAGUUCAUUUGUAGUGCUUCUCAAUUUUAGGGUCAACUAGCUCAAAAAAAUAAGUAAAUGCACGAAAUAUACCAAAUGAAGUCAGAAAUUGUUGAAAUUUUGCGAUGUGCCUUUGAAUGGUGCAUUUUGAACACACAAAAAGUAUGGAGUUCAAAUAGUUCAAAAAACCAUAUUAUGAAAUUAAACAUUAUCAUUGGCGAUUCAUCUCUAUUAUGAAAUUAAAUAUAUCAAAAAACCAUUGCAGAACAUAUGACCAAGUUAAUACAAGUUCAUCAUCACAUUAAAGCCAAAGAACAGUAGUGAUCAAAUGUUAUUAUUGCAAAAAAUAAAUACAUAAAGUUCUCUCAUAAAACAACAUACAACUAUGUAAAACAUUUAAAUAAAACAAAAAAUGCGAUCAAAAUCGCAACUAAGGUAACAAUUGACCCAACAACAUAAUGAUACCAAGCCUCUUUAUCAAUGGAAUAUUUUCUAAUAUUCCUAAUCUUCAAGCGCAUUUCAUCCAUCUUCAAGCGCAUUGCAUCCAUCUUCAACCGCAUCGCAUCGAUCUUCAUCUUGCGAUCAUCGAUGACAUCGGCGACAUGCAACUCCAGUUCCAUAUUCUUAUCCUCAAUUAUUUUCAAUUUUUUCUUCAAGUAUUUUUUUUCUUUUUCAACCAAAUUUAACUUCUCGACAAGAAUUUCUAUGUGGGUUGUAAUUUCCGGUUCACAUACCUCCUAGAUUAAAAAAUAUAUGUCACGUUGGUCGUCAUAAUUGUCAUAAACACUAAAUAAAACAAAUAGUUAUAAAAGAUAAUAUAUACCACAUCCGAACCAUAGACAGGACGAGGGCCGACGGAGGCGGAUACCAAAACCAUCGCACUAUAUAAUCACAAAAAAUAAUGAAAGUGAGUAAUUUAUACAAGUAUGUAUCUAAAUCAUAAAAGUAACAUUUUUUUUCUUUUAAAAAGAAGAUAAGAACAAGAGGCUCACCACGGUGGUGCUCGCGACGAGAUCGGCGCGGGGCGAUCGACAAUGGUGAGGACGGGCACGGGACGACACCCUACGCAUGUGCAGACUCUAAGAAGUUAAUUUGAGCAUUUGAAAUGAGCUACACUAGCAGUGACAAAUGAAAGGAUGAAGUAGCUAACCUUUUAAAACACUUGUGCAGUUGGUGCACGGCCAAACCUAGACAAAUAUUAAGGAAAAUGGAGCUUGAAGGUCGAGCUUGGAGAGGAGAAAGCUUAAGUAGAGCGGCUCGGGCAUUUCAUCGAGCACGUCAUGUGCAUGAACUAGAGUGGCAAGAUCAUGGCAUGGUCACACUUCAACAACCAAAAAACAGGGGAGAUGGUGGGCAGGGGCGAGGGUUUAUAUAGGCAACACUUUAGUCCCGACUUUUGUCUAAAACCGGGACUAAUAGCCUAACCUUUAGUCCCGGUUCUUGCCACGCACCGGGACUAAAGGCCCCUCCUUCCCGUCUUUUGGUCUGCCGAAAAAGGGUCUUUAGUCCCGGGUCGUGGCUCCACCCGGGACUAAAGGGGGUCUUUAGUCCCGGAUCGAGCCCCGAACCGGGACUAAAGAUCCACCUAUAUAAGCGGGAGUUAGAAAAUUUCCAACUCAAAUCGCAUUUCCUUCUCUCCUUCUUCCUCGUUCUCCUGCCCGACGCGGCAUAGCGACGAACUCGACGACGCCGUCAGGCUGCCCGUCGUCCUGCUCGCCGCCGCAUGCCGUCCUCCUCGUCGUCGCCGUCGUCCUCCUCGCCGCGCGUCGCCCUCCUCGCCGCGCGCCGCUGUCCUCCUCCCCGCACGCCGUCGACACCUCCGGCCAGUAAGCCCCCCACCCCCUCCUCCCCAACACUCCGGCCAGUAGAAGAAAAGAAGAAAAAGGAGAAGAAAGGAAGAAAAAGGAGAAGAAAGGAAGAAAAAGGAGAAGAAAGGAAGAAAAAGGAGAAGAAAGGAAGAAAAAGGAGAAGAAAGGAAGAAAAAGGAGAAGAAAGGAAGAAAAAGGAGAAGAAAGGAAGAAAAAGGAGAAGAAAGGAAGAAAAAGGAGAAGAAAGGAAGAAAAAGGAGAAGAAAGGAAGAAAAAGGAGAAGAAAGGAAGAAAAAGGAGAAGAAAGGAAGAAAAAGGAGAAGAAAGGAAGAAAAAGGAGAAGAAAGGAAGAAAAAGGAGAAGAAAGGAAGAAAAAGGAGAAGAAAGGAAGAAAAAGGAGAAGAAAGGAAGAAAAAGGAGAAGAAAGGAAGAAAAAGGAGAAGAAAGGAAGAAAAAGGAGAAGAAAGGAAGAAAAAGGAGAAGAAAGGAAGAAAAAGGGAAGGAGGAGAAAAGAAUAAAAAGGAGAAGAAAAUAAGAAAAAGGAGAAGAAAAGAAGAAAAAGGAUUUUUUGUCAUUUAAUUCCUAUUGUUAUUAGGUUUGUGCUAUAUUAUUAGGGUUAGUAAUAUGUAGAAUUAGGAAAAAGGAAAAUAAGAAGAGGAGGAGAAGAAAAGAAGAAAAAGGAGAAUAAGAAGAGGAGGAGAGGAGAAGAAGAGGAAAAAUAGAAGAAGAGGAGAAGUAGAAGAAGAGAAAAAAUUAGAAGAGGAGGAGAGGAGAAGUAGAAGAAGAGAAGAGGAGAAGUAGANNNNNNNNNNNNNNNNNNNNNNNNNNNNNNNNNNNNNNNNNNNNNNNNNNNNNNNNNNNNNNNNNNNNNNNNNNNNNNNNNNNNNNNNNNNNNNNNNNNNUCCCUCCGUUUCAAAAUAUAAGACCUUUUAGGUAUUUCAUUAGAAGACUACAUACGAAACAAAAUGAGUGAAUCUAUACUCUAAAAUAUGUUUAUGUACAUUCGUAUGUAGUUUAUAGUAUAAUCUCUAAAAGGUCUUAUAUUUAGGAACGGAGGGAGUACAAAUUCAGUGAUUCAACCAUAGGUGUUCUAGAUGAGAUCUUUAGAGUUUAUAUAAAAUUUAAGUAGAAUUUUGUAUAUGAAAUGUCAGCAACAAGCUAGCUGUUGCGCACAUUCUGCUGAAAUUUCCCUUGGCAUCGGAUGCGUGCACAUCCAUGCAUAUAUGAAUGUUAGCCCGCGCGCCAAACUUGGAGCAGCCGACUCGUAAUACGUCGCUGGAAGGUGGCCCCGUCCGUCCCCUAUACAUACCCCUGCGCGCCAUGGCCGCCAUAGUCCAGUACGGCAAAGCUCGCAGCUAGCCACGUAGUGCGUUGUCUCCCUUUCUCCAACAGGGCCGAGAGAGCAAUGGCGCACAGGGUCCUCGAGCUGACGCUGGUGUCGGGUCACAGCCUGAUGGACGUCAACGUGUUCAGCCGCAUGGAGGUGUACGCCAUCACGUCCGUGCUCGGCGACCCUCGCACGCGGCAGCGCAGCAAGACCGACCGCGACGGCGCCAGGCACCCGACGUGGGACGACACGUUCCUGUUCGCCGUCCCGCCCACGGCCGCCAAGGCCUCCGCCGCGGGCGCCUACCUCCACGUGCUCCUCCGCACCGAGCGCCUCUUCGGCUUCGACGACGUCGGCGAGGUGUUCAUCCCUCUCGCCGACCUGCUCGCCUGCGCCUGCGUCGGCGGCACCGGCCCGACGCCGCGCUGCGCGUCGUAUCCGGUCCGGAAGGUGCACUGCACCGAGCACCGGGGCAUGCUCACCGUGGCGUACCGCUUCGGCCCCGUGAUGGCGCCGCUGCCCCAUCAGGACAAAGAGUUGUGCUGGGACGACGGCGCGGUCAUGGGGUACGAGCUUCCGCCAUGGCAUUACUAUCCUCAGGCGUGUGCUCGCAUGCCACCGGCGCCCAAGCCAGCUGCAGGCUGUGGCGCGGCCGCUGCUUCGCCGGCACAGAAGAACUACGUAAGGAACGGCAGCUUCGCGCUGGGGCUCGGCGCGGGGCUUCUCGGCGGAGGCUUCGGCGGGAUGGUGUUCAGCGAUAUGCCGCCGUCGGACAAGACGGCUCAUGACUCCGGGUACAAGCCCACGGCCGACGGUGCAGGGGUCGCCUUCUGAAAACUUUGCAUAUUCAUAUUAUCAGUCUCUAAAUAAGUAGGUCAAACUUGAAUAAAAACUGCG
rnacentral:lncRNA from 1 species